GUAAAAGUAAGGCACGGAAAAGUUCGUUGAAGGGAUGAUCUCUGAAAAGAGAUCGAAUCGGAUGUCAGAGCUUUACUGAUUAGGGGUAGAGAUGAUCUCAGACGCCCAGCCAUUGACAUUCCCGAAACCCUAGUUUUCCUUCUUGUGUUUGUGUUUGUGUGAUUGAAAGAGAGCAAUAGAGGAUCGACUCCACAGAUCCAAAGUUGAGGUCUAGUUUGGGCUGGGCUCAACUUGGAUUGAUUGGGAUGACUUGAAAAGGGCUCUGUUUGGUUUGCACAAAAGUGGACAAUUUUCAUUGGAUUAAUUACAUACUAUCUUUUAGAAAAUAAUUAUAAAAAUCUUACAUCCAUAAAAUAAUUACAAAAACAUUACAUUUUUUCAGUUUUAUUUACAAUAUUAUUAUAAUUAUAAGUCCUUAACUUGAGGGAUUAAUAAUAUUAAUGGCUGACAGGGCAUGUUUUUUGAAAUGCUUGAUAACCGCCAUCUAUUGUUUGUGUAGGACUCUUCGUCUUAAGACGAUUCUUUACACGCUGAAACCCUUUUUUUCUCUUUCCGUUCGUGUUUCAGUAUUCUCCAUUGAUCGUUAUUUAGUUCAUAGCCAUUUCGUUUUCGUUUUGUUUUCGUCACCAUCGUUGUUACUUGUUAUCGUGAUUACACAGUGUUCCAGUUGGUUUAUUCUUCUUCGUUAUCGAUUCUGGUUGUGUGUAUAUUUUCAGGUCAGUUAUUUUGAAAUAGUUUAACGUAUUAUAUAUUAAUGUAGUUUAUCAGUCGAUUGUAGUAUUGAUUGUUGUGUGGGUUUGUGUUAUUUUUUAUGUUUUGUAUAGAAUGGCUGAUACAAGGAAGAAGGAUGGGAAGAGGAAUAGAAUCUCGGAGCGUGAUUCUGUCAAGGACAUGAAGAAGUUUGUUGUGGAUAGGAAGGGGAAGGAAAAGGAUGUAGGUCAGAAAUCGAGUAAGAAUGAGAAUAGGCUGGUGAUACAUAGUGAUAUCAAGCAUUCUCAAGUGCAGAUAGAUGCUAAGUUUGACGUUCCUAUAGUUAAGGCCAAAGGUCAAGUGCUUAUCUAGAAUAUAAUUCCAACACAGAGAAUUUUAAAGGUGUGUUAAUUUAAAUUUUCUUAUGGUUACCAUUAUAUAAUUAUUUGGUUACUUAUUAGUAUGUAUUUGGUUACUAUAAGCUUAUUAUUUGGUUACUUAUUAGUAUGUAUUUGGUUAAUGUCAUAUUAUAUUAGUGUGUUAUAUUUUUUAGUAUGUAUUUAGUUACUGUAAAAUUAUAAUUAUUUGGUUACUUAUUAGUAUGUAUUUGGUUACUGUAAACUUAUAAUUAUUUGGUUACUUAUUAGUAUGUAUUUGGUUACUGUCAUAUUAUAUUUUGGUUACUGUCAUAUCAGGUUUUGGUUACUACCAUAUUACAGUUUGGUUACUAUUUUGUAUUAUUUGAUUUAUGAUAAUGUUCCAUUGAAGUAAACUGUUUGUUACUUUUUAUUAUAUUUGUUUACUAUGUAUUUGUUUAGUAUAUUCAGUUUGCUUAAAUUAUUAUUGAUUACAUGAUAUGGUUACUGACUAAUGCUGACUUGAUUACAUUCAGUUUGCUUAUGGUUACCAUCAUGUAAUUACUUGGUUACUUGUUAGUAUGUAUUUUGAUACUGUAAGCUUAUUAUUUUGAUACCAUUUAUGUUUUCUUAAGUUGGGACUUUGGUUACCUUUUUAUGUUGUUAUGUUUAAUAUGUUUUUGCCUAGUAUACAUGGUUUAAUAAACUGGAUUUAGUGUACAUGUUGUUUAUGUAUUGGUUACCAUUAAAAGAUAGUUUGGUUACCAUCAUAGAAUUACUCGGUUACUUGUUUAGUAUGUAUUUGGUUACUGUAAGCUUAUGAUUUUGAUACCAUUUAUGUUCCCUUGAUUUAGGAUUUUGGUUACUUUUUUAUGUUGUUAUGGUUACCAUGUAUUUGCCUAGUAUACAUGAUUUUCUAAAUUGUUUUUAGUGUAUAUGUUGUUUAUUUAUUGGUUACCAUUUAAAGAUGUUUUGGUUACCAUCAAAUAAUUAUUUGGUUACUUGUUUAAUAUGUAUUUGGUUACUGUAAGUUUAUGAUUUUGAUACCAUUUUUGUUCCCUUGAGUUGGGACUUUGGUUACUGUUUUUUGUUGUUUUGGUUAUCAUGUAUUUGUUUAGUAUACAUAGGUUGACCAAAAUGUGUCAGUUACUAUUAAAACAUUGUUUGGUUACUAUGUAACUGUUUUUGGUAUAAAUUUUAUUUAUAUUGGCUACUAAUAAUUGUUCAAUUCUGGUUUUGUGUAUUUACAGUUAUGGGAUCUUUACUAUGAGGAAUGCAACAGAAAAUUCACUGGAAAAUUUAUAUAUUGGUGUGACAUGGAAGUCCCCAUCAUUAUUGCAAAGAAAUUGAAUGAAAGUCAGCUGGAGAAGUUUAGGGCAACAUGUUUUGGAAAUUUUUUGGAGUUUGGUAAGCAUCAAAUGUAUUCACAGAUUAUUCACCAUGCUCUUGUAAGGGAGGUUCACCAAAGGGAUGAUGAUGAAAUGUGAUUUUUAUUUGGGGAGAAAAGGAUUAGGUUUGGGUUGCCUAAGUUUUGUCUGAUUUAUGGGUUGAGAUGGCAAGGCAAUGAUGAUAUAAGUGCAUAUAAAGGUAUGCAGAAUCUGAUUAUUGAAAAAAAAUUUGGGGCUGAAGCUAUUACUCGUAGUAGUAUAGGUAGGGUAUUCCGGAAGGUAGUUUUUAAUGACGAUGAUGAGGCUAUUAGGAUGUCAUUGAUUUUUUUGGUGUUUAAUUUUAUUCUUUCAACAGUUUCUGAAAAAUUUGUUGACGGGGCAAUGGUCAAUUUUUUAUGUUAUGGUGAUGUUAGCAGUUUUCCUUGGGGGAAAGUUGCGUUUGAAAUGACAAAGUACUCUUUGUCAAAUGCUUUGAAGGGGCAUAUAAAGAAAGGAAGGAGUGGUGGUUCAACAUAUAAUUUCUACAAGGACCAAUAUAUUAAAUUGUAUAAGUUGAAUGGUCUUCCAUAUGUAUUUCAAGUGUUUAUGUUUGAAACCAUUUCAACUUUUAAAACUCGCAGUAUAUGCAACGACGAGCAUCUGUCGGAUGGAUGGAAGGAGCUAGUGAAGCCCCCUUCAAAUGGCAAGUUGAAUGAUCUGGUAUUUUGUUCUGGACAGGUAUGCAGUGUACUACUAAGAAUGCAAUUGGUUACCUUUAGUUAAUUAUUUGGUUACUGAUUAUUUUUGUGAAGUUUACUAUUAACAUAGUAGUUAGUUACCUUUAUAUACUAAUUUAGUUACUGAUUAUAUUAUGUGUAUGUUAACAAUAAAAAUGUUGUUGGUUAUUAGAAUAUACGCAUUUGGCUACUGAUUAUAUUACAUUCAGGUUACUAAUAACAAUUUUGUUGGUUACUAGAAUAUACAAAGUUUGGUUACCUUUAUACAUUUAGUUGGUUACUGAUUUAUAUAUAUUUGGUUACCAGUAUAUAUGUUUUUGAUUACUGAUUAUGUUUUAUGAUUCUUUAUUUUAUCUUUUUGUUAUUGUAAUUGUAUAAUGUUUGUCAGAUGUUAUACUAAAGUGUACUUAUUAUUUUUCAGCUGAGGGUAAAAAGUUUGAUUCCCACGGCUGAGGAGAAUGAACGAUUUGAUUUGGGCGGGUUUCACUUUUUCAAUGGGAAGGAUUCUUACAAGAAGGUUGAAAAAAGGUGAAGGAUGACAACAUUGGAUUUGAUAUAUCGGACAUUAAAGAUGCAAUUGAUACACGGUUACGGCCGUUGGAAAAAAAAGUUUCUGAAAUUAAGAAAGAUGUUGUAAAAUUGCGGGCUGAUAGUAAGGAUGAGAUGCAAAUUUUACACGUUCAGCUAUGCAGAGACUUUAGGUUGAUUAUUAGAGAUGAGUUACGCGGGAUCAAAGAUGGUGGGGUCAAAGAAGUUGAUAGUGAUUCUGAUGAUGAUUCUGAUUCUGAUGAGGGUGGUGAUGUUAAUGAUGAUGAUGAAGUCGAUGAAGCCGAUGAAGCUGAUGAAGCUGAUGAUGUUGUUGAUGAGGAUGCCGAUGUUUUUAAAGGUAAUUAUAAUAAUGAUGAUGAAGUUGGUGAUGAUGGGUUGAAAGCUGAUGAGAAGAAUGAUGAUGUUGAAAAUGAAGCUGAUGAUAUUAUGGUUGAAGACUGUCAUGUUGUUGAGGAUGGUUCAAAACUAAAAAAUAAUAAUUAUGGUGAUGAUGUGUCGAAUUUUGUUGAGAAGAAGGAUGAGAAUGAAUUUGAUUAUGGUAAUGAAGUUGAACGUGAUGGUAUGGUUGAAGAACAUCAUGAAAUAAUAAGUAAUGAUGAUCAAGAAAAUGUCAAGGUUAGACAUUUUUGUUUGUUUUGUUUUGUGUUAGAUGUCUUUUUUUAAUGAUUAAUUGGUUGUUUUGUAUUUUGCACAGAUUGCCAAGAAUGAUGACAUUCCAACUUUUGACAUAUUAAGCCAAUGCACUGGGAAAGAAAUUGUUGUUUAUGUUGCUGCUGAGGUUAGUGUUAUAAUGACAUGCCAUCUUUUUUUUUACAUGCUUUAGGUUUUGGUUACUGUUAUACCAGUACAUGCUUUAGGUUUUGGUUACUGUUACAAUUUUACACAGCAACCAACUCAUAAAUAUAUAGUAACCAUUAUAAUGUUUCUCAGUAACCAAAUCAGCAUUAGUUAGUAACAAGUAUAAAUAGUAACCAAUACUGCAUUAGAUAGUAACCAAUACAGCAUUAGACAGUAUAAUGUUACACAGUAACCAAGACAUCAUUAGAUAGUAUAUUAUUGUUCAAUUUAUAUGUAUUUAUAACUGUUUGUUAUUGCAUAUAUUAGUUAACUGCAUGUGUUUAUGUGAAAAUCUAAUUAUAUUUGUUACAUUUUAUGUCAAUUGAAAAAGGGGAAUAAAUUUGAGACAGAAAGCAACUCUGUACUUGAUGAGAUGGUUUUGACCACACAGGACAUAGUUCAGUGUGAUGAAUUGGAGAAAAGCAUCCAUAAAGUCGGUGGUAGACCUGUCCGUGAACAUGUAAAGAGUGCCGUUCUGCGGUCUCCAUAUAUAGCAACGUUUGGAUCGGCUGGUUCAUCGUCUAAUGUUGUGGGUGCUAGUCAAGCAGUUGCAGUUCUUUCUGUAUUCCCCAAAGUAUGCAUGGAUAUGCCGUCAAAAUUUGAAGAGGCAUUGUUUGAACAAUGGUUUAAAAUUGAAUUAAACAACAGGAAAAGGUUUGUUUUUUAUUGUUAACAAUGUUAUAGUUUUUUAUGAAACAAAUAAAUUUGUUUUAUUGUAGAGACAAAUGGUUAAUAUUAAAUAAAUGCAAUGGUUACUAAUAUUUUAUGUUCUGGUUACUGUUUUAUUAUGUUAUGGUUACCGUUUUAUUAUGAGUUGGAUACCAUUUUUUUGUGAUCUCAAAAUUGGAUUUUGGUUAAUAUCAUAUUAUAUGUUGGUUAAUAUGUAAUUGUUAUGUAUAUACAGGUUGGUUAAAUUGGUAUUGAUUACAUUAGAUUUCUGUUUGUUUUAUUGUCAUAUUAUAUUUUGGUUACUGUCAUAAUAGGCUUUGGUUACUACCAUAUUAUAGUUUGGUUACUAUUUUGUAUUAUUUGAUUUAUGUUAACGUUCCAUUGAAGUAAACUGUUUGUUACUUUAUAUUAUAUUUGUUUAUUAGGUAUUUGUUUAGUACAUUCAGUUUGCUUAAAUUAUUUUUGAUUACAUGAUGUUACUGUUUUGCUUACUAUUAAAUUAUUUUUUGGUUACUGUUAUUUUAUGUUCUGGUUACUAUUUUAUUAUAUAUUGGUUACUAUUUGAUUAUGGUUAUUAUAUUAAUUUUUUUUGGUUACUAGGUUAUUGUUUUAAUUAAGUUGUUGGUUAGUAUGUUAAUUAUUAACUGUUCAAGUUUGAUUUUGGGUAGUGUGUAUAUUAAUACGGUAAUUGUUAAUGUUAGUGUGUUUACUAAUAUGCUUUUGUGAUAACCCGGGAUUUCGAAUAAUCCAAAUUUCACGUAUAAUUUUUUUUAUAUAUAUAUUGGCAUUGACUGUUAAUAUUGUACUAUGUAUCUGUGAUACGAGUAUCGAGAAGUAGUCAAUUUGUGUAUUGACUGAGAAAUUAGAGUAGAGUUAUGCUUAACGGAGAAUAGGAACCCUAACCCUAAGUCCGGAUAUGGAUUCGAUUGAAAAUAUAAUUGAAAUAAUUAUACUGAUGAGUACGUGUUUGUACUGUAUAGAAUGUUAAUCAAUGAUUGGUCGGGUAGGGUACAAUAUUUGUAAACCCUAAUAAGGGAUUGGAAACUCUAAUCUUAAGAUUUGAAACCCUAACGUGUAGUUAGGAACCCUAAGCGAAAGCCGAGAAACCCUAAUUUUUAAUUCGGGAAUCCUAAACCCUAAUUAGGAAACCCUAAUCCUAAUUAGUAAGCUCUAAAGUGAUUAGUAUACUUUAAUGUGAUUAGUUACCUUUAAUGUAAUUAGGGAACACUAAUUAUAUUUUUGAAAUCUUAAUUUUCUAUUUUAAAGAUCCUAAUUUAGAAAAUCCUAGAAGCUAAAGUUGUAAAACUAGGGUUAGAGGCUUAGGGUUAAACCCUAAGGGUUUGGUAAAUUCCAUGUAUGCCAUUAAAAUUUCAUGUACAAAGUCCAAAAUACCCCUUUACUUAGAUAUUAAGUUAGAAGAUUUGCAAGAUCUAGUGAGUCAUCACUUAAGAUUAUCCCAUGUGCUAGAAAUCAGCCCAAAUCUAAUCCAUAUCUUGCCAACUUGCACACUUGGAUUCAUUGCAUCUAGGAUAUAAGAGAUCUAGAGAGAGAAAGUUCAUAAAACUUGUUCAUUUUCAACUUUGCUCUCACUAACUCUUAUUCUCUCUCAUGCCUCCAAAAUUCUAAGGUAGACCAGUCCUAAAUACAGCCCCUAGAUCAACCAAUAACAGAUUGAAGAGUAUAGAUCAAGGAUUGGAAAGCUAGAAGGUAUAAACCCAAACUCAACCUAGAUCUUGUAUGCUAAGAAAAUAAUUGUGUUUAAGUGUUUACAUUUGUGUUAUAUGGUGUUUUUAGAUGAUCUAUGUUGAUCCAUCAUGGAUCCAUAGCAUCAAAGUGGGUAAAAAUUCAAGUUUUCAAAAUCUGUUCUUGAGCUCUAAAGGUGACUGACAAGCAAAUGUCAGAAGGCUUAGAUCUCUGUAUAUUAAUGAUUUGUAAGAUAUUAUAUGUUAGAUCUAUAGUUUGGUAUGUGGUCUUUCCUCCGGAAGUUAAAUUUUAGCUACUGGAUGUUUAGAUGUCAUUUUAUUAAUGGUCAAACACCAUUGACCAAGCUUGACCGACUGAAAAUUUGGGCAGCUCAGAAUUUAAAAAGCAGCGUCUGACAAUUUUUUUAACAGCUCGGAUCUGACAGGAUUUAAGUUGUUUGAUGUUGUUUUUGUAACCAAUAUAUAGCCUGACAUAUGUAUUUUAUGAUUAUGGCUUUAGAUCAUGUUAAUAAUGAAUAGGAUGAGUGUAACAGUUGGUCAAAGUAGGCUGUUGGAAGAAUGCAUAUUAUGAUUUGAUAUUUUAUGAAAAUACUCAUGAUUAUGUAAAGUCCUUCAAAGAAUAUAUGUACAAAGACUUAAUGAUAGAUCAAAAUUGUUAGGUUGAUCUUAGCCUUAAUGUUCACUUGUAUAGAUAAAGAGAUCAAAUUUGUUAGGUUGAUCUAUGGCUAGAAAGAAAUAGAUAGGCUCGUAGUCUAUCCGGCUGAUCAACAGAAUGCAGAAGCUAAGGUAGGAUCGUAGUGCUGAGAUGAUCGUAGUGUAUCUGCCUUGAAGGGCCUCUCCAGGAAUCGUAGAGUGGUCCAGACGUUUGCCGAAGCUAACUCAGAGAUCGUAGUGUGCUCUCGGAAAUGCAGAGUCUGCAAGACGAGCAAGUGAAGAUCGUAGUGUUAAAAGAUCGUAGUGUGCAAAUAUUUGUGAGAAAUCGUAGUGAUCUCUUAAGAACAAACACCAAUAUGACAAGACACUAUGAUAUGGAUAGUAGAGUGUCAUCUGCCUUGUGUCAGAAACAUCAAGCCCUACCGUUCAUUUGAAGAUAGACUCCAACAAAUAUGGAAUGGGUUUUAAACGUUGAAGCUCUCACUAGUCCCAACGGUACAAAAGAUAUCCUUAGUAUUGAUCAAAAGAAACAUAUUCAAGAAGCUAAGAAAAGGACCAUUGGGCAGAGGAAAACACCUUUUGAGGUGUUAGGUGAGAAAGCAGUCUGCUGUGUCAGUGGGCCAGAGUGCAAUCAGAAGAUGUGCAAAAAAGUCUCCAUCAAUGCUCAGAAAUGUUAAACGCAUUUAAUGGCUCAUCAGAUGAUUUCAACGGAUAGAUUUCAAGAUCACAUAUAUACAGAUCAAAGACAGAUGAGAAAAAAAAGAAGCAAACAUUGAACAAAAACGCACAAGAACACUCAACGCUCAACUCUACGAUCUGAGAAAAAGAGGAAGCUUGCUCAGCUACUCAGUUCUUUCGAACAAGUGCUUAAUAGCAACUGAGUAGCAUCAAUCACGAUCUAAACAACAUUUCAAUCAACUGAAGUAAGAGAACCAAGUCUGCUGGACUUGAAGAGUUCUAAGUGAACUGUGAGAAACCAAGUCUGCUGGACUUGAAGAGUUCAAGAGUGAACUAAGAAGUACCUAGACUGCUGGUCUAGAAGGAAUCUGUGAGAUUCAAGAAAUGUAACAGACAUCCUUAGUGGAUUUCCUACUCAAGGGGUAGAAGAGUGGAUUAGCUUUAAGUGCUCUGAACCACUUAAAAUUGUUGUGUUCAUUAUAACUGCUAUACCUGCUAUAACUGUUAUAACUGCCUCACUCUCAUUAACUUAGGAUAUCUAACAGAAGGUUUAUUAAAUACUCAUUCCGCUGUGCAUUGAUUAUCAUCAAACUAAAUUAGUUAAUAGAAAAAGUUUUAAAUAUCUAUUCAACCCCCCCUUCUAGAUAUCUAUCGCGCCUCCGAGAACUAACAAUUGGUAUCAAAGCAGGUUCUAUAAUACAACCUACAAAGCUUGAGUAGAUCCAUUGGCACACUUACUAAGCGAAUCAAAGACUGGAGGAGGCAGCAAGCCACCUAUGUGCAACAAAGAUAAAUUUGCUAACUGGAAGGUUAGGAUGCAAGCUUACAUGGAUUCAAUAGAUGAAGAUCUAUUUGAAACUAUUCAGAAUGGGCCCUAUGUUCCUACAAAGCUUGCACCAACUACAGAUGACCCAGAUAGAGUACAGAUUAAGGUCAAAGGAGAAUGGACAGAGAACGAGAAGAGAGCUGUCCAACUUGACAAAAAGGCCAAGAACAUCUUAUUUCAAUCAUUAGAAGAUGAUCUAUUUGAAAACGUGGUCAACUGAAAAACAGCAAAGGAGGUUUGGGAAACACUACUCAUUAUGCACGAAGGAACAGAAGAAGUCAGAGAAAACAAACAAUCUCUCUUGACUCAACAAUAUGAGAUGUUUGCCCAUGUUCAAGGAGAGAACGUCACUGCUAUUAGAGAAUCAAAGAAUCUACAUGAAAUGACUAUUCAACAGUUAUAUGGCAACCUCCUCACGUACGAACUGGAGCUGACACAAUGAGCUGAAAUGUUAUCUGAAGGAAGAAAGAAGGAUAAAGGUGUUGCCCUUAAAGCAACAGAUAACGCCUCCAAAGUCAGCACUGAAGUUGAUUCUGACUACGAUGAAGAUGAUGAUGAGGACCUUGCAAUGCUAGUGAAAAGACUAAGAAGGUUCAUGUGACGAGGCAAAACCAACAAACCGAAGAAAGUCAGCAACUACAGCAGCCAGGAACAAAUAAAUAACCUAUGCUACAAUUUCAAGAAACCAGGCUACUUCAUUGCAAAUUGCAACAAACCUCUCAGAGAACAACUCAAGAAGAAAUCUCAUUCAAAGAAAUAAUACAGAGGCAACAAAGGGCCACAGAAGAAAGAAAAAGGCCUUGUAACUGGAGGAUCGUGGAGUGACUCAGACAAUGACUCAACUCCUGAAUCUGGGGAUGAUGAAGAUCCUCAAAUAACAAAUCUCUGCUUGAUGGCCAAAAAUGCAAGGGACAAACUGAAUUCCAACAUACACGAAGUAAGUAUCGACGAGGUAUUUGAUUUUAACUCUCUUGAUGUAGAUAUUGAUGAUCUUAGAACUGCAUUACAUGGCAUAACAUCUGAUCUACACCAAUACAUGAAGUGGUUUAGAGUUCUGUCUAAGGAUUAUUCACUUCUUCAAAAGGAGAAAGAAAAGGUUCAAGAAGAACUGGAAACAACCCUUCUCAGUACUAAUUCUUUCUCUGAGCUUGAAGCUGGGAAUAAUCUCUUGAGACAAACAAAUGAGCUCAGUGAAAAACGAGAGUCUAGUCUAACCUCAAAAAUUGAGGAUCUAGAAAAGACCAUCUCCUCAUGGAAUAAAUCUUCUUCAUCCAUGGACUCCUUAAUCUCCAAUCAGAGAAGCGUCUCUGAUAGAACAGAGCUAAGCUUUGGGGAAUCUACCUCAGAGCCAUGUGUGGAAAAAGUAAAGGAAAAUAGCAUGAGUGAUGCCUCAAGGUUAAAUAGGGGCAUUAUAUUUGUGAAAUCCUCACAGAGUGAUGAGCCUGUCAAACCCUGCCCGGCUGAUUCAAUUCAUAUUCCUAGGAGUAAGGGAUCUCAUGCUGGUCUAGGUUUUAGAAAAGAGAAAAGUAAUCUAGCUACUACUCAUCAACCUCGAAGGAUCGUAGAGUCCAAUAAAAUCAACUCUACGAACCAACCAGGAAGAUACAGUAGAAGUAAGAUAUACUCUUCUCAAUUAAUGAAACAAGAGAACACAUGGAAAAGGGAAUAUCAGCCUAGCAGGAGGAUGACCAAUAACCCACAAAAGUCCAAAUGGAGGAAGAACUUUCACACACACACUAACAUGCAUCAUAUCAAAUGCUUUGAAUGCCACAGAGUUGGUCACAAGGCUGCAAAUUGUCAUUAUAAUUCCAUGCACGUGAGACCCAAAAUCAAGCAGAUUUGGGUCUCCAAGGGUACUAACAUAGUAGGACCCAUGCAAAUAUGGGUACCAAAAUGAAGGCUUAAUGUUACCUCAGGAAAGGAGCUCCACGAACACAACCUGGUAUCUAGAUAGUGGAUGUUCAAGACACAUGACUGGGAACAAAGCCCUUCUAUCUAACUACAUAGAGAAGGAGGGUCCCUCGGUCAUCUUUGGAGAUAAUGGCACUGGCAAGACAAGAGGCUAUGGCUCAGCCGAAAAUGGUGCAGUAUCAUUCAGUAGAGUGGCCUAUGUGGAAGGACUAUAGCACAACCUUCUAAGCAUUAGCCAACUCUGUGACAAGGGUCAUCAAAUAACAUUCAUCAACAAUCAAUGUCAAGUCCGAGACCUAAAGACAUCUGCAAUAAAGCUAACUGAAACAAGAGAAGGAAAUGUCUACACAGUAAAUCUUGGACAACUAAGCUCAGACGAGACAAUAUGCUUUCUGGCUAAAGCAUCUCAAGAAAUGAGCUGGCUAUGGCAUCGAAGAUUAUCUCAUCUCAACUUCAAAAGUAUGUCCAAAUUAGCUUCAAAAUAUCUAGUUGCAGGCCUACCUAAGCUCAACUUCAUUAAAGAAAGGCCUUGCAAUGCCUGUCAACUUGGGAAGCAGACUAGAAGCACAUUCAAGAGCAAAACUAUCAACUCAAUUGACAAGCCUCUGCAGCUGCUACACAUGGAUCUGUUUGGACCAAUUCCAAUAACAAGCCUUGGAGGAAAGAGAUACUCUCUAGUCGUAGUCGAUGACUUCACCAGAUUUACAUGGGUGUUCUUUCUAACCUCAAAAGAGGAGACAAGCCCCCAGCUGAUCAAAAUGUUCAAGCUUAUGAUGAACGAGAAGGGAGAGAAGAUCAAGGUUAUAAGGAGUGAUCAUGGUAGAGAAUUUGACUUCUCAGAAAUGGACCAAUUCUGCUCUGACAAUGGCAUCAGUCACAACUUCUCAGCUCCACGAACUCCUCAACAAAAUGGAGUUGCUGAAAGAAAGAACAGAAUAUUAAUAGAGGCUGGAAGGACUCUACUAGCUGCAGCUCAUCUACCGUAGUACUUCUUGCCAGAAGCAGUCAACACUGCAUGUUAUACUCAUAACAGAACACUCAUACACUCUACGAUUAAGAAGACUCCUUAUGAACUUUGGAAAGGAAGAAAGCCAAAUGUCAGCUACUUUCAUGUGUUCGGCUGUGCAUGUUACAUACUCAACAAUGGAAAGAAGUACUUGACAAAGUUUCAACCGAAAUCAGACGAAGGAAUCUUUCUUGGAUAUGCCACAAACAGCAAGGCUUACAGAGUGCUUAACAAGAAGACUCUGAGUGUAGAAGUCUCGAUUCACAUCAUCUUUGAUGAAACAGACUUAGACAAAACAGUGCUCCAAGACACUACGACCAACAGUGAAGACACUACGAACGAAGUCAUCGAGCUCAAUACUACGAUCGUAGUACCAGACAGCGAAAUCGUUGAGCAAGGGAAUGAGAUCGUAGAGAGGCCUGUGCCAGAAAAUGAGCCUCCACAUCAAGAAGAAGAAAUAGAUCUUGAGGAUCUAAGACAAUAAGGCAUAAGAACGGAUGUUCCAAUAGGAAGCAGAUGGGCAAGAGAUCACACUCAAGAUCUAAUCAUUGGAGAUCCAAAUGCAAGAGUCAAAACAAGAGCUGCUACUCAAAACGAAUGCUUCUAUCUAAGCUUCCUAUCUCAAAUAGAACCGAAGAAGAUAGAGGAUGCUAUGGAAGAUUCCAGCUGGAUAGAGGCCAUGCAGGAAGAACUUAAUCAGUUCGAGAGAAGCAAAGUUUGGAGAUUGGUUCCAAGACCGAAGAACCAUCCUGUAAUUGGAAUCAAGUGGGUCUUCAGAAACAAGAUGGAUGAAGAUGGGGUGAUAACCAGGAAUAAGGCUAGACUAGUAGCCAAGGGAUACUCAUAGAAAGAAGGCAUUGACUAUGAUGAGACAUUUGCACCUGUUGCCAGACUAGAAGCCAUCAGAAUAUUCCUUGCCUUUGCUGCUCACAUGAAGUUCAAAGUCUUCCAGAUGGAUGUCAAAAGUGCAUUCUUGAAUGGUGAACUUCAAGAAGAAGUCUAUGUAGAGCAGCCUCUAGGUUUCAUCAAUCCAUCUAUUUCUAAUUAUGUCUUUAGAUUAGACAAAGCCUUAUACGGUCUUAAACAAGCACCUAGAGCAUGAUAUGAGACACUGACUAAUUUUCUUAUUGAAAAUGGGUUCACUAGAGGUAGAGUAGAUACCACACUAUUCCUUAGAAAGCAUAAAGAUAAAGUUCUAUUAGUUCAAAUCUAUGUUGAUGAUAUCAUAUUUGGUUCUACUGAUGAAAAGUUAUGCAAUAGAUUCUCCAAGCUUAUGCAGAGCAAAUUCGAAAUGAGCAUGAUGGGUGAGCUGAACUUCUUUCUUGGACUACAAGUAAAGCAGACUGAUGAAGGAAUUUUCAUAAACCAAGCCAAGUACAUUAAAGACUUACUCAAGAAGUAUGACAUGGAAUUAACUUCUCCCAAGAAAACCCCAAUUGCUCCUGCAACCAAGCUUGUCAAAGAUGAAAAAGGUAAAAGUAUUGAUAUAACUCAAUACAGAGGUAUGAUAGGCUCUCUUUUAUAUCUUACUGCCAGUAGACCAGAUAUAAUAUUUACAACAUGCAUCUGUGCUAGAUUUCAGGCUUGUCCUAAAGAAUCUCAUUUAUCUGCUGUAAAGAGGAUUUUCAGGUACCUCAAAGGUACACCCCACUUGGGGCUUUGGUAUCCCAAGGAAUCCUCAUUUGAGCUAACAGGAUACACAGAUGCUGAUUUGGUAGGCUGCAAAAUAGAUAGAAAAAGUACAAGUGGCACUUGUCAACUACUAGGUAACAGACUUGUGUCCUGGUUUAGCAAGAAGCAAAACUCAGUAUCUACCUCAACUGCAGAAGCUAAGUACAUUGCUGCUGGCAGUUGCUAUGUUCAGAUCCUAUGGAUGAAAAAUCAACUAGCAGAUUAUGGGUUUGAAUUCAAAUCCAUACCUAUUCAUUGUGAUAACACAAGUGCAAUUGCUAUAACUCAUAAUCCUGUCAUGCAUUCUAGGACUAAGCAUAUAGAAAUAAGAUAUCACUUCAUUAGGGAUCAUGUACAAAAUGAAAAUAUAUCUUUACAAUAUAUCCCUACUGAAAAUCAACUUGCUGAUGUUUUUACAAAACCUCUAGAAGAAUCCAGAUUCAACAAAUUGAUAAGUGAGCUAGCAUGCUUAACUUACAAACCUGAAUAGAUUUAAGGGCUAUGUCCGAAAUCAAAGACAUGAUCAAAGGAAGUCCACGAUCGUAGAGCCAAAGUGUCAUAAAACUCAACGAAAGCUGAACAGAAUCAACGAUCGUAGUACAGACUCAACGAUAGCAGAGCUACAUCAACAAAACCAAAGGAGCACCCUAUGAUGAUCAAGCAUAAAUCAAAGCAUUCUCUCUGAUAAGUGCCUCAGGGACAAACCUAACCCUUGUUUCAUUUAAGAGGUUGGCCCUUCCUGAGCUACCUUAAACCAAGAAGAAUGCUAAACUAAAGGUUCAUAACGAGAACUUGAUCAGACUCUACGAUUGCUAGUCAGACUCAAUGAUCGUAGUUCAGACUCUACGUUUACAGCUCAGACACAACGACUGCUACACCGGCUCAACGAUGGUAGAAAAGACUCGAUGAUUCCAAGGACCUUCUCAACGAUCGUAGUCCCACUGAAGAGUACAUUAGCCAAGAAGGAGUUAAGGGCAAUUCAGUACGAUCCCUCUUUGUCAAAAUUCGUAGAGCCAAGCAAAAUUCGACACCUAUCCCACUAAGCAAAAUAGAGAGAGGGAAGUUUCAAGUACAAAUUAAAAUCGUCUUUUUGAAAUCUGAAGUUCAAAAGACCAUCUCUCUCUUCCUCUCUCAAAUAGAAACCCUAAAUCAGUAGCAAGCUCAGUCAGUCUCACUUCCUACAAAGAAAUCAAUAGCAGCUUCCAGUGUUGUCUCUAGCUACAGACUCUAUUUUGACGAGUUUAAAACAGCUGAACCCCAAUUUCACAAGACAUUGUCACUACUGAAGAAGGCAAGUCUCGAAGAAGCCUUGGGUACGAACACAUUGAUCUACCCAAAGCUGGUAAAAGAGUUCUACAAUAACGGGGUAUUUGAAAGCAACACUAUCACGGCGAAAGUGAGGAACAUUCAAAUCAGGCUAAAGGCUGAAGAUAUCAAUCUAGCCCUAGGCCUCAAAUCCGAAGGGUAUCCUUCCUUAGAUGGCAUAGACUUCCAUAAGGGUCUCAAGAAGAUGCAUCACAAGAAAUCACCCUCUGUCAAAGGAUACAAAAAGAAAGAGUUUCCACAAAGGUAUGAGUUUCUAGCUGAUAUUGUUGAAAAAUGCAUAUGCUGUAAGAGCUCAGGUCAUGACUCUGUGAAUGAGGUACAGCUCAAACUCAUGACUUCCAUAUGUUACAAAAUACAACUCAACUAUGGGGCUCUAUUACUUGAGUGGAUUGGAAAAUGGUUAAUCAGCUCAAAGAAAUCAAAGAGCUCACAAAAGAUGCUCUACGGAAGAUUUAUCAGCAUUAUCCUACAGGCUGCUCUUGGUGACCUAAUUGAGGAUGAUGAAGGAGAAGCCAUAAAUCCAAAUCACCGAAUGACCCAGCAGCUGUUUGAAAAUUGGAAAAGAAAUCCAGCUGAAAAUGUGAAGAUGAUGUCUGAAUCCAGUGGUCGAACUGGUGAGAUAAAGGGAACAGGAGUGCCAGGAAAUAUGUCGGUUGUCAGAGAAACUAAGGAAGAAGAAGAAGAAGCUAGCAAGGAAGAACCCAUUGCUUUGGUCAGAAAAAGCAAGGGUAAAAGAAAACUGAAAGCCAGAAGUACAGAAGAACCUCAAGGAUCCACUACCAACAAGCCUGUAGAGUCCUCAGAUAUUGAGACUCUAAGGAUCCUAAGAAGAAAGGAACAGUAGGCUGAGGCAGAAGAAGAUAGAGCAAUUAUAUCUCAGCUGCUGAAGAUGAGUAAGAUCAACCAAAAGAACAAAAAGCCAUCAGUCUCUUCGAUCGUAGAGUCUCUUCCGAUCGUAGAGCCCAGACCAAACAAGGAAGUAGCUGUAUCGAAUAUUUUGGCUGAUCUGAAGGACAAAACUGAAGAAAGUCCUGAGGCUGUGGCACAGCCUAAAAAGCCAAGAAGGAAACUGGUCAAGAAGUAUAUUCUUGUCAAUGAGAAAGCUCUAAAGAGGGAAGACAAAGAACUGUCUGCUAAAAAGGAACCAGCUGAGAGGGAGACACCAAAAGUUCUAAUGAUAGAAGAUACUUCUGCUGAGGGGGAGAUGCCUGAAGAUCUCCUGCCAGAGGAUGCUCUAGUUGAGGGGGAGCUAUUGACUUUUCAAAAGGAUGAUCAAGCUGAGGGGGAGGAUCAUGACACCUCCAUAGCAGAAAAAGAGACUUCUGGAGGAGAUAAUGAAGAACCAGUGCAAGAACGUCAUGAAGCCAUUGACAUAAUGGAAUACUCCAGUGACAAAAGAUAAGAAGAUGAUGAGAUUGAGAUCAUAGCUGUAGGCAUUGAUGGGCACAGAAGAGCCAACUAUGAGCAACUGUUUGCAUAUCUUCCUAUGAUGCCCUUCCACCGAGCUCAAAUUCUGAACUCUUGGGAUCACAUGUUCUAGAGUUUUAAAGAAUAUCCUGCUAUCUCAGUACUAGCCAAUGGAUUCCCAGGGAAAUUCAAUUUUGCCAAGAAGCUUCUCACUAACAGGUCUUCCUCAAAGAACAAACUUGAGGUACUAUCUAUCCUAACUUUUUUCAGAGUUAAUCACUUGCCAUCAUCCUCAUUUAAUCAAUUCUAUGACUUCCCACGAUGGUUGGAAGUGAUUCUUCAUCCACUAAAUCAAUUUCUAGUUAUAGGAUCCCAAAAUUCUGUAACUGAGGAACCAAAUGUGACCAACCUCUUAAUGCUCCCAAGUCCCAUCAUCUCUAUGAUCACUGACUCUAGCCCCAUGGUAGAGUGUCCACCUCAAAUCGUAGAGUCUCCAAGCUUCACCAUCCAAACCUAGGCCCCUCCAUCAGAUAUUCCCUCCUCAUCUAGAAAUGAAUGCUUCAAUCUUGAACUUGCCCUCUACUCACUUCAAGAUCAAUUUAAGAGCACAUCACCUCCCUCACAAAUUCCAAAUCUAAAUGAAAUCAUGUCAGAACUAUCCACAAAGGCUAAUUUGUCAGCAAUGUCUGAGAAAGUAAUCAAGGAACUCGACGAGAGUCUUGAAGAUCAUACUGCACUUAUAUAGCUGAGAUUGACAUCAAUGAUCAAUGCUGCAAACAAUCUCCCAAGCUCUCUAAGCUCCGAGCUUUCUAAAACACUCAAAGAGAUCAUCAAAGAAAUGCUUCAAAGCAUAAAAGACAGGGACGAUAUUCACUUUCUUGCAGCUAAAAGGCAUCGGGAUGCUGUCUUGAUAUUACAAAAAACACAAGAAUCUUAGAACAAUCUGAUGAUACAGAGCAUCAAAAGUCUUCAAACUGCAGUCAAAGAGUUUCAAGACUUCUCCUUGGGUCAAAUGAAGCAGACUGAGACUGUCCUCGACAUUCUUCAACGACGAGAAACUCGAUCUGAUGCUUUGAUCCAAGAGAAUCAUGAGGAGAUUGCUCAAACUCAGAGUCAACUCAACGAGCUUGUCCAAGGAGUCACUCGCCUCUCAGCAGACAUUCGAACCCUUGAUGCUGACAUAAAGGGGGAGAAUAAAGGGAAAGGAGAUCAGGGAGGCAAGGGCAGAGGCAGAGGACAAUUCCAAUCAAGGGCAAGGAAAAUCACUCAGCAGACUCCACGAUCCAGCCAUCAGACUCAACGAUCUGAUCAGCAGGAAAUUUUAAUGGCUCAACCAUUAAGGAGUCAAGGGCCAACUACCAGCUCUCAUAUGGUGACAACAACAGGCCUAAGAAUGCCAAUUGGAGAUCCUGCAUUCAUGAAUAGGCAUGAUCACAAUCCUAGACUAAGCCCAAGUAAGCUGGAAGAUUUGGCCAGGAGAUGAAGCAAGCAGAAAGAGGAGAGCUGAGGAAUAUGCAAAUCCUCCAAGAAGCAAAAGGCCAAAGAAAUAGAGAUAAGUUGAAUUUCAAGUUGUAUUGAUGUAGUCAAUCUUAAAUGUAAUAUCUGUCUCCAUACAUCAAUAAAUUCAUGCUUAUUCUCUAGAAAUUUCAGCUGCUCACUGAAAUACUAAGUCAUGUUUACUUUACUGCAACUGCAUAUAAAAUUUAAUAAUCAUGACAAUAAAUCUCCUUGGUUAUGUCAACAUCAAAUAAGGGAGAUAGUUGGAAGAAUGCAUAUUGUGAUUUGAUGUUUUAUGAAAAUACUCAUGAUUAUGUAAAGUCCUUCAAAGAAUAUAUGUACAAGGACUUAGUGAUAGAUCAAAAUUGUUAGGUUGAUCUUAGCCUUUAAUGUUCACUUGUAUAGAUAAAGAGAUCAAAUCUGUUAGGUUGAUCUAUGGCUAGAAAAAAAUAGAUAGGCUCGUAGUCUAUCCGGCUGAUCAACAGAAUGUAGAAGCUAAGGCAGGAUCGUAGUGCUGAGAUGAUCGUAGUGUAUUUGCCUUGAAGGGCCUCUCCAGGAAUCGUAGAGUGGUCUAAACGUUUGCCGAAGCUAACUCAGAGAUCGUAGUGUGCUCUCGAAAACGCAGAGUCUGCAAGACGAGCAAGUUGAAGAUCGUAGUGUUAAAAGAUCGCAGUGUGCAAAUAUUUGUGAGAAAUCGUAGUGAUCUCUUAAGAACAAACACCAAUAUGACAAGACACUAUGAUAUGGAUAGUAGAGUGUCAUCUGCCUUGUGUCAGAAACAUCAAGCCCUACCGUUCAUUUGAAGAUAGACUCCAACAAAUAUGGAAUGGGUUUUAAACGUUGAAGCUCUCACUAGUCCCAACGGUACAAAAGAUAUCCUUAGUAUUGAUCAAAAGAAACAUAUUCAAGAAGCUAAGAAAAGGACCAUUGGGCAGAGGAAAACACCUUUUGAGGUGUUUGGUGAGAAAGCAGUCUGCUGUGUUAGUGGGCCAAAGUGCAAUCAGAAGAUGUCCAGAAAAGUCUCCAUCAAAGCUCAGAAAUGUCAAACGCAUUUAAUGGCUCAUCAGAUGAUUUCAACGGAUAGAUUUCAAGAUCACAUAUAUACAGAUCAAAGACAGAUGAGAAAAAAAAAAGCAAGCAUUGAACAAAAAUGUACAAGAACACUCAACGCUCAACUCUACGAUCUGAGAAAAAGAGGAAGCUUGCUCAGCAACUCAGUUCUUUCGAACAAGUGCUUAAUAGCAACCGAGUAGCAUCAAUCAUGAUCUAAACAACAUUUCAAUCAACUGAAGUAAGAGAACCAAGUCAACAGGACUUGAAGAGUUCUAUAUGAACUGUGAGAAACCAAGUUUGCUGGACUUGAAGAGUUCAAGAGUGAACUAAGAAGUACCUAGACUGCUGGUCUAGAAGGAAUUUGUGAGAUUCAAGAAGUGUAACAGACAUCCUUAGUGGAUUUCCUACUCAAGGAGUAAAAGAGUGGAUUAGGAGCUUUAAGUGCUCUGAACCACUUAAAAUUGCUGUGUUCAUUAUAACUGCUAUAACUGCUAUAACUGUCAUAACUGCCUCACUCUCAUUAACUCAAGAUAUCUAACAGAAGGUUUAUUAAAUACUCAUUCCGCUGUGCAUUGAUUAUCAUCAACCUAAAUUAGUUAAAAGAAAAAUUUUUAAAUAUCUAUUCAACCCCCCCUUUUAGAUAUCUAUCGCGCCUCCGGGAACUAACAUAGGCCAUUCGGCCAUGACUGCACUUUUCUGGAAUUUUCAGUAAGUUUAUGAACAUUGUUUCUGACCUAGUUGACCGUACUGAUUCUGGAGAUUGAAAUGUUUUUGAUCUGUGAUGUUGUUUUAUAAAUGUUCCUUAUCAUGUGGGCUUUAGAUUUGAGCCAUAAUAACACUUAAUUAAUUACCAGAACCUAACUUAAAAUGGGCUAGAAAGUGACCGGUCGAGUUUCUGGGUUUCUGGGGAAACCCAGGUAUGGUCUGACAUGGACUUUGAGAGUCCAGAUCUCUUUGCUGCGUUAUUGUUUGAUCAAAGUUCUUAUUGGAUCUUGUAGUGCUACAUGAGUACUACAUGAUUGAGGUUUGAGUUUGUCAAGAAAUGAUUAUAGCGAAGAAUUAAGGCCGGUCAAACAGGGGACCUUGAACACUGACUUUGUCAGUGUUCUUGAGUCAAGAACACCUACGACAACAGUCAAGUGUCGCUAAAGGCCAAUAGCGAUGGUUUUCAAUAUAUUUAUUUUCUGAUUUUCUGAAAAUUACUUAAAAAUAGAAAUAAAUUCUAAAAAUUACCAAAAAUAGUUUUAAAAAUUAUUUUAAAUUAUGAAAAAUAAUUUUUAACUAUUUGAGAUAUUUUCAUUAAUAUUUAUAAUUAUUUAAAUAUUAAUGAUAUUUAAUUUAUUUAAUUAGUAUAGUAAAUAAAUUAGAGAAAAAUGAUUUAAUAUUAUUAAAAAUCAUUUUAAAUAAGAAUAAAGUGUUUAAAAAUAUUUUGAGUUAUAAAAUAUAACUUUUAAUAUUUUUGAAGAAUUUUCAUUAAUAAAUUAAUAUUAAUGUUAUUAGAUUUAUUUAAUUAUUCUAUUAAAUAAAUGAAUUAAAAAUAAUUUUAUUGAUUUAAAAAUCAUUUAAAAAUGAGAAAAAUAAUUUAAAAAUAUUUUAAGUAAAGGCUUCUGAAAAAUAUUAUAAAUGACAUUUGACUUAUCUAAAAUAAUAUUGAAGCUUAGAAACUGAGUUUAAUUGACAAUAGUUGUGUUAUUUGUCAGAUAGGGUGACCAGAUCACCGAGAAUGGAUCGAAGUCCAACCAGACCAAAAUAUUUAGACUUGUUAUGUGUUUAUAUAGGUUAUAAACACUGAUGUGGCUAUGUGGUAAUGUGUCUAGGAGAAGUUUGACUGUAGAAUACAGUGUUGUGUGUUAUAAAAUAUUGUGCUAAUUGUGAGACCGAUAUUAUUGGUUAUAGGUCUUUCGAAAGCAGAAAAGUUUAUUGUGUAGCUGUAAUCAGCGAAAGAGGCAAGUUCCCUAACUUAACCUUGAGUUAAUAUUGUUUAAUUAUUAUUGGUGGCUAAUAUUGCUAAUUAGACCACGUCCAGGGAUUUAUUAUUGAUUAUUCGCAGUUAGUGCAUGCUUAAAAAUUCAAAUUGAAUUACUGAUUUAGAAUAUAUAUACAUUUGUAAAAUAACUAUUGUUGGAUAUACAUAUUCGUAGAAGCUAGAAUUGACAGUACAGAUAAUUCCUGUUUAUUGUCGAAUUAUGUUGAGAAAUGUCUUAGCCAAUUAUUCUGGUUAGACGAACAUUUGUUAGAACUUGAUAGGUUCGAGAAGAGAAUUAAAUUAUUAUUGACAGAUCAAUACCAAUUAUUUCGGCUAGAUCGAGAAGUAAAUAGAAUUUGAAAUCAUAGUAUUUCGUUAUAAAAUCAAAAUCUUGAUUCUAAGACUGAGAAGAACAACCUUUUAUAUAAAGGGAAUAUUUUAUCGGUCGAGUAUUCGGCCUUUGCGCGCGAUUAAGUAUUAUGCAUAAUAUAGGGUAUACUAAAGCUGAUCACUUUAUAUACUUGCAAAGGGGUAUGAUUUAAUCUUUAUGGUUAUCUGAUACACCUGGGUAUAAAGUUUAACUUUGAUAGUUACUCGAGAAGAGAAGUUCAAGAUCCAAUGGAUCGCUCAGCAUAAAUCUGGAAAACAUUCCACUUUGCUAUUUCGUAGAAUUAAUUCUUGAUUAUUCAUUUGAAUAUCGUAGAAAACCUUGAAAGCGUUGUACUCUUUCAUUAUCGAAUUAUUUUUGCGUAGAAUGUGAGAAGGUUUGAUAUUGAUUUCUAUAUCUUUAUUGUAUCUCUUAACUUGCGGAGCAAACUUGUUGCUCACCCUUGCUAUAAAUAAAACUUUUCAGCUAGGGACGAAGUUGCAGAAGGUGCUGCGAAGAAGAACAAAGGAAAAGGAAUAGUUAUAAAUUAAUUAUGAUGAACAAUAUUAUUAUUAUGUUGUAUUGUAUUGUAAACCCUUUUUGUAUAUCUAAAGGGGUAUGUCUGUAAUGUUAAGGUUAGUAGACCUGGGACUUAUGUAUUAACAAUCUAUGUUAAUGAGUUAUGUAUUCCUAUAUAUAUUAAAAUGGGUAGUUAAAUGUUAUUAUAUUGUGGAUCGUGAACACAAAACUAGGGGGUUAGGUAACCUGGAUUUGGGGGUUUCACAGCUUUUAUAUUGAAGGAUUGACAAAUUUCCUAGGAAGAAUGACAUAAUUGAACCUGCUUUUGUAUUUAGGUCUAUCCCAAUAUCAUCAAAAAUGUGGUUCUUCAAAUUAAAGACUCCUGGACAAUGGUUAGACGAUGAUGUGAGUUCUUUUUUUUCAAAUUAUGUUUUUGUAGUUAUGGUUACAUUAUUUAGUUGAUUCAGUAACUAGUGUUAACAGUGUUGGUUUCAUUCAUUACAUAAUUUCAUUUUUCUGCAACUGUUAAUAUCUUAUGUUUUUUUUGGUUCAGCACAUCAAUGUUACGUUAUAUUAUUUCCGUAAAUUGGCCAAACAUUCUGAUACUAUUCAUAUAAGGGUAACGACUACGGAUUGUUGGUUCCAUGCCAAGAUGACCGCUCUUUUCGAGGAGUAUACAAGUAAAAAUGCAGAUAAGAGUGUUUUGUCUGGGGAGGGUGAUGUUGCCGAAUACAUUCAUGGGCUGUUUAUGGAUGUCAACACACCAUGGAUAAAUGUUGACUAUGUGUUGUUCCCCAUUCAUAUGUCAUCACCGGACCAUUGGUUUUUGUUGACAUUUAAUGUGCAUCGUAGGCGUCUAACUGUUUACAAUUCUCUGUAGCCAAAAAGGAAAUCCAUGCAAACAAAAAUCAUGGAUGUUUGUGAGCCUUACAUCUUUAUUCUUCCCACUUUACUGCGCAAGACUGAUUUUUGGAGGGAUAGGUGUGACAUUGACUUUAGCAGUGAACCGUAUCGCAAUAAGGAGGAAGAUGAUAUAAUUGAGUUGGAAUUUGCAGAGACGGUUCCUGAACAAGUUGAGGGGUAAGAGUUACAUUGUUUACAUUUUUUUAAUUAUUACAUAUAUGUUGGGUUACCAUGUAUUUGCCUAGUAUUCAUGGUUUAAUAAACUGGUUUUAGUGUACAUGUUGUUUAUGAAUUGGUUAGCAUCAUAUAACUAUUUUGGUUACUAUCAUAUAACUGUUUUGGUUACUAUCAUGUAACUGUUUGGUUACUUAUUCAGUAUGUUUUUUGUUACUAUUUGCUUAUGAUUCGGAAAAUACUCUUGUUCCCUCAACUUUGUAUUUUUGUUAUUUUUUAUGUUGAUUUGGUUACCAUGUAUUUGGGUAGUAUACAUUGGUUGUCUGAACUUGGUUUGGUCAAUAUGUUGAUCAUGUGUACCUUUUAUGAAUUGGUUACUUUCAUAUAACUAUUUUGGUUACUAUCAUGUAACUGUUUGGUUACUUAUGAUGUAUGUUUUUUGUUAUUAUUUGCUUAUAAUUUGGAAAAUACUCUUGUUCCCUCAAUUUUGUUGCAAUAUCAUUUUCAUUAUAGGAUGCUGGAUAUACAUGUUAUUUAUGCUUUGGUUACCAUUAAAAUUGGAUUUGGUUAUUGUUAUCUAAAUAUUUGGUUUCUUAUUUGUUAUAUUUUGAUUACUGUUAUAACAAAAAAGUAACCAAAUAGGUUGGGUUACCAUGUAUUUGCCCAGUAUUCAUGGUUUAAUAAACUGUUUUUAGUGUACAUGUUUAUGAAUUGGUUACCAUCAUAUAACUAUUUGGUUACUAUCAUAUAACUGUUCUGGUUACUAUCAUGUAACUAUUUGGUUACUUAUUUAGUAUGUUUUUUGUUACUGUUUGCUUAUGUUUCUGAAAAUACGUUUGUUCCCUCAAAUUUGUAUUUUUGUUACUUUUUUAUGUUGAUUUGGUUACCAUGUAUUUUUGUAGUAUACAUUGGUUGUCUGAACUGGGUUUGGUCAAUAUGUUGAUCAUGUAUCAGUUACCAUUAAAACAUGGUUUUGUUAAUACGAUAUAACUGUUCGGUUACUUCUUCAGUAUUUUUUUGGUCUACUUUUUUUUGUUUUGGUUGUCUUUAAUUUAUGUUUUGGUUAAUUUUAUAUAUAACUGUUUGAAUACUGCAUAAAAUGAUAUGUACUAUUUCUAGGUUGAUUCUAGUUUUUAAUUUUCGUUAUCUUUUGUCCAUUUGUACAGUGAUUGUGGGAUGUUCACGAUUUGUUUUGCUGAGCAUGUCAUUCACCAGAAGUUUGAUGAAAUUCCUAUUCCAUUCCCCAUUGCGAAAUAUCGGAAGAAGUUAUGCACAAACCUAUAUAUUCAUGUAAGGAACAAACAUUUAGAUGGAUAUGAGACUGACAGAGAAUUCCCAGGAAGAUUUGUUCCAGAUUUUGAUUAGUUCGGAUCUUGUUGUUUUGUCUUUAUGAAUUGUUUUUUGUAUUAGUUUGAUGAAAUGUACAGCUAGUAACCAAACAUGUAUAAAAGGGUAACCAGCUAAUGUUUCGAUAGUAACCAGAGAUUUACAAUCUUGUAUCAGGGCAUAUAUCAAUUGUUAAAUGUACAUGUGAGAUUGUGAGAGUAUACAUUGGUUACCUAAAAAAACAAUAAUAUCACUUUCAUUAUAGUUUGUUGGAUAUACAGGUUGUUUAUGAUUUGGUUACCAUUAAAAUUAGUUUUGGUUACUGUUAUCUAACUAUUUGAUUACUUAUUUGUUAUAUUUUGUUUUAUGUUAUAACAAAUAAGUAACAAAAUAGUUUACUGUUAUGGUCACCAUUUUAUUUUUUAUAAGUAAUCAAUUUUUCAUAAAAUUUGAUAAAAUCAGUAUAUAUCAGUUAUUUAAGUUGAAAUGUUAGGUUGGUAACUGUUUCAUUGGUAACCAAACAUUAUUAUUUAUUAUUUUGUAUCACGAAUGUUAUAAUGUUAAAUGUAUGUGUUUUUUUUAAGAAAUUUUAAUUAAUAGAUUCAAUUAUUAUAUAUGAUUGUCAUUUAUAAACUCAUAUGAAAUUAAAUAUAGUUUUGAGAUGUGCAGUUGGUAUCCAAAUAUUUAUAUAAGGGUAACCAUCUUAGUUUAUGUUUGUAACCAAAUAAUUUACAACUUAUUUUAGGAACAAUUAUCAAGUGCACAAUGUACUUGUGUGUGUUCCCAAUUAUAUUGGCAACUCAUAAUGAAAUCAAAAAUCAAAAUAUUAAUCAAUUACAAUAUUGGUUACUGUUUCAAAAUCAAAAAUUUUACCAACCAUGUGGUAUAUGGUUACCGAUAGUAAACAAUUAUAUAUACAUGUAUGUACACUUUUAAUGUAAAUGUACUAUAUCAGUUUUUUUUUGUCUUAAAACCGGUGGAUUAUUGCAUGUUUUCCUGUUGUGUCCCUUUUCUUGGCAUCUGUUGCAUUUGUUUUGAAUUUUGAUUUCAGAUCCGUGUUUGUACCUCCCUAUUUUUGGUCUUCCAGCUGGUCUUCUUGUGUUUGGUGGUUUUACACAUAUGUUGCUUACUUCCUCUGGUAUAUCCCAGUUUUCUUUGUCAUCUAACGGCAUAAUGGAUGCUGAGUAUGUGUCGACCAAAGUUGUUUUAAAAUAAUUUUUUGAGCAAAAAUCAUAACAGCUCAAAUUUCGCUUUUUCAUAACAGCAGCAGCGUGCAUACAAGGCAUCUCAUGGUACUAAAAUUUACGACAUGAGCAUGUCUUUUGAUCAAUGUCCACAAUAUAUUGUUUAGCGAUAUCGUAAACAGUGAAAAUCACUAAGUUUGAUGUUUCAACCUACAACACAAAUUAAGUAUUGUUAGAAUAAAGUUCAACUGGAAUCAUUUUCAUUGUCUGAAAAUAGGAUAAAAAAAGUGCAGUAGACAACUCAAUGUUAUAAUUACAAAACACAAUAACAUUACAAUUAUACAGAGUAACCAAAUAAGUAUCAGUUAGUAACCAGUGCAUUGAUACACAGUAACCAACUCAGCAGUAGUCAGUAUCUAAUAUAAUGUUAUGCAGUAAGCAAUUAAGUAUUAGUUAGCAACCAAUAUAAUAUUACACAGUAACCAAGUUACCAUUAUUCUGCAACCAAGUCAGUAUUAGUUAGUGACCAUUAUAAUGUUACACAGUAACCAAGUCAGCAUUAGUCAGUAACCAAUACAACAUUAUUUAGUAAUAUUAUGCAGUAUCCAAGGCAACAUUAGUCAGUUACUAAGAUAUCAUUAGACAGUAUAAUGUUACAUAGUAACCAAUAAUGAAAAAUAGGUUUCUAUAAAAUGCAAAUGCAACUUAUGAUGCAAUAAUUUAUAAUUUGUAUUAGUUACCUUAAGUUUCUUUGAUUUAAUGAUAUUAGUUUGCAACCUUCCCUCAGCUAUAGUGGAAAGUGUUGUGAAUGUUGAUAUGGCUGCUUGUUUGUUUGUGAAAUACCAUCUUUGAACAAGACAACGUAGGAAUUCAAUCAUUGAUGCAACUGGAAGAUCCCUGAUCAUCUUGAUUGCGUUGUUAAUAGAUUCGGCGGUGUUUGAAGUUAUUGUUGAGUAUCUGCUUACAGUACCAUGGAGCCUGGUGCACUUCUCCAACUUGACCUCUUCCUCCAAAUAUGUCCUUAUUCGAGGAUCAAUGGCAUCAAGUUCAGCCAUGUGUUUGUUGAAUUGUUCAAUAGUGUAAGCUCUACAAUCCCCGUUAUAAGCCUGUUUAAGUUCCUCUCCCCUCUUUUUGAAUCUAUUUUUUAUAUUUUUCAGUACAUGGUAUGUGCAGGAACCAUGCAUGACGUUCAGAAACACAAAAUUCAGUCCUUGUAUAAUGGCUUCAUGUCUAUCUGAGACAAUGCGUUGGCCUUCCCUAACUCCACAAGCAAUUCUCAAAUUUACAAAAAACCAUCUCCAAGAUAAUUCAUUUUCGCUGUCAACCACUGCAAAAGCAAUCGGAACAAUGUUUCUAUUUGCAUCUUGUGUGCUUGCUAUCAGUAGUGUUCCCCCGUAAGUUGAUUGUAUGAACGUUCCAUCAGUUACAAUUAUUGGAAAGCAAUGUUUCCAUGCUUGAAUGGAUGCUCCAAUGGCAAAGAAUAAAUACUUGAAACGACCAUUUGUUUCCAACUCAAGGGAUGUGACAGAACCUGAUAUGAAACAUGAGGUUUAUCAUUAGGAUUACAAGUAGUAUACAGUAUCCAAAUCACUAGUACUUGGUAACCAUUCAGUUGGUUAAUGGUAACCAAAUCAGUUGAGUUGGGUAACCAAAUCAGUUUAGUUGGGUAACCAUCUAAGUAUGAAAUAACAAAUAAAAUGUCAUUAGAAUUACAAGUAGUAUACAGUAUCCAAAUCAGUAGUAGUUGGUAACCAUUCAGUUGGUUAAUGUUAUCCAAAUCUGUUGAGUAAGGUAACCAAAUCAGUUUAAUUGGGUAACCAAAUCAGUUUAGUUGGGUAACCAAAUCAGUUUAGUUGGGUAACCAACUAAGUAUGAAAAAACCAAUAAAAUGUUUUUAAUUGUUACCUGGAUUUGUUUUCUUCAGCAUGUGUAACCACGAUGGGAUCAUUGAGUAGUCGUGUGGAUUUCCCCUUACCUUUUCCAACGCUUUCUCCUUCGAUCUCCAUGCUUUUUGGUAAGAGAUAGACAUAUUAUAUUCUGUCAUCAUAUCCUCCACAAUAUCGGUUGGUGUGUAUAUUUUUUUUAAAUCUGUUAAUUUGUGCAUUAUGCAUUCAUUGACCAACUCACUAUUUGCCUGUCUGUGGUCUCCAAGCAUUACGUUGGCUGAACAUGUGUGGAUGUCGUUGAAUUCUCUCACCUUGAACAUACUGGUUUUUCAAAAACUUGAUGCUCUCAUCUUCUAUUUGCAAUUUUCAUCAUAUACGUACACUAGCACAAAGUCUCUAUGACUUGUUCGUUGAACUUUGUGUUGUCUGUUUUUCCUGAUUGAAUGCAGCAUCAUAGCUUGAGAUAGGAUUUUUUUAUCUUUGUAUGUUUGAUGUAAUCGUACUUCUCGUUCAUUCGGAUCUAUUAUUACAUCAUCAUAUCGUUCUUCUGUGUUUGAUCUGUCAUGUUGUCUGUCUCGUUGUUGUUCAAUAAUUUCCAUUGCAAGGUGAUCAGCAUAUUGCGUUCCAAUUUGGCAAUCGUGUGUUGGCAGUGGAACUAGUGCUGAAUUCCCUUGUGUUGAUCUAAUUGGCGUUACAGUGUGAAUUAUAGUUUCUUCUACAUUUGUCAAGUUUUGUGAUAUUGUUGUGCGUCCCCUUCUGUGUUCAGUUUUUAUAAUCAACGGGAAUUUACCUUGCUCAUCAGAUUUUCUACUGACUUCAAUAAAGAAUCUUAAGGUUUCUUCAUUUGAUAUACUGAUCGGUGGAAUAUCGCUUCUAGUCUGAAACUUGAUUGAUAAUGUUAUUGUGUUUGUGUCUAGCCGUAAUGCACUGCAUAUCAUGUUUUGCAUAUCUAUGAACGAACAAGUUGAUGGAACUAGUAUGUCGGUAACUUCAAAUUUGGUAUAUUGGUUACUAUCAGUCCAUGUACCGUUGAAAUAAAGUACAACUGGAAUCAUCUCCAUUUUCUGACAACAGAACAAGCAUUUUUAAAGUAACCAAAUCAAUGUUAACUAGUAACCAAACUACAUGAUGUUGGUAACCAGAUAAUAAAACACAUUUGUACAUUCAUCUUACAAUAGAAAUAAUCAGUAUAUUGAUAUUUGUUACAAAUUAAAUUAUAACAGUUGUAUGCAUGUAUCUAAUGUAGCCAAUAAGUAACCAACAUAUUAAAACAAACCAAACUCAUGACAACAUUAUACAUUAAUUAUGACAACAUUAUACAGUAACCAAAUACAUUUUAGUUUGUAAGCAACACAUAUUUAUCUAGUAACCACAAGAUAAAUACAUUUUGCAUUGCAUUUUUAUAGUAAAAAACAACCAGUAUAAUUUGUUUGUUACCAACUAAAGAUAAGCUGUUGUAAGAAUGUAACCAAUAUAGAUAACAAGUAACCAUUAAUAUAAAAAACAUAAGUAGAAGUGUUCAUUAAUAUGCUUCAGCAACCAAUAUUACAGUAUCCAAUUAAUCUCUUCAGUAAUUAAGUUUGCAUUAGUCAGUAACCAAGUCAUUAUUAGUCAGUAACCAAGUCAGCAUUAGUCACUAAAUAGUUUUACACAGUAACCUCCAAUAUAAAAAUAAACAAUUAUAAAACAAUAUAAUAUUAUAAUCAUACACAGUAACUAAUUUAGCACUAUUGAGUAACCAUUAUAAUUUUAUAUAGUAAACAAGACAGCAUUAGACAGUAACCAAUAUAAUGUUAAUCAGUAACCAAAUAAACAUUAGUUAGUAACCAAGUCAUCAUUUUUCAAUAACCAAUUAGCAUUGUUCAGUCAUAUUAUGCACUAAUCAUUAUAAUUUUUCACAGCAACAAAUUCAGCAAUAUUCAGUAACCAUAUAAUUUUACACAGUAACCUAAUCAGCAUUAAUCAGUAACCAAUAUAUUGUUACACAAAAACCAAUACAUCAUUAGAUAAUAACUAAGACAACAUUAGACAGUAACCAAGAUAUCAUUAGACAGUAUAAUGUUAUAUAGUAACUAAGAUAACAUUAGAGAGUAACCAACAGUUGCAGGAAGGUAACCAAUUUAUUUGAUGAGUAACCAUUAAUAUAAAAAAAUUGAGAGAACUCAUUUAAAAAUUAUAAAGCCAUCAAAUAAAUUUAGCAAACAAAUACACAAUAAAAAGUAACAAAUUUAUAUCUAUUUAGUAACCAUAAUAUAAAAAUAUCAAUGAAUCAACCAAUUGUUAUAGGAAUUUGUAGUAACCAAUUAUUAUAUGAAUUUGUAGUAACUUAAGAAAGGUUAUCAAUAUAGGAAUUCGUAAAAAACAUAUAUAACUAUAUGCAUAUGAAUUUUAAACUCACAUACCUCAGUAUUCAGAUUUGUAUCGAAGUUGCUGCGAUUUUUUUACUGAACUUCAACAAUCACUGUAGUAAGAUUGUUUUUGGUUACUGAACUUGAAGUUGCUGUUGAUUUUGUAUGCUAGUUUGCGAUCUCAGCGUGCCGCCGCAACGAAAAGCUUCGUCUUCUCCGAUCUCAAUGGUGUGUCGCGCUAGAAGAUUUGGAUUUCUCCGGUAUCAAAAUUGCAUGUUUUGUUCAGUUGCUUGAAUGUAGGAGCGGUUAGUUACAUUUAGAAGAGUCCGUAACUGACGUAUACGUGCUUUUAACAACUUUAUAUUGUGUUGUUUUAUUUUUGUAAUUAUGUUGUGUGUUUUAUUUUUAUAAUUACUUUCUAAUUGUUGUAUAUUAGUCUUAAGGACCCAUUUUCAUUUACUUUGGUAAUCGCUUUAUUUUAUUUUGUUUUUAUGUGCUUUUUUUUUUCUAAUAGUCAACAGAAAAUGUCGUUUGGUAGCUAUUUCUGUUUUUUUUUAUUUUGCAAACGUUUCAAUUUUUGGGCCCAAAACUCAAAAAAAAUAUUAUGUUUUUUGUUUUGUUUUAAAAAAAAAUGAAAGCAUAUAUAUAUAUUUUUGUCUAGUCUUUAUUAUAAAUUCGUGACCUUUUGCUGCUUUCAUAUAUAUAUAUAUAUAGAGGAAGGAUCAAGAGCAUUCUCCUUAUCUAACACUCCUUAAAUAGUGCUCCUUUAUUAAAAUUACGUCAUUUUGGAGUUUAUUUUAAAAAAUAAGUGGGGCCGCGGGUGGUAUUUUUGUAAAUAAAAGGAAAGUAAGUGGAACCACUCUUUUUUAAGAGUCUCCAAAACGAAGUAAUUUUAUUAAGGAGUGCUAUUUAAGGAGGAAUACUAGAUAAGGAGAGUGCUCUUGAUCCUUCCUAUAUAUAUAUAUUAACUGUUUACUGCAUUUAAAUAUUUGUUUUAACUGCUCAUUCAAUGUAAAUCCAUAAUAUGUAAAUAUGUGGGCUAGAUUUAGAUAAAUCUAGUCAUAUCUAAUUUUUAACCGGUUCAAAAGUUGUAAAACUGGAACCGUUGAGCUAAAAUGACUAAGAUUUAUUUAAAUCUAGUUUUAUUUUUAGUUUUUAUUAUUAUGUGAGCCUAGGAGCCACGAGGUCUAAGAUCCAACUAACGGAUCUAGAUCUAGUUCCCACGAUGGACCCUUUUCAGCUGUACAACCAAAUUGUAAAUUAUUUAUGAUGUUUGGACAUCCUUCGAUGGCUUUCAUGCCCAUAAGGAGCCCGACACUGCUAUGUAUAUUAUUUUUUCGAAGAUGUUUCGCAUCUCGAAAAUAAAAUAAAAUCAAGCCGAAUAAGGAAUAAAAUGAAAAUAUCAAAGGCCUCAAUUACUAUUGAGAAUACGGGUUUGAAAACCUAUUUUCAAAAUAUCACUGCUAUAUACAUAUUACUUAAAAUUGAACUUUUAUGCAAAUCAAACCCUUUGUAUAUAGGUGCAAACGAGGCAUAACACUACUUUCAAAUAACUGCACUUAGGCCCAAUAAACACACACACACACACACACACACACACACACUUCAGAUAAAUUAAGGAAUUGAAAAGUCGCGGUAACCGUAUUUUCACGGAAGUUGAGGGGUGCCUAACACCUUCCCCCCACUAAAUCAAGUUCCCGAACUUUGUGAAUCUCGAUUUCCAAGGCCUGUUAAAUAGAGUCCAAUAAUUGGGCCUUUGUGUAAACCUUUUCAAAUUUGGUUGAGUUGGUACAACCAUUUUAAAACUACCAACUAGUGACUCUAAAUUUUUAAAUCGUCGACAUUUUAUGUUGGACUCUUUUCAAACUCGCCUUUUCAAACAAAACUCAACACAUAGAGAACAUAAAGGGUAAAAAAGAAAAGAAGAAAUUUUUCUCUACGUCGACAUAUGUUGUCCGAUUUUUGUUAGAGAUAAUUAAGUGUAAGUAUACACGAUCAACAAGUAAUAAAUUGAUAAGAGAGUGUCGAACCCACAUGAGCCUAUAUCUAACAACUACUAGUUUUUUAAUCAAUUCAAUUUUUUUUAAAGAAUCACAAUUUUAGAAAUAAUGAUUAAAAAUAUUUAAAGUAAAACUAAGUUUAAAAUCUAACACAAAGGUUGAAAUUUAGAUAAAAAAGCUCAAAAGUACAAUUUCCCCGAUUAUGCCAUAUAAAUCAAUUAUUCAAUUCAUCUAAUUAUUAAAUCCAUUAUAGUUGUUAACAAGAAUUUAUGAUUAUUUAUAAGCCCUUUCCCAAGGAUCAGAUAAAAUUAUUCAACUCAAUUAAUCUUGCUAUAUUCCUAUGCAAAACAAAAGAAUCAAAUUCAUUAAGUAUCAAUUCUCAAUAGUUACAUGCAUUGAAAAGAGCUAUCCUUAUUCAAUUUACAACACUAAUUAUUUAUCUCAUGCAAAUAAUUAAGAAUACAAGCUAUCAUAUUCAGAUCUAACACUAAAUUUUAUCUCCCAAAUUCAUCUAGUGCAUCCCGCUAAUUGUUGGCCAGACAAUUAAUCAAUAAGUAUAAAAUAGGAUAGACAACUCAAAUUGAAUAAAUAAUUGGACUUCAAUAGAUAAUUAAUCCAUAAGCAUAAAAGGUUCAAAUGAAGUCUUAAUUACAAAUUUAGUUUAUGCUGAAAAUUAAAACUAAAAAUCCCAAAUAAGACAUCAUAAUAAAAUUACAAAUAUGAAUAAGGAAGUAAAGAAAAACUCAAAAAGUCUUCUUCCGCCUUCACAUCUCUAGUUUGCAAAUCUUUGCGUGCUUCUCUAGAACCUUCAAUAUUCACACUCUAGCAAUCUAAGUCAAUCUCUGUGUGUGUUAGGAUGAAUAGCCUUCCCCCUUUUAUAAAGAACUCCUCCUCUAAGUCAAUUUCAAUUAAAAUCCAAAAUUAAAUAGGACUUUCGCAGUAGAACCCAUCUUGCACAAAAGUUUGAGCAACUCAUUCUGAUCCCCAAUGCCCUCAUGCUAGGUUUGAAAUGGAUAAGAGCUCCCCGACGCUGGUGAGCUCCCAUAAUUUAUAAUUUGCCCUUUUAAGCCAAAAUUCAUACUUUGGCCCCACGUUCCUCUGACCUGCAAAAUAACAACUAAACAAAUAAAUAUGUCCUAAAAUGCUUAUAAAAUAACAAUAUAUCAAGUCUAAAAGUACUUGAUUCAUGGAAAAAUUAUUCAAUCAUCAAAUACUCCCAAACAUACACAGUUGUUUGUCCUCAAGCAAUGCAAAUGAACAAAAUGAAUGCAACUAACUAACAUGGUUUUGCCAACUCAAGCAUGAAUCAACACAAGUAUCCAUAGAUAGCCUCAAAUUUCCUUAACCAUAACUCAAAUGAAUGUUCAAACUCAAGCAUAACUUAAAGCUUAAAAAUAUCCUCAAUGACUUCAUUUUCAACCCAAGUGUGUGUGUUAACAUGUCAGUCCAAUCAUAAUUCAGUCGAACCUAUGAAUCAUAUAGCUCAAAGAAAGAUAAUCACAUAUAUAAAAAAUUUACUUCACCUCUAUAACUUAGACACCCCGUAUUUCAAAAUUUCUUUUAUUCAUAUUUUUAUUUAUUUAUUCAUAACGAGUGCGUUUUACGCUCCAUCUUUUUUUUUUAUUAUUUCUUGACUUGUGCAAUGUUAAUCUUUAUUAGGCUUUUCAAAGUUACCCAUGUAGCGAACUUUUGACCAAUGACUCCCAAGCCAGUCGACUUUAGGGCACUAAGUGUAAAAACACUACUAAGGGCUUACUUGUUCGAGUAACAGAGACCACAAAGAUAACAAGUCAAUUUUUUUUUCAUUUUUAAUUUUUUUUAAUAAAUAAUUGAAUUUCAACAUACUAGAUAAAACUAAGUUAUAGAGUUUUCUUAACUUUCCUAAACCAUAAUUUUCUUCAGUUCAAACUUCAUCAUAACUAGAUCCAAUAUAAUAAAUAAGUGCAAUUAAGCCCAAGGUUUCCCAUAAAGCAAACUAACAAUAUUCACGAGCUAAUUUAGCUAUCAUUAUCCCAUUCAUUCCAGUUAUUACUUAAUUCACACAUUCUUAUCAUCGACCAUCAAAAACAUUCCAUAUCUCAUCUUGCUUAAAUUACCCUAAAUGCGAUGUAUGCAACACAAUAUAUGCAAAACUAACAAAUAAACAUGAAUAACUAUAACUAGAUGCAAAUUAAUCUAAAUGAAUAAAUGUCCUUCUAUGCACACACAAUAUAUGCAAAACUAACAAAUAAACAUAAAUAACUAGACGCAAAUCAACAUAAAUGAAUAAAUGUCCUACUAUGCAUAAUGCUAACAAAACAGAACACCCCCAAACUUGACUAGAGCAAUGUCCUCAUGCGAAAGAUAUAGAAAUUAUAAAACUAAGGACUUCCUUGAUUAGGUCAAUUGUUGCGAUCGACCUCCUCAUCGCUCUUAACUUCUUGAUCAUCUGAUGGGGGAAAAAACAAGCAACGUGGGCGCCACAGGAAACAAGAUAAGGUCUACGGAGGGAUUCAUUCGAGAGAACAUAUCUACUAGUGCAUUGUUGAAACUAACAUUAUAAGAGAAUAUUGCGUCUUGUCGGGAGGCUAAUUGAACAUUUUUAUCCUCUAGGCAGUACAUCCAUCCAUUCACUUCUUGUUUAACUUCUUUAGAAACAACACGGCAUGGAGUGGCGGGGUAAAAACUUGUGGCCAUGGGAGUCGGAUCCUGCUGAGGCCCAGACUUUACAAUAAUAAACCCCAAGCCCCGCGGAUGUGACUCGUCACCGCCCCAAACUUUGUACCUCAUGAUCAUAAUAUGGUCCAACAGUGGCAUUGAUUGGAUGAUCAUCUCAUUUGUUUUCCAUUGUACCCUUGACUGAUCACAUAAAGCACAAAUUUGGGAUGGGUGGGGCAGCCCACCUGUUUUAUCGCCCUCUACAGCAUGCAUAAUUGAGUUUCGAAUGAUUAUGCCUACAUCAAUUAAUUUUCCUCUUAGAAGGCAAUAAAGUAGCACCGUCCUCUCUUUAGUCACAUCGCUGAUGUGAGUACUUGGCACAUAGGAAAACGUACCAAGCCUUUCUAUACUGGCUAAGUCGUGAGUGUGGAAAUGUCAUGCUCCCUCGCUCGUGAGUUUUCCAUGUUGUGUGUCUAGCACAACUCCUGAAUGAGCUAUGUAUAAUUCAGUCCUUGACUCACGAACGUUAAAUAUUGGUUGACAUGACCCAAGUCUGGCAAAUUAUAGAACUUGUUGAUAUUAAUGCUGGUGAACUCAACUGUCUUUCCUCUCACUUGCACCCCAAAGUGGUAAUAUUCCUUAACAUUUGCUUAAAAUUCCUUUAUCACUUUAUAACUGCAGGAUCAGGUUGUUCUGUGAAGUUAAACCAGUCUUUCUCUGCUAUCAUUACUUCCAUCUCUCCAUCUUUGGUAUUAUUCAACCUCAAUCCCCUUUCCAGAAUUAAAGGUCUCUACGUCAUUCUGUUAUAUCUCUCUUUAGCCUCGGCACUAAUGAACCUCUUUUUGUCGAAUGGUUUGGUUGGGGAUGAGGAUGAGUUGUCACAUCUCUAUCUCUUUGAAGCCAUUGUUGCAACCUAGAAGGAAAACAAAUCAAUGUCAGUCACUCAUAUAAUAUAGACUCAUCAUAAGUAGUAAUAUGCAAAAAAUGACGAAUAAACACCACCACAUACGAAUGUUAUGCAUGCCACCCCCAAACUUGAAAUUUAGUGCAACUUAAAUCAACAUGGUGUCAUUUGUACACGUAUGUGCCAAUCAAUAAUGUAUUAUAGCCAAACUAGUCUCCAAUUACCCAAUUUCAUUAAUUACCAAACACCCUUAUGUAUGUUUAUGUAACAUGUAAGCAAGCUCCAAAAGAUAAUAUCACUCAUACCCAACUAAUUUAGUAUUUGCAUAAAUAAGUAUUUCAUAAAUAGUGGAAACUAUAUCAAUUAUAACACUAUACUUUGUAUACUUAGCCUCAAUUUGCAACUCAAAAAUAAAAUACAGUUUAAAACAAUCAUGAUGCUAUAUAAAACCCAUCACAUGUUACCAGGAUGCCAUAAUACUCUCAGAAACAUGCACGAACACAAUUGUAUAUCAACAUCAUGAUUAAUCCCCAAACUUACCAGCUGAACUUGAUUUGUUUGAAUUGAAGCAUGUUGAGACCAUGGAUAACACUUAAAAUUAAGAUCCAAAUGAUAUAAUAAGGAGUUGUUUCCAUGUAACGCCCCAAAAUCCGGUCUAUCUUCUCACCCGAAUUCCGUACGUCACGGUCCCACUUCUUUUCAACAUACAUCAUUAUAUAGUGAAAUAUAACAACAUACAUUCUCAAUUCCCAAGUUCUAAUACCUUAUAACCUCAUUCUUUACAAAUAAUGAUAAUUACAUUAUUCUUUAUCUCUUACAAGAGUGACUUUCAUCCACCACCAAGGAUACAUAACCGUUCAUUAAACUAUUAUAUAGUUUAAUUACAUUAUUCUAUAUUACAAGUCUUCGCUUGAUCUUCACGCUCAUUCACCUAUGGAAUGGCACUUCGUUUGGAUACCGAUCAACUUGAUCUUUACGGGAUCCUUAAGUUCUUUCUAACAUCGUUCGCUGAAAAUAUUUUUAUUUAAAGCAAGUGUGAGCAUUCAAUUGCUCAGCAAGUCUUAGCAGUUGAAAAAAUAACUUCAAGAAUUUAAACAUUCUUUUAAGACUUCAAUAACCGAACAAAGGUUAUGAAGCAACUUGAAUAAUAGGAAUAAUUCUGAUUCCUAUCAUUUUACAACAUUAAUCACAUUCACUUUGAAAUACUUUCAUUCUUCUACCUUUUUCAUACACAUCCUGUCUGGCUAGAAUCAAUAGCAUAGACUUAACAAUAACGGUUCAUGUAUAAACAGAACAUUAUCAUAUUGAGUAGUUCAAUCACUGAACAAUUCAUCCCAUAAAAACGCCGAAGUGUUCAAAUUGUGGCACAAGGCCUCAUACGUUCUACCACCUUGUACAAAUAUCACACAUUUGCACAUAGACAGAACUACUCAAGUUCAACAUCUGAGAAGUUUAAGAAACUAACAUUCAUUUAAAAUAUGAAUGAAGUUAGGAAACUUGCCUUACGCACAGCUACAACUUAUAGUUUACGUUGAACUGUUUACCGAAAUCUCUAUACAACACAUAAGGAAAUAGCACAUACACCAAUUAGUCAUCUUCUUGACUUUACGCAUUGGUUUACUUAACCUUACUUCCUAGGGUUCACGUUCUUGAUCAACUUUCUUUACCGGUUUACGGCUUCAUGACAUAUGGAGAUGUCUUACUCAUACAAUCAUCAUCUUUGAUGAUUUAUAUUCUUAUCUUCUUCUUAUAACUUUUAUAUGACUCAGCACACAUCGUGUCUCUGCUAGUAGUCUAUACGGUACUCUGAGUGGUUUACCACAAACAACCAACAAACAAGUUCCCAUCUCAUCUACACUGCCAUCACAGUGAGUUAGAUCGGUUGACAGUUUCGUAUAUACCGUCGCUCUCUGAAGGAAUUGUUUAGCCCAACUCCCAUAUGUCAACCAUCAAAGGUUACAAUUGUACUACAACCUAAACUCUUCUUAACUUAUCCGAACCAUUAAACUAUAAUGUUUGUUAAGUUAACUUCUUAUUCCUUAUGGCUUUCUGGCAACUAAAUGACAUACCUCAGGAUUCAUUCCUAUCUUCUAAGUCAUAUGGUCUUUUGUAUACUUAGAACGAUUAUUCAAUAUUAAUUCUACGCAUUCAUAGUGUUAAGCAUUUUACGUCACCUUAUUCUUAUCUUACAACGUCCGGUUCAUUCAACUCGGAACGUCAUCCAAGUUAUAAACAUCAACUCGGCUUCUUUACGUUAUGCGUACUUGUUUUAAAUUUAGCUUUUUCACCGUUCACGGUUUAAUCAUUGGUCUUCAUUAUCAUAUGGUCAAACCAUACACAGGGUGUAGGUUCUGCCCAUUUAGUAUUCGCAUACACUUAACCUUCACGUUGGUUAAAUUGUUUAACGAUUACAUUUCAUUCUAACAUUCUCCAUCCGACUCACAUUCGGCUUUCAUUAAUCUUAUUACCGUUCGCUACGGCUUUCCUGAUAAUUCAUAUCUUACUUACUACCUUUGUCAACGUCUAAGUUAUACAAUCAAUGUAUACUCAGAACGUUCGCCCGACGCAAAUACGACUCACGAGAAUUGUUUACGUAUUCAGCGUUCACGUUACUCGUCUCUUAAUUCUAUUCAACCUUUAUCCAAGGUUUUAAUCGCUCUCAUUCAUUAUCUAAUACAUGAACCCCACGUUCAUUAUUCUUUCUUAAUGUCGAAGCCAUAUGGUUCGUUGUAUGCUAAGACCAAUCGUUGUUCACAGCGUCUAAACGUUUUACACUUAUCUCUCAUUACGACAUCAUAACAUCGAAAUGUUAAUCAUUACUCUCGUCACUCAACAUCUAAGGAAUCACAAUCAUAGCAAUCCCCCACGUUCGUUUUAUUGCAACUAUGGUCCCCGGAUAUUGGUUACGUAAUCUACCGUUAAAUUCUCUAUCUUUUAAUUCCAUUCAAUCUUUUCAUUCAACCUUCAUUUAAGGUUUAAAUCACUUGAUUAAGUGUUACAUUAGUUGAACAUUAUUUUCUUUAUCUUCCCUUACGUUUUCCCCAAGAGCUGAGCAGUUAAAAGCUCUUCUCUGGCUUUUUCCCUACACCGGCGUUGCGGCGCCGGUUCCUUCUCUUUCUCUCGCAUUGCAGCGCCACUCUGCAGUGUCUAACUGCUCGGGCUAGCAUUGUGGUGCUGCCUCCCAAGGCAUGGUUGGCGCUGCGGUGCCAAGCCUAAAACUCAAAAUUUUUUUCUAAGUGUUGAACCUGUUUGAGACGCUUACUUCCCGAUCUCAUAAAUUAUUCGUUAUAACUCAGAACGAGGUCGUUCCAAAGCCAUUCUCUUCCUUAUCUUACGUACUUCAAUUCCCCUCAGACAGAACUUCAUUCUGAAUCUACUAACAUGCCAUUCGAUUGGCUUAAUCUUCAUCAUUCGUUCAUUUUACGUUAUUAACGUUCUUCGUUCGUUCGUCCGUAAUUCGAUCAUCCGAACUCGGAACUCAUUCGUUCUUGAGUCCAUGACUCACGUUUUCUACAUUCUCUUACUUUCUUAUGAAACCCUACACCUUCCAGUUCAUUUACAAAAUUUCUAAUUCUCGUUUGUCUUUUACGAAAUUUUUGCCAUAACUUCGUUAUAGCUCACUUUUAAUCUGUUUUUCAUGAACGUUUCUACAGUUCCUAACCAAGCAAUAAGCAUCUAACUUAUACGUGAUGGUUUUAAACUUUUCCAUCAAUAAAAAUUAUAGUACGAUGGUUUUAAAUUUGUCCAUCAACAACGUUCUUCGUGUUCUUUACGUGUUCUUCGUUCGUUCUUCAUUUUUAAUCGAUAUUUUGAUUACGAUUUCACUUUUUCUUAGAAUUCGGUGUUAUAAAACACCAUUCCUUACUAAUUUCACCAAAUCGUUCAUAUGAUUCAUUCGGAUUGUUCAAAUUCAUUACGAAACUUAUACUUCCUUAAGAAAUUAUAAACUAAAUUUCUAAUUCUUAUUUCUUCGUUUUCUCAUGAUUUCAACCAUAUGAAAUCAUUCUUAACAUCUUCUAUUUCUAUUCUCAUUAAUUUAUGUUUUUAACAUAUAAAACUUAAAGAAAAUUUAUAAGAGACUAGGUUUUGGAUUAUCUUUCUCCUUUAAUCUUCUUCUGUUGGACAAAAUUUGCUCUCGGUCUAGCUUUUCCUCUCAUCCGAAUUCUCUUUCUCUUUCUCAAGUGUUGGUGAUUUUUCAAAAUCACCAACAAAUGAUUUAAGCUUCCUUUUAUAGAAAACCAAAGCUAGGAGUAAAAUAGUCAUUUCAUCCCAAAGUUACUAUUCACACCUCCUUACUAUUCAUGAAGCUUAUCCUAGAAUCUUUGUGCUUCUGUCUUGCACAAUUUGUCCGACAGUUCAAAAAUUGCGAUUCUCGGAAUUCAAAUUUUUUUGGAUAUUUCGUCUUUCCUUUACCGAUUAACUUUUACGUAUUCUUCGGAUCUUCGAAAAACUAAAAAAGACUUUUCGACGUUAAGCGUUUUCCUUCACGUUUUUCCCUAACGUAGCUAAACAAAUAAAAAGUACAUAACAAUACUUUUCAUCAUUUUUAUUUCGUCUGAUUUCUACACGUUUUUUGAGAAAAACUUUUAUCGUCUUACUUAAAUUUUCAUGAUAUACUAUCGUCAAAUCUUUGACGGAAUGUCAUUUUGACAUACCGAACUCUUAAAAAGGCUUAGCUUAUUCAAACCCUAACCCUUAAGAUUUUGUCAGGUGAAUAGUAUCUAUUUCGUCUUUUUCCCCAGAAAUAUUUUGUUCUCGAAAUUUUUUUAUUUUCGUCUUGAAAAUUCUUACUCGUUCAGUCUAGCUCGUUGCUAAAAUCCUCCCAUUUUAUAAUCAUCCUAUGUUCUAGAACGAUUAAUAAACGCAUAACACAUAAUAUUAUUAAUAAAAAUUCCUUUUAUUAAUAACUAAUUCUUUAAACUUAAAUUAUGGACAAUCCAGUUCUCCGGGUUGUCACAUUUCCCCUCUUAUAAAAAUUUCGUCCUCGGAAUUUCCAAAACCACACCCAUACCCGGGUGCUUUAUUCCUACAACGUUUAGCAAAGGUUUAAUCUUAAUUCAUCCUUUUCAUAAGGAUAAUCUGUUGACAUAAUCGUCAUUAGUUAAACCUCACUUCUAACUAUACUUUCAAUCUCUCGGGUCAUCACAUUCACCCCUUCUUCAUAUAAUUUUGUCAUCAAAAUUUUAGCUUACUCUUCUUCUCAACUUCUCUUCAAAGAAGUUCUUAUCUUUCAAACAUUCCCUAACCUUCAUAACUUAUCAAGAAUCAUGAAGUAGAAGGAAUAAAUAGUAAUAUAAAGAUUCCUUUAAAACAUUUCAUACUUUUGCUAAGGGGUCAAAUCGACCAUGAACUCUUACUAGGUUUAACAGUAUUUUACCGUAAACCCUUCUAUCACGGUCAGUUUAUAAUCACCAAGAAGGUAAACUACCUCUUCCAUACGUAGGCGAUCAGCCCAUCGUAUAACCCCAUUUCGGGAUAUGUUCACCUCAGACUUAAUCAUUAGAUUCCUCACCAAAACAAUUUGGUUCGGCAUAACUCUUCAAAGAAAGCUCUCUUUUCUUAUAAUAUGACAUACCAUUUGUCUUAGCCAAAUCAAAUAACUUAGACCAUACCAAUAAAUUGGAUAUCAACUUGAAACAUUCGUCUAGUCAAAUCAAUUGACAUCAACUAUUUCUUUAAAUUCUUUUGUAAUACAUCAAAACAUUUUAUGACAUCAUGAUACCGUACUUUUCACAGUACGUUGAGGAUUUCAUCAGUUUAUGACUUCAUCAUUAUACAUCAUACCAUAGCGGGUUGUUGAUCAUAAGAUCACAUCCAACACUAGGUUCAAUUGCAUUAAUAACUCCAUCCAUUUACCAUCCUUGCAUCAAAUGCACUGAUGAUAUAAAAUUCAUUUUGAUAUUUCAAAUCAAUUUUUGUCUAGUCAAAACAAUUAGCAUAGACAUAUAAAGAAUAGUUCUUUUUAAAAUCCAUUGAUUCCAAAAGUUGAACCAAUUCUUUCAUUUUCAAAAUGCGCACAUAUAAGCACGAUUUCAAUAAACUUCGAAAUCUAGCAUAGCUAGAUGACUUGGAAUAUCUUAUUCUCCAUCUUCCUUUAUUGUCUUACUUGCAACAAUACUUAAUCUUCUCUAGCACCUUCAAUGCUAAUUCUAUUGAAAAUACACGUUUUAAGUCUAAACAUUCCUAUACCUUAGUAUAGUCUGUUAACUUACCACACAAAGGUUCAUACAACUCAACUAUCACAUGAGUCCUCAAUUGAAAUCUUACAACUUCUAACCUUCUCUCUCCUUAAUACGAAUUUUCUUUAAUUCGUAUGCUAUCCUUUACAACUCAAUCUGAGUUCUUCUUCCCAUACUACUUCGUAGUACCAUUCAUUUAUGGCAUUAACUAUAAAUCAUCCAUCGUUUAACAUAACAUCUGUUAUUACGAUUUAAUAUGAUCACAUGGUGAUCUUCUUCCUUAAUCGUUUAACACAACAAUUUUCAUAACAUUCUCUCUACGAUUAUAGCCUUAGGUACUCAUACCUAAGGUUUAUAACCUAUCAACUUUGAUACCACUCUGUAACACCUCGAAAUCCGAUCUAUCUUCACACCCGGAUUCCAUAUGUCACGGUCCCACUUCUUUUCAACAUAUAUCAUUAUAUAGUAAAAUAUAACAACAUACAUUCUUUUAAGACUUCAAUAACCGAACAAAGGUUAUGAAGUAGUUUGAAUAAUAGGAAUAAUUCUGAUUUCUAUCAUUUUAUAACAUUAAUCACAUUCACUUUGAAAUACUUUCAUUCUUCUACCUUUUUCAACACAUCCUGUCUGGCUAGAAUCAAUAGCACAGACUUAACAAUAACGGUUCAUGUAUAAACAGAAAAUUCUCAUAUUGAGCAGUUCAAUCAUUGAAUAGUUCAUCCCAUAGAAACACUGAAGUGUUCAAAUUAUGGCACAAGGACUCAUACGUUCUACCACCUUGUACAAAUUCACACAUUUGCACAUAGACAGAACUUCUCAAGUUCAACAUCUGAGAAGUUUAAGAAACUAACAUUCAUUUAAAAUAUGAAUGAAGUUAGGAAACUUGCCUUAUGCACAGCUACAACUUAUAGUUUACGCUGAACUGUUUACCAAAAUACCUAUACAACACAUAAGGAAAUAACACAUACACCAAUUAGUCAUCUUCUUGACUUUACGCAUUGGUUUACUUAACCUUACUUCCUAGGGUUCACAUUCUUGUAAUCUAAGUUUACGCGACCAACUUUUUUUACCGGUUUACGACUUCAUGACAUACGGAGAUGUCUUACUUAUACAGUCAUCAUCUUUGAUGAUUUAUAUUCUUAUCUUCUUCUUAUAACUCUUCUAGGACUCAACAUACAUCAUGUCUCUGCUAGUAGUCCAUAUGGUACUCUGAGUGGUUUCCCAAAAAUAACCAACAAACAAGUUCCCGUCUCAUCUACACUUCCAUCACAGUGAGUUAAAUCGGUUGCCAGUUUCGUAUAUACCUUCGCUCUCUGAAGCAGCUCCCAUAUGUCAACCAUCAAAGGUUACGAUUGUACUACAACCUAAACUCUUCUUAACUUAUUCGAACCAUUAAACUAUAAUGUUCGUUAAGUCAACUUCUUAUUCCUUAUGGCUUUCUGGCAACUACAUGACAUACCUCAGGAUUCAUUCUUAUCGUCUAAGUUAUACAGUCUUUUGUAUACUCAGAACGAUUAUUCAAUAUUAAUUCUACGCAUUCAUAGUGUUAAGCAUUUUACAUCACCUUAUUCUUAUCUUACAACUUCCGGUUCAUUCAUCUCGGAAUGUCAUCCAAGUUAUAAACAUCACCUCGGCUUCUUAACGUUAUGCGUACUUGUCUUAAAUUCAGCUUCUUCACCAUUCAUGAUUUAAUCAUUGGUCUUCAUUAUCAUACGGUCAAACUAUACACAUGGUGUUAGUUCUGCCCGUUUAAUAUUCGUGUACACUCAACCUUCACGUUGGUUAAAGUGUUUAAUGAUUACAUUUCAUUCUAACAUUCUCCUUCUGACUCACAUUCGGCUUUCAUUAAUCUUAUUACCGUUUGCUACGGCUUUCCUAAUAAUUCAUAUCUUACUUACUACCUUUGUCAACGUCUAAGUCAUACAACCAAUGUAUACUCUGAACGUUCGCCCGAUGCGAAUACGACUCACGAGAAUCGUUUACGUAUUUAGCGUUCACUUUACUCGUCUCUUAAUUCUAUUCAACCUUUAUCCAAGGUUUUAAUCGCUCUCAUUCAUUAUCCAAUACAUGAACCCCACGUUCAUUAUUCUUUGUUAAUGUCGAAGCCAUACGGUUCGUUGUAUGCUAAGACCAAUCGUUCAUCGUAAUUGCGUUGCGUUCACAGUGUCUAAAUGCUUUUCACUUAUCUCUCAUUACGACAUCAUAACAUCGAAAUGCUAAUCAUUACUCUCAUCACUCAACAUCUAAGGAAUCACAAUUAUAGCAAUCCCCCAAGUUCGUUUUAUCGCAACUAUGGUCCCCGGAUAUCGGUUACAUAAUCUACAGUUAAAUUCUUUGUCUUUUAAUUCCGUUCAAUCUUUUUGUUCAACCUUCAUUUAAGGUUUAAAUCACUUGAUUAAGUGUUACAUUAGUUGAACAUUAUGUUCUUUAUCUUCCCUUACGUUUCCCCCAAGAGCUGAGCAGUUAAAAGCUCUUCUCUGGCUUUUUCCCUACACCGAUGCUGCGGCGCCGGUUCCUUCUCUUUUUCUCACAAUGCAGCGCCACUCUGCAGGGUCUAACUGCCCGGGCUGGCACUGCGGUGCCGCCUCCCAAGGCAUGGCUGGCACUGCGGCGACAAGCCUAAAACUCAUAAAUUUUUUCGAAGUGUUGAACCUGUUUGAGACGCUUACUUCCCAAUCUCAUAACUUAUUAGUUAUAACUCAGAACAAGGUCGUUCUAAAGCCAUUCUCUUCCUUAUCCUACGUACUUCAAUUCCCCUCAGAUAGAAAUUCGUUCUGAAUCCGUUAACAUGCCAUUCGAUUGGCUUAAUCUUCGUCCUUUGUUCAUUUUACGUUAUUAACGUUCUUUGUUCGUUCGUCCGUAAUUCGGUCAUCCUAACUCGAAACUCGUUCAUUCUUGAGUCCAUGACUCAUGUUUUCUACAUUCUCUUACUUUCUUAUAAAACCCUAUACCUUCAGGUUCAUUUACAAACUUUCUAAUUCUCGUUCAUCUUUUACGAAAUUUUCACCAUAACUUCGUUAUAGCUCAGUUUUAAUCAGUUCUUCAUGAACGUUUCUACCAUUCCAAACCAAGCAAUAAGCAUCUAACUUAUACGUGAUGGUUUUAAACUUUUCCAUCAAUAAAAAUUAUACUACGAUGGUUUUAAAUUUGUCCAUCAACAACGUUCUUCAUGUUCUUCACGUGUUCUUCGUUCGUUCUUCGUUUUUAAUUGAUAUUUUGAUUACGAUUUCAAUUUUUCUUGGAAUUCGGUGUUAUAAAACACCAUUCCUUACUAAUUUCACCGAAUCAUUCAUAUGAUUCAUUCGGAUCAUUCAAAUUCAUUACAAAACUUAUACUUCCUUAAGAAAUUUAUAAACUAAAUUUCUAAUUCUCAUUUCUUCAUUUUCUCAUGAUUUCAACCAUCUGAAAUCAUUCUUAAUAUCUGUUAUUUCUAAUCUCAUUAAGUUAUGUUUUUAACAUAUAAAACUUAAAGAAAAUUUAUAAGAGACUAGGUUUUGGAUUAUCUUUCUCCUUUAAUCUUCUUCUGUUGGACAACAUUUGCUCUCGGGCUAGCUUUUCCUCUUCCUUUUUCCUCCCAUCCGACUUCUCUAUCUCUCUCUCUUUUGUUGGUGAUUUUUCAAAAUCACCAACAAAUGAUUUAAGCUUUCCUUUUAUAGAAAACAAAAGGUAGGGGUAAAAUAGUCAUUUUGCCCCAAAGUUACUAUUCACACCUCCUUACUAUUAACGAAUCUUCUCCUGGAAGCUUCGUGCUCCCGUCUUGCGGAAUUUGUCUGACAGUUCAAAAACUGCGAUUCUCAGAAUCCAAAUAUUUUUGGAUAUUUCGUCUUUCCUUUACCGAUUAACUUUUACGUAUUCUUCGGAUCUCCAAAAAACUGAAAAAUAAUUUUUGACGUUAAGCGUUAUCCUUCACGUUUUCGCCUAACGUAGCUAAACAAAUGAAAAGUACAUAAUAGUACUUUUUGUCAUUUUUAUUUCGUCCGAUUUCUGCAUGUUUUUUAAGAAAAACUUUUAUCGACUUACUUAACUUUUCACGAUAUACCAUCGUCAAAUCUUUCGACGGAAUGUCAUUUCGACAUACCGAACUCUGGAAAAGGCUUAGGUUAUUCAAACCCUAACCCUUAGUGUUUCAUUGGGUGAAUAAAGUCUAUUUCGUCUUUUUCCCCAGAAAUAUUUUGUUCCCAAAUUUUUUUAUUUUUGUCUUGAAAAUUCUUACUCGUUCAGUCUAUCAGUCUUGUUCGAAUCCCUUUGACUAUUUCUGCUGUUUGCUGAACCAAUUCCGGGCAUAGUAAUUGUCUUUCGCCAACUUCAUCCCAGUGUAGCGGAGUUCUGCACUUUCUGCUGUAUAACGCUUCAUAAGGCGGCAUGCCAAUACUAGCGUGGUAACUGUUGUUGUAGAAAAAUUCUACAAGGGGUAAGUGAUCAUCCCAAUUUCCCUUAAAAUCCAUGAUGCAUGAUCUCAACAUAUCCUCCAAUGUCUGAAUCGUUCUUUCGCUUUGCUCAUCUAUCUGAGGGUGAUAUGCCGUACUCAUUCUCAAUUGCGUCCCUAUGCACUCCUGUAGUCGCUUCCAGAAGUUCGAUGCAAAGCGCGGAUCCCUAUCUGAGACAAUUGACACCGGAACUCCGUGCCUCGAAUCAAUCUCUUUCACAUAUAACCUUGCCAACUGGUCUAAGUUGAAUCUGAUUUUGAUCGGAAGGAAGUGUGCAGAUUUCGUCAAUCGGUCAACAAUAACCCAUACUGCGUCAUAGCCUUUCUGAGUUGUCGGUAGGCCAACCACGAAAUCCAUCGUAAUAUGUUCCCAUUUGCAUUCUGGGAUCUCUAAAGGUUGUAGCAAUCCACUCGGCCUUUGAUGUUCUGCUUUCACUUUCUAACAUUUCAGACACUUGUCAACAUAAUCUGCAACAUCUCGUUUCAAAUUCGGCCACCAGAAAUGUUGUCGAAGGUCUUGGUACAUCUUGGUACUACCAGGGUGAAUCGAAUAUCGUGAGCUAUGAGCCUCAUUCAAAAUGUCAUCCUUAAUCCCUAACACUGGCGGUACUGAAAUUCUGCUCUCAAAUCUUAGUAGUUCCUUACUAUCUAUUUUGAAUCUCGGUUCAGUCCCUUCAGAUAUCUUCUUUUUCACUUUUUCACAUUCUUCGUCUUGAAGUUGAGCCUCCUUAACUUUAUCCAGUAAAGUUGUACCAGCUUACAUCUGGAACAGCUUCUCGUCAAUCUCCAUAGGAUACUUCACUUCCAAUUCUAGCUUUUCCAUUGCUGAAAUUAGCUCCUCCUGAGCGGUCAACAUCAUCAAUUUCUCUCGACCCUUUCUGCUUAAGGCGUCGGCAACCACAUUUGCUUUACCUGGAUGGUAUAAAAUCUCACAAUCAUAGUCCUUAAUUAACUCCAACCACCUUCUCUGGCGCAUAUUCAAGUCCUUAUGUGUAAAAAUAUAUUUCAGACUCUUGUGGUUUGUAUAUAUUUCACACUUCUCCCCAUAGAGAUAGUGUCUCCAGAUCUUUAAAGCGAAUACCACCGCAGCUAAUUCUAAGUCAUGGGUCAGAAACCCCUUCUCAUAGUCCUUCAAUUGUCGUGACACAUACGCAAUGACCCUGCCAUUUUGCAUAAGUACACAACCAAGUCCUUUAUGCGAUGCAUCACUAUAAACCACAAAAUUUCCUGUAUCAUCCGGAAGAGAUAACACAGGUGCCGAACUCAACCUCUUCUUAAGCUCUUGGAAACUUUCCUCACACUUCUCCGUCCAAACGAAUUUCACUGAUUUCCUAGUCAAAUUCGUCAACGGAGUCGCGAUCUUGGAAAAGUCCUGAAUGAAUCUUCUAUAAUAACCUGCCAAUCCAAGAUAACUUCUUACUUCUGACGGCGUCUUCGGCUGAUCCUAGUUCAUUACAGCUUCGACUUUAGAUGGGUCUACCGAAAUUCCGUCCUUAUCGAUCACAUGUCCAAGAAAUUGUACUCUUUCAAUCCAGGAUUCACAUUUUGAAAAUUUGGCGUACAACUUCUCUCUUCUCAACACCUCUAACGUUACUUUCAAAUGCUCUACGUGUUCUUCCUUGGUCUUCGAAUAUACCAAAAUGUCAUCGAUAAAGACCACUACGAAUUUGUCAAAAAUAGUUUAAAUACCCUAUUCAUCAGGUCCAUAAACGCUGCAGGAGCAUUUGUUAGACCGAAUGACAUUACCAAAAAUUCGUAGUGACCAUAUCGUGUUCUGAAUGCUGUCUUCGGUAUAUCCUCUAGUCUCACCUUUAGUUAAUGAUAACCACUCCUCAAGUCUAUCUAUGAAAAGUAUCUCGCCCCCUUCAAUUGAUCGAACAGAUCGUCGAUUCUUGGUAAUGGAUAUCUAUUCUUAAUUGUGACCUUAUUCAGUUCUCUAUAGUCGAUGCAGAGCCGCAUUGUCCCAUUCUUCUUCUUCACGAAUAAACCGGCGCUCCCCAAGAUGAUACGCUCAGUUGGAUAUACUUCUUGUUCAUUAAUUCUUGUAGUUAAACCGUCAGUUCUUUCAUCUCUACCGGUGCCAUUCAGAACGGUGCCUUUGAUAUUGGAGUUGUUCCUGGAGCCAAAUCGAUCACGAAUUCAAUUGCUCUAUCUGGUGGAAGUCCUGGAAAAUCAUCCGGAAAUACGUCUACGAAAUCCCUCACUAUUGGUAUCUCCUCUAUUUUCGGAUUCUCUUUACGAUUGUCGACUAUGUAAGCUAGAUAUCCUACACAACCUUAUCUUAACAAAUUCCUGGCCUGCAUCAUCGUCAGAAAACUCGCUUGUUUAGGCAACUUGUUACCAUAAAACACAACCUUUGAUGGAUUCAUAAGGUUAAUACGCUUCUUCUGGCAAUCAAUUACUGCCCCAUAAUUGGAUAACCAGUCCAUACCCAAGAUAACGUCGAAUUCUCCAAGUCUAAUAGGGAUAAGAUCUAUGUUCAUGAUAUUGCCCUUAAUAUCCACUCUACAGUUCUUAUGCACGUACUUAACAGGGAUUAUUUCUCUAUUCGCAAUUUCUAUGUUCAUGGGGUAUUCUAACUCGUCCUUAAACAAUUCUAAGUUCUUAGCAAAGUCAUCGGAUAUAAAUGAACAAGUAGCACCCGAAUCAAAUAAUACAUAAGCAUUAACUUUAUUGAUCGGAAUGAUACCUGACACCACAUCACGAGAUUGCACUGCAUCCUGUACUAUCAUAUUGAAUGUUCUAGCGGUCGGUCGGUCGAUUGGUUGCAGUUGGUCCUGCGAUAGUCAGAGUGCUUCCACCGGUAUUUCCUCUAUUUCCUCCUGAACCCGUCCCUCUAGAUCCCUUCUUAGGACAAUCCCUUGCAAGAUGAUCCUUUGAGCCACAAGUGAAGUAGGCACCCUUCUUUGGGUUAGGACAGUUAGGUGCUAUAUGGCCUUCCUGACCACAAUUGUAGCACACUCGUUUUCCCUUCAUGCAAACUCCCAUAUGAGUUUUUCCGCAAGUUGGGCAUGCUUCAAUCUUCUUCUUCUGCCCUCCUUGUUGACUUCCAGCUGACGAGUUAUCAGACCACUUCCUCUUCUGAUUAUGGCUAUCCCCCGUGCUACUCCCACCAGAUUUGUUAUUUCCUUCAUUCUCACUUUUCUUCUUCUUCUUCUGAUCCUGAUUAUACUUAGUUACCGCAUCGCUUCCACCGUCAACGAGUAUGGAUUUCUCUAACACUCCAGCAAAAAGUGUUCAAUUGGAACAUUGACACCUUGCUAUACAACCAGGGCUUCAGUCCCUGCUCGAAUUGUCUUGCCUUCCUCUCAUCGGUGUGCACUUGGUAUGUGGCGAACCUAGCCAACUCGUUGAACCUUGCUGCAUAAUCUUCUAUGGACAUACUCCCCUGUUUUAAUUCCAGAAAUGGACUUCCAUUUGAUUUUGCGAACUGGUCGAAAAGUACAUCUUGAAGAACAUCUCUUUGAAUCUCUCCCAGGUUAUUACACCUUCACCUCCCCGUACUUUGUUUGCCUGCCACCAAUAACUGGCUUCAGACUUCAGCAUGAAUGUUGCAUACGCGGGUUUCUGGUCUUCCCUUACUUUAGCGACAUUGAACACCUUCUUCAUCUCCAUAACCCAUGUUUGAGUUUCGAUUGGGUUUAUGGAACCCUUAAACUCUGGCGGUCCCACCGCCUUGAAAUCCUUAAAUGAUGUGUUUAUUGGAGCUUGUGGUUGAUUAUUAAUUGCUCCGGCUAAAAGGUUCACCAAUUGCUGAACAGGGUUAGCAUUGGCGUCGUUGUUGUUAUUCAUUGGUUCUUCUUGUGUUUGUUGACGGUUUUGUCUUCUUCUAGGCGGCAUAUUUCUAUUAAGAAUAAACGCUUAAUAGGUCUUUAUUCAAUCCCUUAAAAAUUUAAGGCUUAACUAAAAUAUUUAAUCAUAAUUCACUUAACACAUCAAUUCAAAUAAACUCUGACAUUUUCAUUCAAUUCAAAAGUUUUAACAUCAUAAGAUAGCAUCACUGCUAUUUACAUCCACUAUCCCAAGAUAAAGAAUCUACAAGAUUUUAAACAUUAAAAUAUUCCAUUGUUUAUAAACACAUCAGAAUUUACAUCUUAAACUACCAGAUAGUUUUCACAUAAUCAAACUAAUUCUAUCAUUGCUUGUUAAGGCAAUGAAUAGCCUUGCCACGUUCCUCUUCCAUGAUGCGAGACAUCGUCCUGCGAUCUAGCAUAUAUGAUAGUAGACCUUCAAACUGGAUUGGAUACUUCAUAACUCGAUCAUGGGUCGCAUCCAUUGCAUUGUGAAGUGUGGAGUACGUCUCCCCAAGCUUAGCCUUCUUUGCACGACAAGCCUCUUCAGCAAGAUCAGCACGACGUGACUCUCUUACCCAGCCCUCCUCUGCUAAUGCCAGUCUUUCUGAGCUAUCUUUCAGAUCUUUCUUUAACUUCUCUAUUUCUUCGGUCUUCUCCUCAGUUUGACCCUUCUUGUGAACCAAAUCCCACUUCACGUUUCCUAAACGUGUGUGAAGAGUCACAAUUUCCCCAUCCUUCUGUUCGAUGGUACUCUGCUGAAUAACAACCCUCUUCUUCAGCUCCUGUACAGUGUCUUACAACUCUAUGUUACGAUCAUAAAGCGCAUCAUACAUCUCAGCAUCGAUGGAGUUCGGUGGGAACUCCUAUUCCUCCUCUUCUUCGUCAGAAUCCUCCUCUGGAUCCGUCUCAGGCUCAUGCUCCCGACCAACAACAGUGAUCAACGGAGAUGGCUAUCUCUGUACCAACUGUUCCCUGACGACAUGAAUGUCUCGGGGUUCUUCCUCUGUAGGUACUCGGGGUUCCUCCUCCCCAGCUCGACUAGCUCCUCUAACAUCUGACAUCCUGACAACAAAAAUUAAGUUUUAGUUAUUAAUCCGUGCUAGCGAACACAUAAGCACAUAAAGUCUUUUAUUAUCUUCAAUGAAUUUAGAAAUUCAUUUCUUAUAACUCGAUAAGAGUUUACCACCGCUAUGUUCUCGAUCUCCUAGAAGGCUACUACCUAAGGUUGUUUCCCCCACCUAAGGUUCAUAACCUACAACUCUGAUACCAACCUGUGACACCCCCAAAUCUGGUACUUCCAUUUCCACAGGAUUUGGUGUUCACAAUACAAAUAUCAUCUAUCUAUCUACCCAUAAAUAAAUGCAAACCAUGUAAUAGAUAGAAAUAAUAAAUAAAUCUCCCCUUAUGGGGUUACAUCAACUGCAUAAUAAUAAAAUCCCAGGUUGCUCUAACCUUAAACAUUUGUGCGGAAUCAUAAACAAAUAAUAAGUCUUUAAAUAACAUCAAGUCUAAUAUCAUUACAUAACCACAUAAAUAACCAGUCUUCAUUACUUGUUAAUCUUACCCUUGCCUUUACUAGUGGAAGGCUCGUCUGAUCUUUCGUUCUUAACUGCAAUGUUAUUAUUACGCAAGAGUGAUCACGAUUGCCCACAAGUAUAACAAUAUAACGAAUGAAUAAUAACAUGCGAAUAAAUUAAAGUCUUCUGAAACAUGAAAACUCAGCUUUUGAAUCAAGAAUGAAUAACAAGAAACAAAAGAACUUCUGAGGGUCAUAAGACCUUGAACCAUAUCCUAGGUUGUCAAGUGUUUAUACUUGAAACCUUGAAUAGUCAUAAGACUAUGGACUCUUCUUCUCGUACUUAAGGGGAUCAACCCUUAGUACCAUACUGUGCACAAUAUCUUAACGCUAACGCAUAAGUAAUCCCCUAUACAGGGUUGUUCAUCUCAGUUUGACAUUAGAGUCCGUACCAAAGGAAGUUUGGUUUGGGAUAAUUCAUCAAGGGUUCUGAAAUUUAGAACGCUCAUCAACUAUGGACUAGUCGAAUCAUAAAGGGUUUGCUAGUCUAACAAGGUUCAACAGUAUCUGAUAAAUUAAAAAUGGAAUAGCAAUCUCAAAAGGUAUACAAUAGAAUAAUUAUUGUAUAACAGAAUCAUGCUUUGAAAGAUUAAUACAUUUUAAUAUAAUAAAAUGGACUUGAUCAAUAAUAACGAGAAUUUGCUCGAUGUAAAGAGACAACUUAUAAGCUCAUAUAAAGAUAAUGAGUAGGGUUAGGAAACUUGUCUCGUGCCUAGAUUACACGUUAAUUAAACUCGUUCCUUGAUUUAAAUCCUACAUAUCAUUUACGCUCACAAUACCAGUCAAUUAUAAUGUACUAAUCAUCACAAGUUCGUUCUUUUUGUCUAACUCGAAUUCAUGACUAUACUUAGUCAAAUUACUACACUCAUUGUUACAAUUAGCACUUCAUGAACAAUAAGCUAACUAUGCAUUCAAUCAUUCAAUUCACACAUAAACGUGUUAUUGACAUGUUAAGAAUUUAUUUUAACACCUCAUCAUAUGUCUAACAUGUUUUUAUGUUCAUUAGGUCAAGUUAUUAACACAUUGCUAGACUUGAGCAUUUAAAAACUUAUUUCUGGACCAUUGUGCUAAGUGGCGCUGCGGCCCCACUGUUAUACCUGUUCUUGGCGCUGCGGCGCGGGACUUUAGUUCUGGAGUUGGCGCCGCGGCGCGAGACUCCAGUUUCAGUUCUGUAAUUCGCGAAAAUUGCAGAACAUGGCCGAAAACCUCCAAUUAACUUAUUUUUACACGAAUUUAGACAUACCCAAACAUUGUAAUACACAAUUAACUAAUACUCAACCCUUCUAGCAUGAUUUUAACAAGUUAAAAGACAUAAUCACAAAAUUAAAACAUGUAAUUUUCACUGUUCUUGAUGUUCUUGAAGGUUUUGGACAUAAAACAUAAAAUUUAACACCACAGAUUUGAUAUACGACCAAAUCUGUUCAUUUGAAGUUUGUUUCCUUCGUAUUUACAUACAUAAUAUAUACAAGCAUAAAAAUUUAGGAGAUAAUAUAUGAUCAACGCAUUAAAUUUGUGCGUAAGGGCCAUAUGGCCAUAAUUCAACACUCUAUAAUUUUGAAGCAAUUAUAUACGACAUAUUUUAUGAAACUGAUAAUACGGAAUCAUACAAUAUAUAUAGUAAAACAUGCUACCGUGACAUAAGAUCACGUAUAAAUUCACAUAGUCAAAACAAUCUCCAACUACAGAGGUUUUUACAGAAAUUUGAGAGCCAUAUUUUAUAAAAAUUUUAACAACGUAAUAAUAAUGGGUUGAAGAAUUUACCCAAAGCGUAAAGUGUAGAUUAGUAGGAGAUGAAUUCCUUCUCAACUCUUCUUCAAUCACACACUCACAAUCUCCUCAAAAUUAUCAUUUUUUUCUCUCUGUAAUGCUAUACCAGACUUAGAAAAAAAAAUGAAGAAGAAGACGUAUAUACUACAAGAAAGGAACUGACGCGUUGUGGUCAGUUACCCAAUCAUGGGUGACUGCUAUUAACUCCCACUAAGGCCAUGUUUGGCUAGCCUUAAAAGGCUUAAACCUAUUUAAUUUAAUUAAACUUUUAUAAUAUAGUUUAAUAAUGUCACGUCCAAUUAGAUAAUAAAUCAAACAUCUAGUUUAAUUUAACUUAAAUAAAAUAAAAUAAUUCCUCAUUAAUUCACAUAGUCACAUAAUUAAAUUUCUCAUUUAUUAAUUAUGUCAAAUUAUUAAAUCUCUAAUUAUUUAUUAAAUUAAUUAAAAUACUAUUAGGCUUAUUAAAUAUUCNNNNNNNNNNNNNNNNNNNNNNNNNNNNNNNNNNNNNNNNNNNNNNNNNNNNNNNNNNNNNNNNNNNNNNNNNNNNNNNNNNNNNNNNNNNNNNNNNNNNNNNNNNNNNNNNNNNNNNNNNNNNNNNNNNNNNNNNNNNNNNNNNNNNNNNNNNNNNNNNNNNNNNNNNNNNNNNNNNNNNNNNNNNNNNNNNNNNNNNNNNNNNNNNNNNNNNNNNNNNNNNNNNNNNNNNNNNNNNNNNNNNNNNNNNNNNNNNNNNNNNNNNNNNNNNNNNNNNNNNNNNNNNNNNNNNNNNNNNNNNNNNNNNNNNNNNNNNNNNNNNNNNNNNNNNNNNNNNNNNNNNNNNNNNNNNNNNNUUAAUCUAAUAAUUAAUUCAUCGAAAAAUAUUUAUUCAAUCCAAUAAAUAUUAAAAAUUAAAUUACAAAAUCCCGGUUGUCACAUCUUUCCCCCCUUAAAAGGAUUCUGUCCUCAGAAUCACAACUUAACAAUUCGUCCCGUUACAUUCUCCCCCCCCUUACAAAGAUUCUGUCCCCAGAAUCGCUUACACAUAAGUUAAGUAAAUAAAUGAGGAUAAUUCUUCAUCAUAUUCUCUUCGAGUUCCCACGUUGCUUCUUCAGCGUUGUGGUUCCUCCAAAUUACCUUAACAGAAGGUAUGACUUUAUUUCUCAGAACUUGGUCUUUUCGGUCGACAAUUUGAACUAAAAUUUCUUCGUAAGAUAAGUCUUUGUCAAAAUGUAGGGGUUUAUAUUCAAUCACGUGCUUGUAAUCGGGUUUGUAGGGUCGUAGAACUGAGACAUGGAAAACGUUAUGGACAUUCUCUAGAGCUGGAGGUCAGGCUACCUCAUAAGCAACUUCUCCGACCCUUCGUAGAACUUCAAAGGGUCCAAUGAAUCUUGGGCUUAAUUUUCCUUUCUUCCCAAACCUGAUCUUUCCCUUCCAGGGAGAGACCUUUAAAAACACAUAACUACCCGAUUCAAACUCAACAUUUUUACGGUGUGGAUCGGCGUAUUUCUUCUAUCUAUCUUGAGCUACUAUCAAUCUUGUCCGGAUCACUUUGACUAUUUCUGCUGUCUGCUAUACGAAUUCUGGACCUAGUAAUUGUCUUUCGCCAACUUCAUCCUAGUAUAGCGGAGUUCUGCACUUUCUUCCGUAUAAUGCUUCAUAAGGCAGCAUGCCAAUACUAGCGUGGUAACUAUUGUUGUAGCUGAACUCUACGAGCGGUAGAUGGUCAUCCCAAUUUCCUUUAAAGUCCAUUAUACAAGCUCUUAACAUAUCUUCUAAUGUCUGAAUUGUUCUUUCACUCUGUCCAUCUGUCUGUGGGUGAUAUGCCGUGCUCAUUCGCAACUGUGUACCCAUGCAUUCCUGUAGACAUUUCCAGAAGUUCGACGUAAAGCGCGGAUCUCUAUCUGAAACAAUUGACACCGGAACUCCGUGCCUUGAAACAAUCUCUUUCACAUAUAACCUUGCCAACUGAUCCAAGUUGAAUCUGAUUUUGAUCGGAAGGAAGUGUGCGAAUUUCGUUAAUCGAACAACAAUAACCCAUACUGCGUCGUAGCCUUUUUGAGUUGUCGGUAGGCCAACCACGAAAUCCAUCGUAAUAUAUUUCCAUUUCCAUUCUGGAAUUUCUAAAGGUUGUAGUAACCCACUCGGCCUCUGAUGUUCUGCUUUCACUUUCUGACAUGUCAAACACUUGGCAACAUAUUCUGCAACCUCUCGUUUCAAAUUCGGCCACCAGAAAUGUUGUCGAAGAUCUUGGUACAUCUUGGUACUACCCGGGUGAAUCGAAUAUCGAGAGUUAUGAGCCUCGCUCAAAAUUUCUUCCUUAAUCUCUAGUACUGGCGGUACCCAAAUUCUACUCUCAAACCUCAGUAUUCCUUCCUUAUCCAUCUUGAAUCUUGAUUCAGUUCCUUCAGAUAUCUUCUUUUUCAUUGUUUUACAUUCAUCAUCCUGAAAUUGAGCCUCCUUAACCUUGUCUAGUCGAGUUGUACCAGAUUGUAUCUAAAACAGCUUCUCAUCGAUCUCCAUAGGACACUUAAUUUCCAAUUCCAGCUUUUCCAUUGCUGAAAUUAAUACCUCCUGUUCAGUCAACAUCAUCAGUUUCUCCCGACCCUUUCUACUUAAGGCGUCGGCAACCACAUUUGCCUUACCCGAAUGGUAUAGAAUCGCACAAUCAUAGUCCUUAAUUAACUCUAGCCACCUUCUUUGGCGCAUGUUCAAGUCUUUCUGUGUGAAAAUAUAUUUCAGACUCUUGUGGUCUGUAUAUAUUUCACACUUCUCCCCAUAGAGAUAGUGCUUCCAGAUUUUCAAAGCAAAAACCACUGCAGCUAACUCCAAGUCAUAGGUCAGAUACCCCUUCUCAUAAUCUUUCAGUUGUCGUGACGCAUACGCAAUGCCUCUACCGUUCUGCAUAAGCACACAACCAAGUCCUUUAUGCGAUGCAUCACUAUAAACCACAAAAUUUCCUGUAUCAUCCGAAAGAGAUAACACAGGUGCUGAACUUAACCUCUUCUUUAAUUCUUGAAAGCUUUCCUCACACUUCUCCGUCCAAACAAAUUUCACCGAUUUUCUAGUCAAAUUCGUCAACGGAGUUGCGAUCUUGGAAAAAUCCUGAAUGAAUCUUUUGUAAUAACCUACCAAUCCAAGAAAACUUCUUACUUUUGACGGCGUCUUCGGCUGGUCCCAGUUAAUCACAGCUUCGACUUUGGAGGGGUCCACCGAAAUUCCGUCCCUAUCAAUCACAUGUCCUAGAAAUUGUACUCUUUCAAUCCAAAAUUCAUAUUUCGAAAACUUGGCAUACAACUUCUCCCUUCUCAAUAUCUCUAAUGUCACCCUCAAAUGCUCUUCAUGUUCUUCUUUGGUUUUCGAAUAUACCAAAAUGUCAUCUAUAAAUACCACUAUGAAUUUGUCCAAAAACGGCUUGAACACUCCAUUCAUUAAGCCCAUAAAUGCUGCAGGAGCAUUUGUUAGGCCAAAUGACAUUACCAAAAAUUUGUAGUGCCAUAUCGUGUUCUAAACGCUGUCUUCGGUACAUCCUCUGGUCUCACAUUCAAUUGAUGAUAACCACUCCUCAAAUCUAUCUUUGAAAAUUAUCUUGCUCCCUUUAACUGAUCGAACAGGUCGUCGAUUCGCGGUAAUGGAUAUCUAUUCUUAAUUGUGACCUUAUUCAGUUCUCUAUAGUCGAUGCAGAGCCGCAUUGUCCCAUCUUUCUUCAUUACAAAUAAAACUGGCGCUCCCCACGGUGAUACGCUUGGUUGGAUAUACUUCUUGUUCAGUAAUUCUUGUAGUUGGACCAUCAGUUCUUUCAUCUCUACCGGUGCCAUUUGGUACGGUGCCUUCGAUAUUGGAUCCGUUCCUGGAGCCAAAUCGAUCACGAAUUCAACUGCUCUAUUUGGAGGAAGUCCUGACAAAUCAUCCGAAAAUACGUUUGCGAAAUCUCUCACUACUGGUAUCUCAUCUAUUUUCGGAUUCUCUUUAUGACUAUCGACUAUAUAAGCUAGAUAUCGUACACAGCCUUGCCUUAACAACCUCCUGGCUUGCAUCAUCGUCAGAUAACUCGCUUGUCUAGGUGACUUGCUACCAUAAAACACAACCUUUGACGGAGUCAUAAGGUUAAUACGCUUCUUUUGGCAGUCAAUUACCGGCCCAUAAUUGGAUAACCAGUCCAUACCCAAAAUAACAUCGAAUUCUCCAAGUCGAAUAGGGAUAAGAUCUAUGUUCAUGAUAUUACCCUUAAUAUCCACUCUACAGUUCUUAUGCACGUACUUAACAUUGAUUAUUUCUCUAUUCGCAAUUUCUAUGUUCAUGGGGUAUUCUAACUCAUCCUUAAACAAUUCUAAGUUCUUAGCAAAGUCAUCGGAUAUAAAUGAACAAGUAGCACCCGAAUCAAAUAAUACAUAAGCAUUAACUUUAUUGAUCGGAAUGAUACCUGACACCACAUCACGAGACUGCACUGCAUCCUGUACUAUCAUGUUGAAUGUUCUAGCGGUCGGUCGGUUGGUUGCAGUUGGUCCUGCGAUAGUUAGAGUGCUUCCACAAGUAUUUCCUCUAUUUCCUCCUGAACCCGUCCCUCCAGAUCCCUUCUUAGGACAAUCCCUUGCAAGAUGAUCCUUUGAGCCACAAGUGAAGUAGGCACCCUUCUUUGGGUUAGGACAGUUAGGUGCUAUGUGGCCUUCUUGACCAAAAUUGUAGCACACUCAUUUUUCCUUCAUUCAAACUCCCAUAUGAGUUUUUCCGCAAGUUGGGCAUGCUUCAAUCUUCUUCUUCUGCCCUCCUUGUUGACUUCCAGCUGACGAGUUAUCAGACCACUUCCUCUUCUGAUUAUGGCUAUCCCCCGUGCUACUCCCACCAGAUUUUUUAUUUCCUUCAUUCUCACUUUUCUUCUUCUUCUUCUGAUCCUGAUUAUACUUAGUUACCGCAUCGCUUCCACCGUCAACGAGUAUGGAUUUCUCUAACACUCCAGCAAAAAGUGUUCAAUUGGAACAUUGACACCUUGCUAUACAACCAGGGCUUCAGUCCCUGCUCGAAUUGUCUUGCCUUCCUCUCAUCGGUGUGCACUUGGUAUGUGGCGAACCUAGCCAACUCGUUGAACCUUGCUGCAUAAUCUGCUAUGGACAUACUCCCCUGUUUUAAUUCCAGAAAUGGACUUCUAUUUGAUUUUGCGAACUGGUCGAAAAGUACAUCUUGAAGAACAUCUCUUUGAAUCUCUCCCAGGUUAUUACACCUUCACCUCCCCGUACUUUGUUUGCCUGCCACCAAUAACUGGCUUCAGACUUCAGCAUGAAUGUUGCAUACGCGGGUUUCUGGUCUUCCCUUACUUNNNNNNNNNNNNNNNNNNNNNNNNNNNNNNNNNNNNNNNNNNNNNNNNNNNNNNNNNNNNNNNNNNNNNNNNNNNNNNNNNNNNNNNNNNNNNNNNNNNNNNNNNNNNNNNNNNNNNNNNNNNNNNNNNNNNNNNNNNNNNNNNNNNNNNNNNNNNNNNNNNNNNNNNNNNNNNNNNNNNNNNNNNNNNNNNNNNNNNNNNNNNNNNNNNNNNNNNNNNNNNNNNNNNNNNNNNNNNNNNNNNNNNNNNNNNNNNNNNNNNNNNNNNNNNNNNNNNNNNNNNNNNNNNNNNNNNNNNNNNNNNNNNNNNNNNNNNNNNNNNNNNNNNNNNNNNNNNNNNNNNNNNNNNNNNNNNNNNNNNNNNNNNNNNNNNNNNNNNNNNNNNNNNNNNNNNNNNNNNNNNNNNNNNNNNNNNNNNNNNNNNNNNNNNNNNNNNNNNNNNNNNNNNNNNNNNNNNNNNNNNNNNNNNNNNNNNNNNNNNNNNNNNNNNNNNNNNNNNNNNNNNNNNNNNNNNNNNNNNNNNNNNNNNNNNNNNNNNNNNNNNNNNNNNNNNNNNNNNNNNNNNNNNNNNNNNNNNNNNNNNNNNNNNNNNNNNNNNNNNNNNNNNNNNNNNNNNNNNNNNNNNNNNNNNNNNNNNNNNNNNNNNNNNNNNNNNNNNNNNNNNNNNNNNNNNNNNNNNNNNNNNNNNNNNNNNNNNNNNNNNNNNNNNNNNNNNNNNNNNNNNNNNNNNNNNNNNNNNNNNNNNNNNNNNNNNNNNNNNNNNNNNNNNNNNNNNNNNNNNNNNNNNNNNNNNNNNNNNNNNNNNNNNNNNNNNNNNNNNNNNNNNNNNNNNNNNNNNNNNNNNNNNNNNNNNNNNNNNNNNNNNNNNNNNNNNNNNNNNNNNNNNNNNNNNNNNNNNNNNNNNNNNNNNNNNNNNNNNNNNNNNNNNNNNNNNNNNNNNNNNNNNNNNNNNNNNNNNNNNNNNNNNNNNNNNNNNNNNNNNNNNNNNNNNNNNNNNNNNNNNNNNNNNNNNNNNNNNNNNNNNNNNNNNNNNNNNNNNNNNNNNNNNNNNNNNNNNNNNNNNNNNNNNNNNNNNNNNNNNNNNNNNNNNNNNNNNNNNNNNNNNNNNNNNNNNNNNNNNNNNNNNNNNNNNNNNNNNNNNNNNNNNNNNNNNNNNNNNNNNNNNNNNNNNNNNNNNNNNNNNNNNNNNNNNNNNNNNNNNNNNNNNNNNNNNNNNNNNNNNNNNNNNNNNNNNNNNNNNNNNNNNNNNNNNNNNNNNNNNNNNNNNNNNNNNNNNNNNNNNNNNNNNNNNNNNNNNNNNNNNNNNNNNNNNNNNNNNNNNNNNNNNNNNNNNNNNNNNNNNNNNNNNNNNNNNNNNNNNNNNNNNNNNNNNNNNNNNNNNNNNNNNNNNNNNNNNNNNNNNNNNNNNNNNNNNNNNNNNNNNNNNNNNNNNNNNNNNNNNNNNNNNNNNNNNNNNNNNNNNNNNNNNNNNNNNNNNNNNNNNNNNNNNNNNNNNNNNNNNNNNNNNNNNNNNNNNNNNNNNNNNNNNNNNNNNNNNNNNNNNNNNNNNNNNNNNNNNNNNNNNNNNNNNNNNNNNNNNNNNNNNNNNNNNNNNNNNNNNNNNNNNNNNNNNNNNNNNNNNNNNNNNNNNNNNNNNNNNNNNNNNNNNNNNNNNNNNNNNNNNNNNNNNNNNNNNNNNNNNNNNNNNNNNNNNNNNNNNNNNNNNNNNNNNNNNNNNNNNNNNNNNNNNNNNNNNNNNNNNNNNNNNNNNNNNNNNNNNNNNNNNNNNNNNNNNNNNNNNNNNNNNNNNNNNNNNNNNNNNNNNNNNNNNNNNNNNNNNNNNNNNNNNNNNNNNNNNNNNNNNNNNNNNNNNNNNNNNNNNNNNNNNNNNNNNNNNNNNNNNNNNNNNNNNNNNNNNNNNNNNNNNNNNNNNNNNNNNNNNNNNNNNNNNNNNNNNNNNNNNNNNNNNNNNNNNNNNNNNNNNNNNNNNNNNNNNNNNNNNNNNNNNNNNNNNNNNNNNNNNNNNNNNNNNNNNNNNNNNNNNNNNNNNNNNNNNNNNNNNNNNNNNNNNNNNNNNNNNNNNNNNNNNNNNNNNNNNNNNNNNNNNNNNNNNNNNNNNNNNNNNNNNNNNNNNNNNNNNNNNNNNNNNNNNNNNNNNNNNNNNNNNNNNNNNNNNNNNNNNNNNNNNNNNCUCAUUAAUUCACAUAGUCACAUAAUUAAAUUUCUCAUUUAUUAAUUAUGUCAAAUUAUUAAAUCUCUAAUUAUUUAUUAAAUUAAUUAAAAUACUAUUAGGCUUAUUAAAUAUUCUUUUUAAAUUCAAUAAGCUCACAUAAAUACAUACUUUGAAUAAUAAAAAUUCUCCACAUUAAUUUAAUAAAUAUAACAUAUAUAAUUAAAUUAAUCUACCACAACUUCAUCAAUUAAUUAUUUAAUCUAAUAAUUAAUUCAUUGAAAAAUAUUUAUUCAAUCCAAUAAAUAUUAAAAAUUAAAUUAUAAAAUCUCGGUUGUCACAGUUUGACCCUUCUCGUGAACCAAAUCCCACUCCACAUUUCCCAAACGUGUGUGAAGAGUCACAAUCUCCCAAUCCUUUUGCUCGAUGGCAAUCUGCUGAAUAACCGUCCGCUCCUUCAGCUCCUGAACAGUGUCUCGUAACUCUAUGUUACGAUCAUAAAGCGCAUCAUACAUCUCAGCAUCAAUGGAGUUCAGUGGAAACUCCUCUUCUUCCUCAGGAUCCUCCUCUGGAUCAGUCUCAGGCUCAUGCUCCUGACCAACAAUAGUGAUCAACGGAGAUGGCUCUCUCUGUACCAACUGCUCCCUGACGACAUGAAUGUCUCCUGGCUCCUCCUCUGUAGGUACUCGGGGUUCCUCCUCCCCAGCUCGACUAGCUCCUCUAACAUCCGACAUCCUGACAAUCACAAUUUUAAGUUUUAGUUACUAAUCCAUACUAGCGAGCACAUAAUUUAACACAUAAGCACAUAAAGUCUUUUAUUAUCUUCAAUGAAUUAAGAAAUUCAUUUCUUAGAAAUCGAUAAGAGUUUAUCACCACUAUGUUCUCGAUCUCCUACAAGGUUACUACCUAAGGUUGUUCCCCCACCUAAGGUUCAUAACCUACAACUUUGAUACCAACUUGUGACACCCCCAAAUCCGGGUACUUCCAUUUUUGCGAGAUUUGGUGUUCACUGUAAAAAUAUCAUCUAUCUAUCUACCCAUAAUAAAUGCAAACCAUGCAAUAAAUAGAAAUAAAUCUUCCCCUUAUGGGGUUACAACAUCUGAAUAAUAACCAAUACAAUCCCAGGUUAAACUAACCUUAAACAUAUGUGCGGAAUCAUAGAUAAGCAACAAGUAUUAAACAACAUCAAGUCUAAAAUAUAAAUACAUAAUCACAUAAACAACAAGUCUUCAUCACUUGUUAAUCUUGCCCUUGCCUUUACUAGUGGAAGGCUCGUCGGAUCUUUCGUUCUUAACUGCAAUGUUAUUAUUACACAAGAGUGAGCACAAUUGCCCAUAAGUAUAAUAAUACAACAAUAAAAUAAUAACAUGCGAAUAAAUCAAAGGCUUCUGAAAUAGGAAAACUCAGCUUUUGAAUCAAGAAUGAAUAAUAAGAAUCAAAAGAACUUCUGAGGGUCAUAAGACCUUGAACUAUGUCCUAGGUUGUCAAGUGUUUAUACUUGAAACCUUUAACAGUCAUAAGACUAUGGACUCUUCUUCUCGUACUUAGGGAGAUCAGCCCUUAGUACCAUACUGUGCACAAUAUCUUAACGCUAACACAUAAGUAAUCCCCUAUACAGGGUUGUUCAUCUCAGUUUGACAUUAGAGUCCGCACCAAAAGAAGUUUGGUUUGGAUAAUUCAACAAGGGUUCUAAAAUUUAGAACGUUCAUCAACUAUGGACUAGUCGAAUCAUUAAGGGUUCACUAGUCUAACAAGGUUCAACAGUAACUAAUAUUUAAAUUGAAUAGCAAUCUCAAUGGAUAUACAAUAGAAUAAGUAUUGUAUAACAGAAUCAUACUUUGGAAAGACUAAUAAACUUUAAUAUAACAAAAUGAACUUGAUCAAUAAUAACGAGAAUUUGCUCGAUGUAAAGAGAUAAAUUUAUAAACUUAUAUAAUGAUAACGAGUAGGGCUAUAAAAGUUGCCUCGUGCGUAGGCUAAACGAUUACUACUUCCGUUCACCACAAAUCCUACACACAUACCAUAUGUAUUCACGAUAUUCAUUAGUUACAUUUUCACUUAAUUAUUUAAUAUAAACUCCACUUUAUUUAACUAAUCAUUACACUUCUAAUUUAAUUACUUAAUUAAAUUAGAAUAUUUUCAUUUCCUUACUAUUAUUACACUCGAAUAAAUUAUUUCAUAAUAAUUUCCAUCGAAUAUUUAUUUUAUUCCAUAAAUAUUUCAACUAAAAUAUUUAUUUUAUUUGAUAAAUAUUUUAAUAAUAAUUUUAUCAAAUAUUUAUUUUAUUCCAUAAAUAUUUCAACUAAAUAUUUAUUUUAUUUGAUAAAUAUUUUAAUAAUAAUUUCCAUGUAAUAUUUAUUUUAUUCCAUAAAUAUUUUAACUAAAAUAUUUAUUUUAUUUGAUAAAUAUUUUAAUAAUAAUUUCUAUCAAAUAUUUAUUUUAUUCCAUAAAUAUUUCAACUAAAAUAUUUAUUUUAUUUGAUAAAUAUUUUAAUAAUAAUUUCUAUCAAAUAUUUAUUUUAUUCCAUAAAUAUUUCAACUAAAAUAUUUAUUUUAUUUGAUAAAUAUUUUAAUUAAUUAAUUAUUAUUAUUUUUUAUUUUUUUUUACCCGCCGGGGCAGGGUAAUUUAGUUUGGUAACGCCCAUCGGGAGCGGGGUUACCCAUACUCAAUUUAUUCAGUUUUGCAGUACACGGCCAAAUUAGGCCCAAAAAAUCUCUCUCAAUUUCAACUAUACGUUCUGUGAAGAACACAGAACAGAGCCAUAACUUCCAAUUUCCUUGUCCAUACAUUAAUUUAAGCAUACCCAUAUACUAUAAUUCAUAUAUGAUCAUUACCCAACCUUUCUAACAUGAUUUUAACAAGUUAAAAUACAUAAUUUAUAGAAUCAAAACAUGUAAUUUUACUGUUCUUGAUGUUCUUGAAAGUUUUGAACACAAAACAUGAAAAUUAACACUAAGGGUUCGUUAAAACACCAAAUGUCCAUUCGAAGUUUGUUUUCUUCAUUUUAACAUGCAUAAUUAUAUAAAAGUGUAAAAUUUAGGGACAACAUAUGAUUGACGUAUUUAAUUUACGUGUAAGGGCCAUAUGGCUAUAUUUCUAUACUAUGUAAUUUUGAAGCAGCAAUAUACGACAUAUUUUAUGAAACUGAUGAUAUGGAAAUCUACAAUAUAUAGUAAAAACAUGCUAUGCUAACAUAUUAUCACAUAUAUAUAUCCACAUAAUCAAUACAAUUUCCAAUUACAGAGAUUUUAACAGAACUUGAAAGCCAUUUUCAUGAAAACUUUUAAAUGACGUGAAUAAAAUAAACUGGUUUGAAGAGAUUACCCAAAGCGUAGAUGAGUAGAGAUGAAACCCUUCUCAAUUAAUUCUUCAAUCACACAACUCACAAAUUUCCUCAACAAUUUCUCAAUCUCUCUCGGUGAUUUGCUUUGCCAGACUUAGAAAAUAAAAGACUUAACAAAAUAAAAGAAGGAAAUCGUAUAUAAUUACAAAAAGUAACGCAGUUGUGGUCAGUUACUCCAAUUCGUGGUUAACUGCCCAACUCCCAAUAGGGCUCCGUUUGGCUAGCCUUAAAAGACUCAUUCCCAUUUAAUUUAAUAAAUCUUUUAUACUAUAGUUUAAUAGUGUCACACCCCUUUAUAAAAUAAAUCAAAUAUCUUAUUUAAUUUAUUUUAAUUAAAAUAUAAUAAUUUCUCAUUUGUUAAUUAUGUCAAAUUAUUAAUUCUCUAAUUAAUUAUCAAAUUAAUUAAAAUAAUAUUAGGCUUAUUAAAUAUUUCUUUUAAUUCAAUAAGCUCACAUAAUUACAUACUUCGAAUAAUAAAAAUUCUCCACAUUAAUUUAAUAAAUAUAACACAUACAAUUAAAUUAAUCUACCACAACUUCAUAAAUUAAUUAUUUAAUCUAAUAAUUAAUUCAUCGAAAAAUAUUUAUUUAAUCCAAUAAAUAUUAAAAUUAAAUUACAAAACCUCGAUUGUCACAUUAACAAUACAAUGUCACAUAGUAAUUUUAACGAACACCAUGUGGUCAUUCAAAAAAUUUACUAUGUUCUGCCUAUGUGAUUUAUGCUUUAGUCCUGAAAACAUUUUCUACAUCACUAAAUUAAGUAUCAUAGCAAGCAACACAUACAUUAUGGCCCAAUUAAUUCAAUAAUACCUUGCAUACCAUGAACAAUUAACAAAAAGCGAAGUGGUUGAACAUACCUUUGGUUGGAGAAGAAAAGAAACAAUGGAGAGGGAGAAAUAAUUAUUGCUAUUCAAGUUCUCUUUUAGACUUUGUAGAGUACUUGGUUGAUUUGGGGGAAUUCAAAAGUUAAUUGAAGUUGGAGAGAAUUAGGGCUUGGAGUAGACGUGGAGAAGGACAAGGAGUGGGGAAGUUGUGGGAAAUAGAGUUUGAGAAGAAAUAGGAGAAGUGGGGAGACGUUACACACUUGAUCUAGGCUAAAGCCCUAAUUUUUUUCUAAUAUCUGGGCCCAGCGCCGGGGCGCUAAUGGCCAAUGCGUUUGGAGAGGUUGUAGUGCUGGGGUGCUGAGAUUCCCUUCACUUCGAGCGUUGAGGCGCUAGGCUGAAACGCCCGAGAAAAUCAGAUUUUUAUGAGAAUUAAAUUUCUAUUUGAUUAUGUGGAUUAAAUGAAUUUAAUUGAUUAUUUAUGUGAGUAAGCUAUUUGAAGGUCAUUCUAUGACCUAGAAUGUACGGAUGUUGUAAUAACCCGGGAUUUCGAAUAAUUCAAAUUUUACGAAUAAUUUUUUUUAUUUAAUAUUAAUAUUGACUGUAAAUAUUGUACUGUGUAUCUGUGAUACGAGUCUCGAGAAGUUGUCAAUUUGUGUAUUGACUGAAAAAUAGGAGUAGAGUUGUGUUUAACAGCGAAUAGAAACCCUAAUCUCAGAUUUAGAAACCCUAACGCAAAGUUAGGAACCCUAAUUGUAAGCCGGGAAAUCCUAAUUUAAAAUUCGGGAUUCCUAAACCCUAAUUAGGAAACCCUAAUCCUAAUUGAUAAGCCUAAUGUGUUUAUUAAACGUUAAUAUGAUUAGGAAAAUGUAAUAUAAUUAGAAAACCCUAAUUGUAAUUUAGAAACUUUAAUUUUUCUAAUUUAAAACCCUAAUUGGAAAUUUUAAAAACUAAAGUCGUAAAACCUAAGGGUUAGAACCUUAGGGUUAAACCCUAAGGGUUUGGUAAAUUCUAUGUAUGCCAUUAAAAUUAUAUAACAAUUGUCCAAAAUGCCUUUUUUGGGAUUUUUAUUAAAUAACUUGCAAAUCUUACCAUAUCAAGAGUUGGUAACCAACCACAUUGACUUGGUGACUUCAAAAUCUCAGCAAAUCAGCAUCAAUAUGAUCAAUAUACAUUGCACCAAUUGUUUAUAUAAGAUACAAGAGAGAGAAAGUUACAAAACUUGGACAUUUUUCCUUUCUAGCUCUCACCAACUCUCUCUCUCUCUCUCACCAAACCUUUGAAAAUAUCAAGUGGAUAUAUCAGUCACAUAAUCAACCCCUAGAACAUCAAGAACAGUUAAGGAGGGCAUAGAUCAAAGAUUGGAAACAAGAAGGUAUAAAAGCCCUAACCUAUUUUGAUCUUACUUAGUAAGAAAAAUUUUAUGUUUAAGUGUUUAAUCAUGUGUUAUAAGAUGUUUUUAGUUGAUCUAUGAUGAUCCAUUAUGGAUCCAUAGAAUUAAAUGGCUUUAAAUUGGUGUUUUUCAAAAACUGUUCUUGAACUCAAAAAGUAGUCUGACAACGUAAUGUCAGGGGCUGUAAAUCUUUGUCUGUUAGUGUUUUGAGUUGUUUUAAGUUUUGGAUCGGUAGUUUGUUAUGUGGUCUGUGAUCUGGAAGUGUAAACACAGUCAUCACAUGUUUAGAUUUCAUUUUAUUCUUGGUCAAAACUUGUUGACCGGGCAUGACCAGUCAAAAUCUGGGCAACCCAGAAAUUUAAAAACUUGAGUCUGAUAACGUUUUGUAACGACCAGAUCUGUCAAGUGAUAUGUGAUAUAUUGAUGUUAUGAUAUCUAUGUUGUAGCCUGUUAUAUGUUCUUUAAAUCCAUGGCUUUAGAUCCCAUAAACAAUCAACUGAUCGAAUAUAAUGGACGGUCAAACUAGGCCAUCCAAUCAUGAGUAUGAUUUUUGGAUAUUCCAGAAAUUGCUAGAAUGAACUUUCUGACAGGUUUUGACUAGAUCGAAUCCAGUUAUUGUGUUAUACUCUGACUGAUUUGUUGCUUGCUAUGUGUUCCUUGACAUAUGGACUACGGAUUAAAACCUUAAUAACACCAAUACAAUGAUUGGAACAUAAACUUAAUUGAGCUUGAAAGUGUCUAGUCGACACUGUCUGGGUUUCUAGGUUACCCAAAAAACCCAGAUUUGAUUUGACAGUUACUUUGAGAGGCUGGAUCUACUUGUUUGGAUGUUGUAUGACCAAGAUGUUAGUUGAUAAUUGUAGUGUUACAUACACAAUACUAAAUCAGUGUCUUAGCUAGCCAAGAACAUGCCUGAUCUGAGAAUCACGAUCGGUCAAACCAUGACCCUUAAAACUGGUCUGACAGUAUUCUCGAGGCUCAAGAACACCUAAGACGACAAAAAGUGUCGCUAAAGGGCUAUAGCGACGAUUUAAUUAUUUUUAUUUUUUGAUUUUUUCGGAAAUUAAUUAAAAAUAGAAAAUAAAUUCAAAAAAAAUUACAAAAUGGUUUUAAAAAUUAUUUUAAAUUAUGAAAAAUAUUUUUUGACUAUUUGGAAUAUUUUUCAUUAAUAUUUAUAAUUAUUUAAAUAUUAAUGGUAUUUAAUUUAUUAAAUUAGUGUAUGAAAUAAAUUAGAGAAAAAUGAUUUAAUAUUAUGAAAAAUCAUUUUAAAUAAGAAUAAAGUAUUUAAAAAUAUUUUGAGUUAUAAAAUGUAACUUUUAAUAUUUUUAGAGAAUUUUUGUUAAUAAUUUAAUAUUAAUGAUAUUAGAUUUAUUUAAUUAUUGUAUUAAAUAAAUAAGUUAAAAAUAAUUUUAUUGAUUUAAAAAUCAUUUUAAAUGAAAAUAAAGUGUUAAAAAUAUUUUGAAUUAUAAAAUAUAAUUUUCAAUAUUUUUGAAGAAUUCUCAUUAAUAAAUUAAUAUUAAUGAUAUUUGUAAGAUCCCAACUUAUUAUAAAUAAAAUUGAAUUUUCUCUAUUCAUUAUUCUAAAUUAAUAAAGUGUUAAUUUGAUAUAAUGCUUUGGUUAUGGGUGAAAUGUACAAAUUUUACAAAAUAAGCAAGUGGUUAUAAAAUAUUCAUUUUUGUCGGGGAAUAUUCUUUUGGUUGUAGAAUAUUCUUUUUGUCGGAGAAUAUUCGUACGACGACGCAGCCAUUCGUGGGGCUCAUAACAGAAUAACUGUCGAAUGAAGAAAACGACAAAGUAUGAGUUUUUAUAAAUAACGACGUAGUUGUUACCGUUAACACUGUUGGAAUACCUGGUGGUUAAAAUAUAGUAAUACGCAUGGUGGCACAGUAGCACACGGUAUUGCACAGUAUUGUUGAAUUAUUGAUUCGUACGUAAGAAGGCACUACUCAAUAAUUGUUACAGUAGUUACUGUUCAAUAUUUUAUUUUAUUGAUUCAAUAAUUGUUGCGUUGAUAUUUUAUAUUAUUGUUGUUUCAAUAAUUAUCACUGCACAAUAUUUUCCAUUAUCAGAUCAAUAAUUCAUAUUAUUUGAAUAAUAUUAUUAGAUAGCAUUAUUGGAAAUGUCUAGAAAGUUCUGUUAAGGAGAGGUUUGGGCACCUAAUUGCGCCCCAGUAAGGAAAAAUCCUUAUUGAAAAGCCCAUUCUUUCCUGGGAACUGCCUGGUUGUCAUAAUUGUAAUUCUGUAAUAUUAUUUGUGAAUAAUUAAUUAUUGAUUUAUAUGAUAAGGAAAUAUUUAUUUGAUGUGGAUAUAAAUGAUGGAUUUAUUUAUGUGGUUAUAAAUGAAGGAAUUAAUACUGAGGUGUUUUAUCAGUAUUUUGUUAGAAUGGAGGUAUUAAAAAUCACCCAUUUAUUGAUUUCGGAUAUUUUCUAGUUGGAAUUUGGAAAAACUCAAAGCUACAAAGUUGUAGAGAAUUCAAUUUCGCGUGGAAUGGACAUAAAAUUCGUAUUUUUCUGAUAAACGGGCUAUUUUCUAUGAAUUGUUGAAGUUUCGGAAAAUAAAAUAAUUUUAUUAAUUUAUGGGUGGGACCCACUUUUGGGUUGGUGUUGAAUACACAUGGGUUGCUAUUUUUUUCUUCCAAGAUGGCAUGCUUGAUUUUUCCAAAGGUGUGCGUAGAGAAAAAAGAAAGAAAUAAUAAUAUUUUAUUAUUUUAGUCUCCUAUGGCGUUCUAGCAUUUUCCUAUGAAUAGACGCUUAGGUUAGAAUUGAAAAUCACACCAGAAACAAGUUUUCUUUCUCUCUAGAUUCUCGAGCGUAUUUUUAUGAGUAUUUUGAUACUUUGAGAGUUGCUGUUCGGUACAAGUUUCCUUCGGCUUUCUAUCCGAUAUUCCGAUCAGAAGUACCGUUAUUUUGAGGUAAGGGAUGUUCUUUUCUUCUUAAAUAAUAUUAUUUUCUUCAAUAUCAUUAUACCGAAAUAUUGGUGAACGUUUUAAUCAAAUUUGGAACUUUUUGUGUCGGUGUUACUAUUCACGUAUACGAUACUAUUCACGUAUACGACACUAUUCACGAAUACAACACUAUUCACCGAAAAAUAAAAAUUUUCUUUUUUGUCCAAGAUGUCUAUUCUGGCAACUAUCUUUGAUUGUAUCCAUGUUUUGAUCGUUAUUUUUGAAUUCUGCUUCACAAUUGAUUAUUAUGAAGUAUUAUUGAUCUUAAAUAAACUGUUAUACGAAUCCCUAAUAUUUGUCCUUCUAUCUCACUGGAUUCAUUUUCUUUAAAAUAUUUUUCAUCAUCCUCAGUCUUAAAUGAUGAUAUUACUGAAUAUCUUUGGCCUGUAGUGCAAAGAUGAAUGAUUAACUGAUGAAUAUCUUUGGCCCGUAGUGCAAAGAUGAACAGGUGUUGAGAUGAACAUGACCAACUGGUGAUACAAAUGAAUAUCUUUGGCCUGUAGUGCAAAGAUGAUUAAAGAUGUAUAUUGAUUGUUAUUACAGGGAUAAACUAUUGAUGAUGGACUUUUAAACCUUAGAAGACAGUAGAAUUCUUUCUCUACGUGACUCUUCUAAUGGAUUGCUGUUUCCGCUGCAUUUGUUGAUCUAAAACUUGUUGUCUAUUAUAUUCUAGUAGAUUUUUCCAUAUUGAAGACUAAUGAUAAUUUGUUGUAUAUUAUCUUAGUCAUAAUAUUCUUUACUUGCCUAGUUGAGCUCACCCUUUUCCUUUUUGUUCCAUUUUUCUUCUCAGGAGGUGAGAACAUAGCAGGAUCGAGUCGGGGUAUGGAGUGAUGGUUCUAGGAAGAUGUUUUAGCUGUCCUCACUAUUUCUGUAAAAUAGUGUAUGAAUAAUUAAUGAGGACUUAUUUGGGUGUGUAUAUUGUCUAGAAGACAAUAUUUGUAUUCAAACUCACAGUUGUAUUGUCGUAUUCUACACGACAUCUGUAUUGUCAAAGUUGUAGUUUGCUUUCUAUACCAUGUAUUUUGGCGACUCAGAAUGGGUGUUGUAUACCUAUUUUGGGGGCGUCACAGUUGGUAUCAGAGCUUAGGGAUAUGAUCUCUGGCGGAGAUCGGGGAAUAGAACUAGGAGGGGAGAGACGAGUAAAUCCUUCGCUAGUGUGUCCUACCUAAGCUUAUUUGUUGGUCGGUCAUAAUAUAGGAUAUUAUGUGAUAUGUUAAUUUGUUUAAUUAACCCUUGUUUUAUGGCAGUAUUUAAGAAUGGCUGCUGAGAACGUUAACAAUGGAGUUUAUGAGACCGUGGAGACGCCGGUACUCACCAACGAGGAGAACGUGCAACAGGCUGGCAAUGUUCCUCCUGUGAACAACGCCACUGAGCAAAUGAUGAACGACGGGAUGUUUAGAAGCUUUUUGCAGUUCAUGCAAAAUCAGACAAGGGAGACUCGUGUACAAAAUACGGGUGGAAAUGAUGGCAAUGCACGGUCUGUCACAGCCAAGCAGUUCAAGGAGUUGGGACCACCAGAUUUCCAUGGAAAGCCGGAUCCGAUCAAGGCAGAAACGUGGGUCAAGCAAAUUACCAAGAUAUUCGAUGUCUUGGGGUGCACGGAGGAACAGAAGGUUCCAUUCGCCACCUUUAUGUUUCGUGGUGAAGCAGAUUACUGGUGGGAAUCUGUGAAGCGUACCCAGCCAGAUGCACUUAACAUGUCUUGGGAAAGAUUUCAGAAACUGUUCAAUGACAAGUACUUUCCAGAAAGUAUUCGUCAUAUGAAGGAGGUAGAGUUUAUUAGACUCGAACAGAACAACAUGACGGUGUCUCAGUACGAGGCAAGGUUCGCAGAAUUAUCCAGGUUUGCACCUCAUUUGGUGGAGAAUGAGGAACGAAUGACGCGUAUGUUUCUGAGAGGUCUAAAACCAGAGAUUCGUCAAUACCUUAUCUCUCAUAAAUUUUCUCUGUAUUCAGAUGUUGUCAACAGGGCUCAGUUAUUAGAGCGAGAUAGUGAGUAUACUCAACCGAGGGACCACAAUCAGGGUAGUCAUCAGAACGAUGAUAACCAGCGAGGAGGAAAGAAUACGGACAAAGGCGGUAACCACUCAGGUGGUAAUCGUGGACAUGAUAAUAGGAGAGGUGACUCAAGUGGAAAUUUCAGAAAGAGAAGAUUCAACAAUGACGGGAAGAUAUCAACGGCAGCACCAGCACCAACAACAAAUGCUAGGGGAGGAGAACGACCGCCAGUUAGAUGUUACAAAUGCGGGAAGGAGGGACAUAUCAGCCCAAACUGUCCACAACAAUCCAAGGUAUGUUACAACUGUGGAAAGGAAGGCCACAUCGCUCGAGAUUGUACUAUCGCGAAACCAAGUUCAGCAGGAGUGGUGAUUCCAAGGGCUGUCCCGGAUAAGUCGAAAUCAGCGGUUCCUGGAAGAGCGUUUGUCGUGACUGGACAAAACGUGAGGAACCCAAACGAGGUGAUCACGGGUAAGCUAAUCUUGAAUUCUUGCGAAGUUUAUACCUUACUAGAUACCGGUUCUACCCAUUCUUUUAUCUCUCCUGCUUGUGCUCAACGUUUAAACUUGACUCCGGAGAAAUUAGAUUUUGAUUUAUCUGUUGAAACUCCGUUGGGUGAAACCUUCGUUACAUCUACAGUUUAUAAAUCUUGCAUGAUCCAAGUUGGCACUAUCACAUUACCUGUUGAUCUUAUCUCUUUAAAGAUACUUGCUUUUGAUGUGAUUUUAGGAAUUGAUUGGUUAACCACUCAUCAUGCCAAAAUUGAUUGUUUUCGUAAGGUUGUUAGUUUUCAUAUUCCUAACCAACCUGUCAUACGAAUUCAAACCACUAAACCACUAAAAUCAGUCACUGUCAUAUCAAGCCACAAAGCUAUUCGUUUAUUGAAAAACGGAUGUCAAGCUUUCUUAGCCCAUGUUAUGGAUUUGAAUAAAGACAAGUCAGAUUUGAAUAAUAUUUCUGUGGUUAGAGAAUUCCCUGAUGUAUUUCCUGAAGAGCUUCCCGGUCUACCCCCAGAACGUGAUGUUGAAUUCUUUAUUGACCUUGAACCGGGUACAAAGCCCAUUUCUAAAACCCCAUAUCGAAUGGCUCCUAUUGAACUUCAGGAGUUAAAAGUCCAACUACAGGAGUUAUUAGACAUCGGUUUCAUUCGUCCUAGUACGUCUCCUUGGGGUGCUCCUGUUUUAUUCGUAAAGAAGAAAGACGGGAGUAUGCGACUUUGUAUUGACUAUCGAGAAUUGAACCAUGUCACCAUCAAGAAUAGGUAUCCGCUACCUCGCAUUGAUGACCUGUUCGACCAGUUACAAGGAGCGCAAUUCUUUUCAAAGAUCGAUCUUCGUUCUGGAUAUCAUCAGCUGAAGAUUAAAACUGAGGAUAUUCCAAAGACGGCAUUCAGGACUCGAUACGGGCAUUAUGAAUUCUUGGUCAUGUCUUUUGGAUUGACUAAUGCUCCUGCUGCUUUCAUGGAUAUGAUGAACCGUGUAUUUAAGGAAUAUUUGGAUCAGUUCGUUGUUGUCUUUAUUGAUGACAUCCUCAUCUAUUCCAAAAGCCGUGAAGAUCAUGAGCACCAUUUGAAGCUGGUACUACAAAGACUUCGUGAACACAAGCUUUAUGCCAAGCUGAAGAAAUGCGAGUUCUGGCUUGAGGAAGUAGCAUUCCUUGGGCACGUGGUGUCAAAACAAGGAGUAUCUGUUGACCCGGCGAAGAUUGAAGCAAUACAAAGUUGGGAGCAACCGAAGUCGGUGACCGAAGUACGCAGCUUUCUGGGCUUAGCUGGUUAUUAUCGGAGAUUUGUGGAAGGAUUUUCUCGAAUCGCUACUCCGUUAACUCAGCUGACUCGGAAGGAUGCAAAAUUCUUAUGGAGCGAGGAAUGCGAGAAGAGCUUCCAAGAGCUCAAGAGGAGACUCAUUUCGGCACCUGUUCUGACAAUACCAUCUGGUUCAGAUGGAUUUGUUAUCUACAGCGAUGCUUCUGGCAAGGGGUUAGGAUGUGUUCUCAUGCAACAUGGGAAAGUCAUAGCCUAUGCCUCACGACAACUCAAAGAAUAUGAGAGGAAUUAUCCUACUCAUGAUCUGGAGUUGGCAGCAGUCGUGUUUGCGUUGAAGAUAUGGAGACACUACUUGUACGGGGAGAAAGUAGAGAUUUAUACGGAUCAUAAAAGCCUCAAAUAUUUCUUCACCCAAAAAGAACUCAACAUGCGGCAACGACGUUGGCUGGAGCUGUUAAAAGAUUACGAUCACACUAUUCAAUAUCAUCCUGGAAAAGCGAACGUAGUAGCUGACGCAUUAAGUAGAAGAUCAUAUGCAAGUACGAGUGCGAUAUUGUCAACGCAAAGGCCCAUUUUGUAUGACUUGCAAAGGAUGGAGGUAGAAUUAAAGACUCCAGGGACCCACAUAAUGAUGGCGAAUAUACAAGUAGAACCGACUUUAAUCGAUAAAGUUAAAGCUGCUCAAGCUACGGACCUGGGGCUGAUGCGUAUGAAGAAGAAAGUGCAAGAAGGAGCUAUUCCGGAAGCAAGAAUUGAUGAGGAAGGAAUACUUCGAGUCAAUUCUAGACUUUGCGUUCCUAACGAUUCUGACCUGAAGCAUAAAAUCAUGAUGGAGGCACACAACACCCCGUUUGCAAUCCAUCCUGGGAGUACCAAAAUGUAUCAUGAUAUUCGACAUACAUUUUGGUGGAACAAUAUGAAGAGAGAGAUUGCGGAGUUUAUCUCAAGAUGUUUAACCUGUCAACGUGUAAAGGCGGAGCAUCAAGUGCCAAAAGGUCCAUUGCAACCACUUGAGAUUCCGGAAUGGAAAUGGGAACACAUUACUAUGGAUUUUGUUACAGGUCUUCCCAAAGUUUCUCAAGGCGUAGAUGCAAUUUGGGUUAUUGUUGAUAGAUUAACCAAGUCUGCCCAUUUCUUACCGAUACGCGAGACUUAUUCCCUUGAACGUCUUGCUCGUAUGUACGUGAAUGAGAUUGUACGAUUGCAUGGCAUGCCAGUAUCCAUAGUUUCGGAUCGUGACCCGAGAUUCACUUCAAGAUUUUGGGUUAGCUUGCAGAAAGCUAUGGGCACGGAUUUACGAUUCAGUUCAGCAUACCAUCCUCAAACGGACGGACAAUCAGAGAGGACUAUUCAAACCCUUGAAGAUCUAUUAAGACUCUGUGUCUUAGAUUUCAAAGGAAGUUGGGAUAAGUACCUACCACUGGUGGAAUUCUCCUACAACAACAGUUAUCAAUCAAGUAUAGGCAUGGCUCCAUUCGAGGUGUUGUAUGGACAAAAGUGUCGUUCUCCAGUGUGCUGGGACGAGGUGGGAGAAGCAACGUUGUUGGGACCAGAAUUAGUACGCAUGACUACAGAAAAGAUACAAAUGAUUCGACAACGUAUUCAAACCUCACAACAUCGACAAAAGAGUUAUGCUAAUCUUCAUCGAAAGGACGUGAAAUUUAAUAUUGGGGAUCAUGUAUUAUUACGUAUUGCUCCAUGGAAGGGAGUUACAAGAUUUGAAAAGAGAGGAAAGCUCAAUCCAAGGUUUGUUGGUCCAUUUGAGAUUCUUGACCGAAUAGGAAAUGUGGCCUAUAGACUCGCAUUACCUCCAAACAUGUCUCGUGUUCAUAAUGUUUUUCAUAUAUCUAUGCUUCGUAAAUAUGUGAAAGACUCAAACCACAUUAUUGAGUUAGAACCAGACAAGAUAGCCGAAGAUUUAACGUACGAGGAGGUACCUGUUAAGAUCUUGGAUAGAAAAGAGCAUGUCCUAUGCACCAAGGUUAUAUACCACAAGUUAAGGUUUUGUGGAGGAACCGUGCUAUUGAAGAAAUGACCUGGGAGUUGGAAUCAGAAAUGAAAGCGAGGUACCCUCACCUGUUUGAAACACCAGGUACGUACGUUAAUUUCGAGGACGAAAUUUUAUAAGGAGGGGAGGUUGUAAGACCCCAACUUAUUAUAAAUAAAAUUAAAUUUUCUCUAUUCAUUAUUCUAAAUUAAUAAGGUGUUAAUUUGAUAUAAUGCUUUGGUUAUGGGUGAAAUGUGCAAAUUUUACAAAAUAAGCAAGUGGUUAUAAAAUAUUCAUUUUUGUCGAGAAAUAUUCUUUUGGUCGUUGAAUAUUCGUACGACGGUGCAGCCAUUCAUGGGGCUCAUAACAGAAUAACUGUCGGAUGAAGAGAAUGACAAAGUAUGAGUUUUUAUAAAUAACGGCGUAGUUGUUACCGUUAACACUGUUGGAAUACCUGGUGGUUAAAAUAUAGUAAUACGCAUGGUGGCACAGUAGCACACAGUAUUGCACAGUAUUGUUGAAUUAUUGAUUCGUAUGUAAAAAGGCACCACUCAAUAAUUGUUACAGUAGUUACUGUUCAAUAUUUUAUUUUAUUGAUUCAAUAAUUGUUGCGUUGAUAUUUUAUAUUAUUGUUGUUUCAAUAAUUAUCACUGCACAGUAUUUUCCAUUAUCAGAUCAAUAAUUCAUAUUAUUUGAAUAAUAUUAUUAGAUAACAUUAUUGGCAAUGUCUAGAAAGUUUUGUCAAGGAGAGGUUUGGUCAUCUAAUUGCGGGCCAGUAAGGAGAAAUCCUUAUUGGAAAGCCCCUUCUUUCCUGAGAACUGCCUGGUUGUCAUAAUUGUAAUUCUGUAAUAUUAUUUGUGAAUAAUUAAUUAUUGAUUUAUAUGAUAAGGAAAUAUUUAUUUGAUGUGGAUAUAAAUGAUGGAUUUAUUUAUGUGGUUAUAAAUGAAGGAAUUAAUGCUGAUGUGUUUUAUCAGUAUUUUGUCGAAAUGGAGGUAUUAAAAAUCACCCGUUUAUUAAUUUCGGAUAUUUUCUAUUUGGAAUUUGGAAAAACUCAAAGCUACAAAGUUGUAGAGUAUUCGAUUUCGUGUGGAAUGGACAUAAAAUUCGUAUUUUUCUGAUAAACAGGCUAUUUUCUAUGAAUUGUUGAAGUUUAAGAAAAUAAAAUAAUUUUUAUUAAUUUAUGGGUGGGACCCACUUUUGGGUUGGUGUUGAAUACACAUGGGCUGCUAUUUUUUUCUUCCAAGAUGGCAUGCUUGAUUUUUCCAAAGGUGUGCGUAGAGAAAAAAAGAAAGAAAUAAUAAUAUUUGAUUAUUUUAGUCUCCUAUGACGUUCUAGCAUUUUUCUAUAAAUAGACGCUUAGGUUAGAAUUGAAAAUCACACCAGAAACAAGUUUUCUUUUUCUCUAGAUUCUCGAGCGUAUUUUUGUGAGUAUUUUGAUACUUUGAGAGUUGCUGUUCGGUACAAGUUUCCUUCGGCUUUCUAUCCGAUAUUCCGAUCAGAAGUACCGUUAUUUUGAGGUAAGGGAUGUUAUUUUCUUCUUAAAUGAUAUUAUUUUCUUCAAUAUCAUUAUGUCGAAAUAUUGGUGAAUGUUUUAAUCAAAUUUGGAACUUUUUGGGUCGGGGUUACUAUUCACGUAUACGACACUAUUCACGUAUACGGCACUAUUCACGAAUACGGCACUAUUCACCAAGAAAUAAAAAUUUUCCUUUUUGUCCAAGAUGUCUAUUCUGGCUACUAUCUUUGAUUGUAUCCAUGUUUUGAUCGUUAUUUUUGAAUUUUUCUUCACAAUUGAUUAUUAUGAAGUAUUAUUGAUCUUGGAUAAACUGUUAUACGAAUCCCUAAUAUUUGUGCUUCUGUUUCACUGGAUUCGUUUUCUUUAAAAUAUUUUUCAUCAUCCUCAGUCUUAAAUGAUGAUAUUACUGAAUAUCUUUGGCCUGUAGUGCAAAGAUGAAUGAUUAACUGAUGAAUAUCUUUGGCCCGUAGUGCAAAGAUGAACAGGUGUUGAGAUGAACAUGACCAACUGGUGAUACAAAUGAAUAUCUUUGGCCUGUAGUGCAAAGAUGAAUAUUUGAUUAAAGAUGUAUAUUGAUUGUUGUUGCAGGGAUAAAAUAUUGAUGAUGAACUUUUAAAUCUUAGAAGACAGUAGAAUUCAUUCUCUACGUGAUUCUUCUAAUGGAUUGCUGUUUCUACUGCAGAAUAUUGAUCUAAAACUUGUUGUCUAUUAUAUUCUAUCAGAUUUUUCCCUGUUGAAGACUAAUGAUAAUUUGUUGUAUAUUAUCUUAGUUAUAAUAUUCUUUACUGGGCUAGUUGAGCUCACCCUUUUCCUUUUUGUUCCAUUUUUCUUCUCAGGAGGUGAGAACAUAGCAGGAUCGAGUCGGGGUAUGGGGUGAUGGUUCUAGAAAGAUGUUUUAGUUGUCCUCACUAUUUCUGUAAAAUAGUGUAUGAAUAAUUGUAAUGAGGACUUAUUUGGGUGUGGAUAUUGUCUAGGAGACAAUAUUUGUAUUUAAACUCACAAUAUGUGUUGUCGUAUUUUACACGAUAAUUGUAUUAUUGAAGUUGUAGUUUGCUUUCUGUACCAUGUAUUUGACGACUCAGAAUGAGUGUUGUAUACCUAUUUUGGGGGCGUCACAAUAUUAGAUUUAUUUAAUUAUUAUAGUAAAUAAAUGAAUUAAAAAUGAUUUUAUUAAUUUAAAAAUCAUUUAAAAAUGAGAAAAAUGAUUUAAAAAUAUUUUAAUAAUUAAUAUUUAAUAUUAAUGAUGAGGGUUUAAAAAUGAUUUUAAUUAAUUUAAAAAUCAUUUAAGUAGAAUAUUGAUGAUUUAAAAAUAUUUUAAGUUAUUAAUAAUAACUUUAAUAUUUUGACAAGUAUAACAUUAAUAUUUUUAUAUUAUUAAAUAUUAAUGAUGAUAAGAUUAUUUGAUAAUUAAAUCAUUUAAAAAUGAUUUAAGUGUUUGAAAAAUUAUUAUAAAUUAUAAUAAUUGUUUAUAAAUUAUUAAAAGCUUCUGAAAAAUAUUAUAUACGAUAUUUGACUUAUCUAAAAUAAUAUUGAAGCUUUGAAACUGAGUUUAAUUGAUAAUCAAUGUGUUAAUUGUCAGAUAGGGUGACCAAAACACCGAGAAUAGACUGAAGUCCAACCAGACCGAACUAGUUAGACUUGACAAGUGUUUAUACAGGUUAUAAACACUAAUGUGGUUAUGUGGUAAUGUGUCUAUGACUGUAAAUUACAGUGAUACGUGUUGUGAAUUAUUGUCCUAAUUGUGAGACCGAUAUUAUUGAUUUUAGGUCUUACGAACGCAGAUAAGUUUAUUGUGUAGCAGUAGUCAACGAAGAAGGAAAGUUUCCUUAACUCAACCUUGAGUUAAUAUUGUUUAAUUAUUAUGGUGGUUAAUUAUUGUUGAUUAGACCACGUUCAAGAAUUUAUUAUUGAUUAUUUGCAGUUAGUGUAUAUUUAUUAAUUCAAAUUGAAUCAAUGAUUCUGAAAACAUAUUCAGAGAAUAAUUAUUAUUGGAUAUUCACAUCCAUAGAAGCUAUUAAUGAUUGUAAAUAGUACAGAUAAUUCCUGUCUAUUGUAGAAAUGUGUUGAGAAGUGUCUUCGCCAAUUAUUCUGGCUGGACGAAUAAUUGUUAGAACUUGAUAGGUUCAAGAAGAGAUUCAAUUAAUAUUGACAGAUCGGUGCCAAUUAUUUCGGCUAGAUCAAGAAAGUGAUUAGAUAUUGAAAUCAUAGUAUUUCAUUGUUAAAUCAAAUUUUGAUUCUGAGACUGAGAAGAACAACCUUUUAUACAAAGGGAACAUUUUAUUGGUCGUAAAUUCGACCUUUGCGCGCGUGUAAGUAUUAUGCAUAAUUUAGGGUACAAGGAGUUGGCCAACUCUAAGUACUUGCAGAGGGGUAUGAUUUAAUCUUUAUGGUUAUCUGAUACACCUGGGUAUAUCAAAGUCAAAUCUUUGAUAGUUACUCAAGAAGAGAAGUUCAAGAUCCAAUGGAUCACCCAACAUAAAUCUGGAAAACAUUCCACUUUGUUAUUGCGUAGAAUUGAUUCUUAAUUAUUCAUUAGAAUAUCGUAGAAACUUUAAAAGCGUUGUACUCUUUCAUUAUCAGAUUAUUGUGUUACAUAAAAUGCGAAAAGACUUGUUAGUUAUUAAAGCUUUGUUCAGCUAUUUCAAAGUUCCCCAAACUUUGGUUUCAUUCUAUCAAAAUAGAUAGUCUGUUCUUUUUGAUUCUUAUACAUUUAUUGUAAGUCUUAACUUACGGAGCAAAUUUGUUGCUCACCCUUGCUAAAUAAAUUUUUUUAGCUAGGGACGAAGUGGCAGGAGGUACUGUGAAGGACAAGGGCAAAGGCAUUGUAAUAAAUUAGUUAUUAAUAGCAUUAUUAUUAUGUUAUGUUUGUAAACCCUUUUUGUAUAUCUAAAGGUUAUGUUUGUAAUGAUAAGGUUAGAUGACAUGGGACUAUUGUAUUAACAAUCUCUGUUAAUGACUUAUGUAUUAAUAUUUCUAUAUGAAUGGGUAGUUAGAUGUUAUUAUAAUGUGGAUCGUGAACACCAAACUCGGGGGUCAGGUAACCCGGAUUUGGGGGUGUCACAGGUUGGUAUCAAAGCUGUAGGUUAUAAACCUUAAGUGGGNNNNNNNNNNNNNNNNNNNNNNNNNNNNNNNNNNNNNNNNNNNNNNNNNNNNNNNNNNNNNNNNNNNNNNNNNNNNNNNNNNNNNNNNNNNNNNNNNNNNGGGGAACCCUAGGAUUAUAACCAUAAGCGAGAUAGAUAAUACUCAUUUAGAGUACUAAGUGAGUGUAAGACCCCGAAUUUUAUGAAAUGAAAGUAUUCAAUUUUCUUAUAAUUAUUAUUCUAUUUGGUUAAAUUGAUAAAAGGUUAAAGUUAAGUGUAAUAUUUGAAAAUUUUACAAAUUAAGCAAGUGGUUAUAUAAUAUUUGAUUAGUCGGGGAAUAUUCAUUUUAACAGGGAAUAUUCGUACGACGACACAAUCAUUGGUGGACCCCACAACGGAAGUAUUGUCGUAGUUAGAAAACAAUAGAAUUAGCUUUUUAUAAAAAUAACGGCGAAAGUUUUACCGUUAAACUGUUGAACUACCCGGUAGUAAAAGUACAGUAAUACGCGUGGUUGCAUAGUAGCACACGGUAUUGAUUAUUGAUGCUUACGUAAGAAGUCAGUCAGUUAUACUUAAUUAUUGCUAUAGUAAUUGCUGCAUCAUAUCUCUCAUAUUAUUGAUUCAAUUGUUGUCACAGUAUCAUCUGCAUAAUAUGUUAUAUUAUUAAAUCAAUAAUUGAGACGAUAAAGUUAUUCAUAUUAUUAUUUGCAAUAUUGACAAUGUCUAGAAGUUCUGUCAAGGAGAGGUUUAGUCACCUAAUUGCGCGUCAAUAAGGAGAAAUCCUUAUCGGAAAGCCCACUCUUUCCUGGGAACGAAAUGGAAUAUUUUGAGUUAUAAUAUUAAUGAUGAAUAAUUUUGUGUUUAUUAAAGAUAAAUUGAUAGUUCCAUUGUGUUGGGAUUAUUAGUGUUAGUGGAAAUUGAUAUUUAUUUCGAUAAUAAUUGAUGUUUGGAAGUUAUACUGACCAAUCGGACAAUUAAUCGGAUAAAUUAGCAAUUAAUUGCAAUUAAUUCACAUGCUUAUAAAUAUUUGUUCACAUGUGUGUACUAUUGAUUCACAUAUAUGUACUAUUAGGGGAGGUGGUGCAAGAUUGAUAAUACUUGCAUGACUAAAUUAAAAAUGGAGGUAUAGAUGAAGGUGCUAUACUGUAAUUAUUUUUUUCACAUGAUUAAACUAUUGAUUCACAUGAAUGUACUUUACAUGAUAUACUAUUAAGGGAGGUGAUGAAAGUUUGAUAAUACUUGCAGGACUAAAUUAAAAAUGAAGAAAAGAUGAAGGUAUUAUACUAUAAUAUUUCGAGCCCCAAAACGUGCAAUUAUCGAAACUAUAUUUUCCUAUAAAUAGAAGCUCAUUCUUCCUUCAUUCUCACCAAUUCACUAAGACUCACAAGAACAAUUAUAGAGAGAGAAGCUAUAGAGAGAUAGAAGAAGAGUAGUCUGCUACUUCACUACUCUAGUAUCCAGUCUUCUUCUGAGGUAAGGGGUAUUAUUUAUUUCAUAUUCUGAAGAGAUAUUAUUUUUCAUAUUCAUAUGGAUAUUAUUUUCGUUCAAUAUUUAUAAAGAAUAUUAUCUUUGUUCAAUAUUCGUAGGAAUAUUAUCUUCGUUAAAUAUUCGUUGGAAUAUUAUUUUCGUUCAAGAGAUGUUUUUGUUCAAUAUUUGCGUGAAAUAAUAUUUUCUUCCAUACUCUUUAGUAUGUGAGUAAUAUUAUUUCAUCUCGUAUUCCUGAUUAUACACUCAUUCUGUUGAAGUUUUGGCUUCUAUACUCCAUGAAAUUAGUAGAAUAUCCUUGAUAUUUGCGCUUCAUCUAGUAUCUUUUCAUGGAAAUAUUAUUCUGAGCUUUCUUGAUAAUUAUUGAUCUUUUCAUGACGGAAUAGUAUUCAUGAGUUACUAUUUAUGGGUUACUAGUUACCCGGUUACUAUUUACUCAAAUAUUAUUCAAUCGGGUAUUCGGGACACUUUUCAUGCCGGUGUACUAUUCACGAGUAACUAUUCACGGGUUACUAUUUACCCAAUUACUAUUCACUCGGGUAUUUGGGGUACUUUUUAUGUCGGGGUACUAUUCCCGAGGUACUAUUCCCGAAGUACUAUUCACAGGGUACUAUUCACGGGGUACUAUUUACUCGAAAAAUAUAUUUUUUUCUGUCCAAAUUAUUUUUGGUACACGAAUAUUAUUCUUGAAUUUUACUCUACAAAGCAGUAUCAUGUUGACAAUUUGGAUAUUUUUAAACUCUAGAUAAAUUUAAAGUCUUUAAUAUUUAUCCUUGAUUUCGUUUGACUUGAUUUCGUUUGAUUAAUGCUUAUAUCAUUGUCAUCAUCCUCAUGCUUAUAUUGUGAUAAAAGUCAUAUUUGGCUUAUGUGCAUAGAUGAACUAUUGAUUUGUAUGAUUAUAACCAAGAAUCAUUCGGUAUAAUCAUGACUCGUAAUGUUACAAAUGAUGUGGUAAAAGUCCUCAUUGGUCCGUAGUGCAUUGAUGGACAGUUGUUGGUAUGAUUAUGAACAUGAAUUAUUCGGUAUAAUCAUGACCAUUAGUGAUUACAUGAAUAUCCUUGGCCCGUAGUGCAGGGAUGAUUCGAUGAUGUGGUUUAUUUAUUAAGUUGAGUCUCAGCGAUAGAUUUGUUGAAAAACUUUUUAAAUCAUAGAAGAUAGUAGAUAUCAUGCUCUACUUGACUCUUCUAAUGGAUUUCUUGUUCCGCUGCAGUUGUUGAUCUAAAACUUGUUGUCUAUUAUAUUCUAUCAGUUGUUAUACUGCUGAAGGCUAAGGAUAAUUUAUUCUGCAUUAUCUUAGUCAUAAUAUUUUUUACUGGGCUAGUUGAGCUCACCCUUUUCUUUCAUUGUUCUCUUCAGGAAAUGACAAUAUAGCUGGGACAAGUUGGAGAAUGGAGUGAUGGUCCAGUAUAAGUGGACCACCCUUUAGUAGUUGUAACAACCCGAUAUUUUUUAUAUAAAUAAAUUAAAAAUUUUGCGUAUAAUUUUUUUUUUUAUUAAAAUAAAUAUGGGGAAAUGUGUCAAGAUAAUAUGUGUAUGUAUUUAUGUGAUACAUUUAUUACAUGAAUGAUUUUAAAUAAUUUUAUUUUAGAAUUAUUGAUUGUUAUAAACUAUAUUAUUAAAAUAAUUAAUUUUAUAGAAAAAAUGUUUUAUUAAUUAUUUUCCAUGAAAAUAUAAUCAUAUAUUAUUUAUAUAAUAUAUGAAAUGAUUUUUAGAAUUAUUAUAAUAAUUAUUUUAUUAUAUGAAUUUUGUUCAGAUUAUUAAGUUAAUUAUUUUUAACUUAAUUAAUAAUGUUAAGUAUGACAGAUAAAUCAGAUAUGGAAUCCAAACCCUAAUUUUUGGAUUUUGAUCAAGGCAUGAGAAUAAUAAUAUAAUAUUAAUUAUAUUUUGAUUUUUCAGUGCUAUAAAUAUGUACUGUAUAUGUGGACCGAUAAGGGUUGGUCAAUUAUGGUGUUAUGUGACAAACCCUUGUAUUACUGUGUGAAACCCUAAUUUAAAAUACAAAUUAGAGUUCAAAAUUGUUAGGUAAUUGUGAUAAUGUGAUCAAUGUCUGAUAUUAUAAAUAUAAAUGCUAAUUAGGUAAACCCUAAUCAUUGACUCGAAACCCUAAUGUUCAUGCAUAAUGUGAUUAGGAACCCUAAUUAUUAAUUUUAAACCCUAAUUGAUAAAUUCGGCACCUUAAUUGCUAAAUUUGAACGCUUAAUAAUAAUUAGUAAAGAUUAAAUCCUAUUAUGCAAGACCUAGGUGGUUAAAUAAUCUAACUUAAUUAGGAAACCCUAAUUUCAAAUUAUAGAAACUAAUUUUAUUUUAUUUUAAACCCUAAAUGAAAGCUUCGUAACCUAAUUAUACAUUAGGUGAGACAAUUAAAUAACCUAAGGGUUAUGGUAAUAAGGAAAGGUUAAUAUUUAAUAUGUAUACUAACCUAUGUGGAUAAUCUUGUUAUUUCAAGUGACUAAUAAUUUUAAACCUAUUUCUAGUAAACCUAAUUAGGUUAUGAGCUAAAGUCACAUGUAUAAGUAAUUAAAUUUCAUAAGAUUGGGAAUGGAAACCCUAAAUAAAUAAUUUGGGUAACAUAUAUUAAAAUUGUUAGACUAUAUUCAUUACAUGACCCAAAACAAUUAAAGGAGAAGCCCAAAAGAAAUAAAAUGAAAACCAAUACUUAGUCCACUUGAUUAAGGGUAUUUUAGGCUUUUGAUUAAUCAAAUCUGUGCAUUAAAAUAAAAGUAAAAUGGAGGAGAUAAUGGGGCAAGGGGGACUGGCCAUAUUAGGCCAUUUAAGGCAACAAAUUAUGCUAAUAAAGUUCCUUAAAUAGUAAGUCUUACACACAAGGACAAGUGUGUCAUGCUCCCAUUCGUGGAAAGCUUAAUUAGCACCCUUAAUCACAUGAUUAGGCUUAAUUGGAAGAGAUAAGGUGAAGCCUUUUAUCCAAGGGACAAUAAAAGUAUGGGGGAUAUUAGUUAAUCACCCCAUUUCAUUUGCUAGAUCAUUUCAUUUCUCUUCUUCUUCUUCUUCUUCUUCUUCUAUUUUUCUCUCAAGCUAGCAAAUACUAAGAGAGAAAAGAGAGAGAGGGGUUCAGUUUUUGGAAGAGUAAGAGAGGAGUGUGCUAGCUUGUGUAUUGCACCCUAAGAUUAUAUUACUUUGGUAAAUUAAGGAAGGUUGCUACUAGAUCAAUGUAUAACCUAAUCUUCAUCUUCUUCUUCUAUUUUGUGUUAUAGCUUGAUUUGUUGGGGUUAUGAACUAAUACUCAAGAUACCCUAGUUAUACAUAUCAUCAUGUAUGGAACUAAGUAUCUUGAGUGUUAGAUCAAAGGUUUAGAGGAAGAAAAUGAGCAUAUGUUCUCCUAAGGGUUAAACCCUUAUUUUUCUUCCACUAAAUCUUGUGUAACUCAAGUUUUACAACUUGGAUUUGUGAUCCGUCAAAGGGGGGGUGCUAGAUACGUGAGUUAUCUAGUAAACCCAAGUGGUAAAACACAAAUAUAGCAAGUAUUGAUGCCAUGGGGGCUAUUUUCCCCAAAAUAGUCCACAUAGAAAGCUAAAGUUUCAAAACCCUAAAAAGCUACUGUCCCCGUUUUUCUUAGGGAUGUUUUGGAUAGUUUCAAGUCUUUUAAAAAUAUGGGAAAAAUCACAGAGGUACCUUACGAAGUUAUCUACGUGUAGGAAAAAGAACGGUCACGUUUCGAUUUAUAGGUUGUGCGUAAUGGCUAUUUCCGUAAAGGACUCCUAAAUAUUAACACCAGCAUUUCUCACAGUGUAUACAUGGGAAAAAUCCGAAAUUUUUACAGUAUGUUCAUAUAUGCUAUGGGAGUAUACUCUGAAAAUAUUAGAAUUUUCUGAGUAAAACUCGAUUUAUGAAAAAUGAAGCAAGAUCCGAGUGUUUUGGGCACUUUAAAAUUAGUAAAUCACUUUCUAAAAUUCUAGAAAACUUUGGGAAUCAUUGUUGGGUCAUAUACUGUCUAAACCCAGAAAAGAAGAAUUUUUGGAAUCAGUUUGGUAUUUUUUCUAAAAAUUUUGAAGUUAUGAAUAAAAGAAAAUAAAUAGUUAAAUGAUGUCUUAAAUAAGAAAAAUGUGAUUUUAAUGCUUGAAUACUCCUAAUAUAUAAUAUUAUGACUAUUUUAGAGCAUUUUGGUAAUUUAUAAUAAGAAAUAUUAUUUAUAAUCUUUUAUGGAUAUUAAAUAAGUAGUUUUGUAAAUGGUGAACAAUUAGUAUAAAUUGUUUAUUGAUCAAACAAAUUAAUAAAAUGUUAGUAUGAUAUUAAUAAUAUUAGAAUAUGAUAUUGUUAAGUAAAUAAAAAAUAUUAAGAUUAAAACUUCAUUAAAAUAUUAUUAAAUAAUUAAUCUUAGAUUAAAAUAUUAUUAAAAAAUUAAUAAUAUUAAAUUAAAGUAUUAUUGGAUGAUUAAAAUAUUAUUAAGAGGAUUAAUAAUAUUAGUAAAUGAAUAAAAUAUUAAUACAAUUGGUAAAUGAAUAAAAGUAUUAUUAAUUGGUUAAUGAUACUAAAGCAUAAGUAAGAUAUUAUUAAAGUAAUAAUAUUAAUGCAUGAUUAAAAUAUUAUUAAGAGGAUUAAUAAUAUUAGUAAAUUAUUAAAAAUUAUUAAGAUGUUAAUAAUAUUAGUAAGCGAAUAAAAGUAUUAUUAGUGAAUUAAUAAUACUAAGAAGUGAAUUAAAUAUUAUCAAGAUUAAUAAUAUUAAGUGAAUUAAAAAUAUUUUAAGUUAUACUUAAUGACUUUUAAUAUUUUAAGAAAUAGUUCAUUAAUAUUUUAAUAUUAAUGGUAAUUAUUUAAAAAUGAUUUUAAAUGUUUUAAAAAUCAUUUAAGGGUAAUAUAAAUAUUUUAAAAAUAUUUGGAGUUAUUAUAAAUUACUUUAAUAUUUUGGCAAUGGUUUCAUUAAUAGUUAAAUAAUAAUUAAAUGAUAAUAGAAUUAUUUGAUAUUUGAAUUAUUUAAUAAUGAUUUCGGUGUUUGAAAAUUCGUGAUAAAUUAAUAAAUGUUUAUUAAGUCAUUUAAAAUAAUAUGACUGAUAUUUAUAGAUAUUGAGUUACAGAAUAGAGUCUUAGACUCGAUAAUUACCCGAUAAAGCUGUCAGUACACCGACAUAUUUCAGAAAUUGAUCUGGACUUAGAUAUUUUGACUGUAUUAAUGUUUGUUUGUGAUGCAAUAACUGUUGAACAUGUGUGAUUAGGUUAUGUACUGACUGCGAAAUGCAGUACUAUAUGUUAUAGUAUAUUGUUCUAAUAGAACAAAUGAUCUGAUUAAUGAUAGGUCGUGAUAUAAAAAAUAAAACUAAGUUGCGUAUUGUAAGCAGCGCAUCAGGUAAGUAUCAUACAUUUGCAUUUUCUUUAUGCAAUGGACAUGGGUAAGAAUGUUUCAAAAUUAUAUUAUUACUGUACAGAUUAUAAAUCCUAUAUUAUAUACGCUCAUUGAUUGUCAACAUGUUAGUAUUGGUAAUUCAGAUAUAUAUUCUGUUUGUUAAUUUAUAUAAAUGGUUAUACAAGUGUCCCCACUUAGAUAAUCAAUGCAUUUAAUCACAUGUUGAUACACCUUUGUUAAUUACUCGUAUAUAUAUAUGUUGAAUUAUAGAUUAUUGUUGAACAAGAUAAAACCUUAUUAUUAUCCAACCGAAUUGCUUUGGUUUGGAACCCCGACAAGUAUGAACAUCCCUUACACAGGAAAACUUUUAUGCACCCAAGGUGGAUAGAGUGAACGAUAACAUCGUUCUUGCAUGUAGUAUUGAUCAAUACAGGGUACAACGAGCUGAUCACCCCCGUGCUUGUAAGUUAUGACAGUUUACAGAUGAAGUUCUGUUUAACCUUUUUGAAAAUGAAAAACAAUGUUCAUAGUAUGUCCCCUUAACCCUAUUUAUAGUCAGUACGUAGUUUCAAAAAUUUGAAAGAGGGUUGUCAUGUUAUUAUUAUCGGUUCAGAUUACUUCACAACUAUUGAUUUGUUGUAGAAGGGUAGUAUAAAUAAAACAUUUAAAUUCUUUCAGCUUAUAUAUAUAUAUAUAUAUAUAAUUGUUAUUACUUGUUGGGCACUCAAAUGCUCAUCCUUGCUUAAUUUAAAUGUUUUCAGCUAAGUGUGAACAACCUGAAGGCCCUACUAGAAACAAGGGAAAGGGAAAGGUUGCUGAAUGAUUUCAAUGUUAUCUUAUGUAAUAGUUUAUUAUUAUUAAGACACGUUAUAUAUUUAUUAUCAUGUAUUGUAAGGAAUGAUUAAAAGUUACGUACUUGGAAGCUAGACUCUGAUAAUUAUGUAAAUUAAGUUUAAUAUUUAUAUUAUUGUUAUUAUUAUUAGUAUUAUUCAGCUCAUAGAAAUGGUAUCGUGAAGCACUGAAUUCGGGUUUCGAGUACCUGAAUUUGGGGGCUUUAUAGUAGUCCUCACUAUUCUGUGAAAUAGUGUGAUAAUAAUUGUAAUGAGGACUUCAUUGAGUGUGGAUAUUGUCUAGAAUACAAUAUUCAUUUUAAAAACUCAGCUAUGUUUUGUCGUAUUUUUACACGACAGUUGUAUUAAAGAAGUUUGUAUUUGAUUUCUGUACCAUGUAUUUGGCGACUCAAGAUGGGUGAUGUAUACCUGUUUUGGGGGCGUCACAGUUGGUAUCAAAACUUAGGGAUAUGAUCCAUGGCUGAGAUGUGAGACUAGAACUAGGAGGGGAGAGACGGGUAAUUUCUUGGCUAGUAUGACCUACCUAAGUUAUUUGGUAUUUAAUUAAUCGGUCAGAGUAUAGAGAUAAAAUGUGGCAUGUCAAUUAACCCUUAUUUUGAAACUAUAUUCUAGAAUGAUAUCUGAAAUACAAGAGAUCAGAAAUGGGAAAAUCAUGAUACAGAGGAAAUAACCGAGAAGGUAUAAUCUGAAUAGAAAGCAAGGUAUUCUCAUCUCUUCGAAAUACCAAGUACGUACGUAAAUUUCGAGUGCAAAAUUUCAUAAAGAGGGGAGAUUGUAAGACCCCGAAUUAUAUGAAAUGAAAGUAUUCAAUUUUCUUAUAAUUAUUAUUCUAUUUGGUUAAAUUGAUAAAAUGUUAAAGUUAAGGGUAAUAUUUGAAAAUUUUACAAAGUAAGCAAGUGGUUAUAUAAUAUUCGAUUGGUCGGGGAAUGUUUGUUUUAACAGAAAAUAUUCGUACGACGACACAAUCAUUGGUGGACCCCACAACGGAAGUAUUAUCGUAGUUAGAAAACGACAAAAUUAUCUUUUUAUAAAAAUAACGGCGGAAGUUUUACCGUUAAACUGUUGAACUACCCGGUAGUAAAAGUACAGUAAUACGCGUGAUUGCAUAGUAGCACACCGUAUUUAUUAUUGAUGCUUACGUAAGAAGUCACUCAGUUAUACUCAAUUAUUGCUACAGUAAUUGCUGCAUCAUAUCUCUCAUAUUAUUGAUUCAAUUGUUGUCACAGUAUCAUCUGCAUAAUAUGUUAUAUUAUUAAAUCAAUAAUUGAGACGACAAAAUUAUUCAUAUUAUUAUUUUUAAUAUUGACAAUGUCUAGAAGUUCUGUCAAAGAGAGGUUUUGUCACCUAAUUGUGCGCUAAUAAGGAGAAAUCCUUAUCGGAAAGCCUCCUCUUUCCUGGGAACGACCUGGUUGUUAAAUCUUGUGAGUUAUAAUAUUAAUGAUGAAUAAGUUAGUGUUGAUUAAAGAUGAAUUGAUAGUUACAUUGUGUUGGGAUUAUUAGUGUUAGUGGAAAUCGAUAUUUAUUUUGAUAAUAAUUGAUGUCUGGAAGUUAUACUGACCAAUCGGGUAAUUAAUCGGAUAAAUUAGCAAUUAAUUGCUAUUAAUUCACAUGCUUAUAACUAUUUAUUCACAUAUGUAUACUAUUGAUUCACAUGUAUGUACUAUUAGGGGUGGUGGUGCAAGAUUGAAAAUACUUGCAUGACUAAAUUAAAAAUAAAGGUAUAGAUGAAGGUACUAUACUAUAAUUAUUUUUUUCACAUGAUUAAACUAUUGAUUCACAUAAAUGUACUAGUAAUUCACAUGAUAUACUAUUAGGGGAGGUGGUGCAAGUUUGAUAAUACUUGCAGGACUAAAUUAAAAAUGAAGAAAAAGAUGAAGGUAUUAUACUGUAAUAUUUUGAGCCCCAAAACAUGCAAUUAUGGAAACUAUAUUUUCCUAUAAAUAGAAGCUCAUUCUUCCUUCAUUCUCACCAAUUCACUAAGACUCACAAGAGCAAUUAUAGAGAGAGAAGCUAUAUAGAGAGAAGCUAUAGAGAAAUAGAAGAAGAGUAGUCUACUACUUCACUACUCCAGUAUCCAGUCUUCUUCUGAGGUAAGGGGUAUUAUUUAUUUCAUAUUCUGAAGAGAUAUUAUUUUUCAUAUUCGUAUGAAUAUUAUUUUAAUUCAAUAUUCAUAAAGAAUAUUAUCUUCGUUCAAUAUUCGUAGGAAUAUUAUCUUCGUUAAAUAUUCGUUGGAAUAUUAUUUUCGUUCAAGAGAUGUUGUUUUUGUUCAAUAUUCGCGUGAAAUAAUAUUUUCUGCCAUACUCUUUAGUAUGUGAGUAAUAUUAUUUUGUAUCGUAUUCCUGAUUAUACACUCAUUCUGUUGAAGUUUUGGCUUCUAUACUCCAUGAAAUUAGUAGAAUAUCCUUGAUAUUUGCGCUUCAUCCAGUAUCUUUUCAUGGAACUAUUAUUCUGAGCUUUCUUGAUAAUUAUUGAUCUUUUCAUGACGGAAUACUAUUCAUGAGUUACUAUUUACGGGUUACUAUUUACCCGGUUACUAUUCACUCAAAUAUUAUUCACUCGGGUAUUCGGGACACUUUUCAUGUCGGAGUACUAUUCACGAGUUACUAUUCAUGGGUUACUAUUCGCCCAAUUACUAUUCACUCAGGUAUUUGGGGUAGUUUGUAUGUCGGGGUACUAUUCCCGAAGUACUAUUCACAUGGUACUAUUCACGGGGUACUAUUUACCCAGAAAAUAUAUUUCUUUUUUGUCCAAAUUAUUUUUGGUACACGAAUAUUAUUCUUGAAUUUUACUCUACAAAGCAGUAUCAUGUUGACAAUUUAGAUAUUUUUAAACUCUGGAUAAAUUUAAAGUCUUUAAUAUUUAUUCUUGAUUUCAUUUGACUUGAUUUCGUUUGAUUAAUGCUUAUAUCAUUGUCAUCAUCCUCAUGCUUAUAUUGUGAUGAAAGUCAUCUUUGGCUUACGUGCAUAGAUGAACUGUUGAUUGGUAUGAUUACGACCAGGGAUCAUUCGGUAUAAUCAUGACCCGUAAUGUUACAAAUGAUGUGGUAAAAGUCCUCAUUGGCCCGUAGUGCAUUGAUGGACAGUUGUUGGUAUAAUUAUGACAAGGGAUUAUUCGGUAUAAUCAUGACCAUUGGUGAUUACAUGAAUAUCCUUGGCCCGUAGUGCAGGGAUGAUUCGAUGAUGUGGUUUAUUUAUUAAGCCGAGUCUCAGCGAUAGAUUUGUUGAAAAACAUUUUAAAUCAUAGAAGAUAGUAGAUAUCAUGCUCUACUUGACUCUUCUAAUGGAUUGCUUGUUCCACUGUAGUUGUUGAUCUAAAACAUGUUGUCUAUUAUAUUCUAUCAGUUGUUAUACUGUUGAAGGCUAAGGAUAAUUUAUUCUGCAUUAUCUUAGUCAUAAUAUUUCUUAUAGGGGUAGUUGAGUUCACCCUUUUCUUUCAUUAUUCUCUUUAGGAAAUGAGAAUAUAGCUGGGACAAGUUGGAGAAUGGAGUGAUGGUCCAGGAUAAGUGGCUCCUGUAGUCCUUACUAUUCUGUGAAAUAGUGUGAUAAUAAUUAUAAUGAGGACUUCAUUGAGUGUGGAUAUUGUCUAGAAGACAAUAUUCGUUUUAAAAAAUCCGUUAUGUUUUGUCGUAUUUUUACACGAUAGUUGUAUUAAAGAAGUUUGUAUUUGAUUUAUGUACCAUGUAUUUGGCGACUCAAGAUGGGUGAUGUAUACCUAUUUUGGGGGCGUCACAGUUGGUAUCAAAGCAUAGGGAUAUGAUCCCUGGCUGAGAUGUGAGACUAGAACUAGGCGGGGGGAGAGACGAGUAAUUCCUUUGCUAGUAUGACCUACCUAAGUUAUUUGGUAUUUAAUUGAUCGGUCAAAGUAUAGGUAUAAUACGUGGCAUGUCAAUUAACCCUUAUUUUGAAACUAUAUUCUAGAAUGAUAUCUGAAAUACAGGAGAUGAGAAAUGGGAAAAUCAUGAUAUAGAGGAAAUAACCAGGAAGGUAUAAUCCGAAUAGAAAGCAAGGUAUUCUCAUCUCUUUGAAUUACCAAGUACGUACGUAAAUUUCGAGGGCGAAAUUUCAUAAGGAGGGGAGAUUGUAAGACCCCAAAUUUUAUGAAAUAAAAGUAUUCAAUUUUCUUAUAAUUAUUAUUUUAUUUGGUUAAAUUGAUAUAAGGUUAAAGUUAAGGGUAGUAUUUGAAAAUUUUGCAAAGUAAGAAAGUGGUUAUAUAAUAUUCGAUUGGUCGGGGAAUAUUCGUUUUAACAGGGAAUAUUCGUACGACAACAAAAUCAUUGGUGGACCCAACAACGGAAGUAUUGUUGUAGUUAGAAAAUGACAGAACUAUCUUUUUAUAAAAAUAACGGCGAAAGUUUUACCGUUAAACUGUUGAACUACUUGGUAGUAAAAGUAUAGUAAUAUGCGUGGUUGCAUAUUAGCGGUAUUGAUUAUUGAUGCUUACGUAAGAAGUCACUCAGUUAUACUCAGUAAUUGCUGCAGUAAUUGCUACAUCAUAUCUCUCAUAUUAUUGAUUCAAUUAGCGUCACAGUAUCAUCUGCAUAAUAUGUAUAUUAUUAAAUUAAUAAUUGAGACGACAAAGUUAUUCAUAUUAUUAUUUGCAAUAUUGACAAUGUCUAGAAGUUCUGUCAAGGAGAGGUUUGGUCACCUAAUUGCGUGCCAACAAGGAGAAAUCCUUAUCGAAAAGCCCCCUCUUUCCUAGGAACGACCUGGUUGUUAAAUAUUGUGAGUUAAAAUAUGAAUGAUGAAUAAGUUAGUGUUGAUUAAAGAUGAAUUGAUAGUUACAUUGUGUUGGGAUUAUUAGUGUUAGUGGAAAUCGAUAUUUAUUUCGAUAAUAAUUGAUGUCUGGAAGUUAUACUGACCAAUCGGGUAAUUAAUCGGAUAAAUUUACAAUUAAUUGCUAUUAAUUCACAUGCUUAUAACUAUUUGUUCACAUGUGUGUACUAUUGAUUCACAUGUAUGUACUAUUAGGGGAGGUGGUGCAAGAUUGAUAAUACUUGCAUGACUAAAUUAAAAAUGGAGGUAUAGAUGAAGGUAAUAUACUGUUAUUAUUUUUUUCACAUGAUUAAACUAUUGAUUCACAUGAAUGCACUAUUAAUUCACAUGAUAUACUAUUAGGGGAGGUGGUGCAAGUUUGAUAAUACUUGCAGGACUAAAUAAAAAAUGAAAGAAAAAAAUGAAGGUAUUAUACUGUAAUAUUACGAGCCCCAAAACGUGCAAUUAUCGAAACUAUAUUUUCCUAUAAAUAGAAGCUCAUUCUUCUUUCAUUCUCACCAAUUCACUAAGACUCACAAGAGCAACUAUAGAUAGAGAAGCUAUAUAGAGAGAAGCUAUAGAGAGAUAGAAGAAGAGUAGUCUGCUACUUCACUACUCUAGUAUCCAGUCUUCUUCUAAGGUAAGGGGUAUCAUUUAUUUCAUAUUCUGAAAAAAUAUUAUUUUUCAUAUUCGUAUGAAAUAUUAUUUUUGUUCAAUAUUCAUAAAGAAUAUUAUCUUCGUUCAAUAUUCGUAGGAAUAUUAUCUUCGUUAAAUAUUCGUUGGAAUAUUAUUUUCGUUCAAGAGAUGUUGUUUUUGUUCAAUAUUCGCUUGAAAUAAUAUUUUCUGCCAUACUCUUUAGUAUGUGAGUAAUAUUAUUUCGUCUCGUAUUCCUGAUUAUACACUCAUUCUGUUGAAGUUUUGGCUUCUAUACUCCAUGAAAUUAGUAGAAUAUCCUUGAUAUUUGCGCUUCAUCCAGUAUCUUUUCAUGGAAAUAUUAUUCUGAGCUUUCUUGAUAAUUAUUGAUCUUUUCAUGACAUAAUACUAUUCAUAAGUUACUAUUUACGGGUUGUUAUUUAUCUGGUUACUAUUCACUCAAAUAUUAUUCACUCGGGUAUUCGGGACACUUUUCAUGCCAGAGUACUAUUCAUAAGUUACAAUUGUUGGGUUACUAUUCGCCCAAUUACUAUUCACUCAGGUAUUUGGGAUACUUUUUAUGUCGGGGUACUAUUCCCGAGGUACUAUUCCCGAAGUACUAUUCACAUGGUACUAUUCACGGGGUACUAUUUACCCGAAAAAUAUAUUUCUUUUUUGUCCAAAUUAUUUUUGGUACACGAAUAUUAUUCUUGAAUUUUACUCUACAAAGCAGUAUCAUGUUGAUAAUUUGGAUAUUUUUAAACUUUGGAUAAAUUUAAAGUCUUUAAUAUUUAUCCUUGAUUUCGUUUGACUUGAUUUCGUUUGAUUAAUGUUUAUAUCAUUGUCAUCAUCCCCAUGCUUAUAUUGUGAUGAAAGUCAUAUUUGGCUUACGUGCAUAGAUGAACUAUUGAUUGGUAUGAUUAUGACUAGGGAUCAUUCGGUAUAAUCAUGACUCGUAAUGUUACAAAUGAUGUGGUAAAAAUCCUCAUUGGCCCGUAGUGCAUUGAUGAACAGUUGUUGGUAUGAUUAUGAUAAGGGAUUAUUCGGUAUAAUCAUGACCAUUGGUGAUUACAUGGAUUACAUGAAUAUCCUUGGCCCGUGGUGCAGAGAUGAUUCGAUGAUGUGGUUUAUUUAUUAAGCCGAGUCUCAGCGAUAGAUUUGUUGAAAAACUUUUUAAAUCAUAGAAGAUAGUAGAUAUCAUGCUCUACUUGACUCUUCUAAUGGAUUGCUUGUUCUGCUGCAGUUGUUGAUCUAAAACUUGUUGUCUAUUAUAUUCUAUCAGUUGUUAUACUAUUGAAGGCUAAGGAUAAUUUAUUCUGCAUUAUCUUAGUCAUAAUAUUUCUUACUGGGCUAGUUGAGCUCACCCUUUUCUUUCAUUGUUCUCUUCAGAAAAUGAGAAUAUAGUUGGGACAAGUUGGGGAAUGGAGUGAUGGUCCAGGUUAAGUGGCUUUAGUAGUCCUCACUAUUCUGUGAAAUAGUGUGAUAAUAAUUGUAAUGAGGACUUCAUUGAGUGUGGAUAUUGUCUAGAAGACAAUAUUCGUUUUAAAAACUCCGUUAUGUUUUGUCGUAUUUUUACACGACAGUUGUAUUAAAGAAGUUUGUAUUUGAUUUUUGUGACAACCCGAAUUUUCAUAAGUUAUUAAAAUAAGAAUUUAAUAAUUGAAAUUAUUCUGUGAUUAAUGUAACAAUCCAGAAUUUUAAUUGUAAUUAUAAAUAUUUAUUGAAUUAUAUAAAUAUUUAAUGGAUGUGUUUAUUGUUGAAUAAAUAUUUGUUUAUUAUUGAAUAAAUAUUUGUUUAAUUUGAUUUGAUUUGAUUUGGUCAAUUAUUUUUUUAAUAAAUAAUUAAUGGGUUAAGGAAAUUAAUUGUUAUGAGAUAAUAUUCUAAUUUAAUUUAAUAAUUAAGUUAGAGAGUUUAUAAUGAUUAAAUGAUUUAUUCAAUAAAUUGUUAUUAGGAUUAAUUAAAUUAAGUAUGAAAACUUAAUUAAAUAAAGUAUGAUAAAUUACUAUAUUAUAAGGAGUUAUUAAAAUAAAUUAAAGGAGUUUAAUUUAAUUUUGCCAAACAAGGCUUAAAUAUAUUAAGUCUUUAAUUUUUAAGGAGUUUUGUCAAACAAAGCCUUAUGGCUUUUGGAUUUUUAAAUUUUGAAUUUUAAUAAUAUAAAUAGAAUAUAUAUAAAAUAAAUUAAAAUAAUAAAUAUAAUAUAUUUAUAAGAUAUACGUUUAAUUUGUAAUUGUUAUUAUAUUUAUGAGUAUUAAGGUGUAUCAGUUUUCUUCUUAUGCUUGAUUAUUAUCAGUUUGGUUUUUACGCUUAAGUUAGCCUAUGUUGUGAUACUGAGAAAAGAGAGAAGAGAAUUCAGAAAGAGAGAAGAGAGUCUAGAGAGAAUUGAGAGAAAGACAAGUCUGUGAUUCCAAAACAAGUUCUGAGUUUUAGCAAGUAGUGGUCAAGCAAGUGAAGGUAUGUUAUAUAACCCUUAAUAUAUAUGUUACGGCAUAAUUUUCUUGAGUUUCACUGUGUAUAAAACUCUUUACAAAUUCUCUGUGAAGUUAAAAUUCUCUUGAAUUGUUGUAUAAACUGAAUAAUUGCACUUGUAGGUAAUUGUAAUGCUAUAGUUUAUGUUUAGAUAAGGGAUUGUAUGCUAGUCUCAUUUAAAAAGGAAGAAACUGUUUGCAGUAUAUAGAUGUUCAAAAAUGACUGGUAAAAUACCAAAAAGUAAUAUAAUGUAAUUGUCUGUAAUAGUUUGUUGGUGAAUUAAUGGUGAAAUUGAACACUGAAUAUAUUAAAUUGGUAAGAAACAAAGAGAUUAUAGUUGGAAUGGACUAAGUUGAUGAAUAAUAGGAAUUUCAAUGUUAAACUUUGUCAAACAACGUCAAUAAUGGAGUUUGAUUUUAAAAUAGUGCUUUCAAGAAUUUAGGUUUUCUGAAAAUAGUUGUUUAGUUGUGUUAAACUAGUAUAUGUAUGCUUGGUAACGAUUAUGUGUAAAUUACAUAAAUUAUAAGUGUUAAUUUAGAUGUUAUCAGUGUUAAUCACUCCAGAAUUUAGUUGUUCUGUUCUUCGUGGUUGGGUUUUGUAAGUUUUGGUGCCCCAGUGCCAAAAUCUGCGCCCCAGCUCUGAUUUUCGCACCUCGGCGCCAAAAAUAGGCCAGAACUUCGUGCCCCAACACUGAACUUCGCGCCCCAGCACUGAAUUUCGCGCCCCAGCGCUGGAAUUGUAGUCUAGGUUGGACAAUUUUGACCUCCUACAGUAAAACGGCUAUAACAUUUUCAUACGAACUCCGAUUGAGGUGAUUCAAGAUGACCCGGAACGAGGACGAAUAGACCUAUAACUUUUGUUCUUUAAGUUUUUCAAUUUGAGGUCGGGAACAUGGGUCAACAUGGUCAUUUUUGGCACUGAUAUGUAUUAGGAGGCAAUCAGAGGGCGUCAGGAAUGCACAUAUGCAAAUGUAGUGCUCCUGACGAUAAAAGAUGUUGUCCUGAGUUAUAAAAUAUGAAUAUUAGUAAAUAUAAUGAUGCUUAACAUUAAUAAAUGAUGUAUUAGAUAAGUUGUAUAAGCAUACUAAGUACACACAUGAGAGUCGAAUCGGGAAUGUGACGAAUGAACGUCGAAACGUCGUGCCAAGUGUUAAAGAACUUAAAAAGUGUUUCCAUUCAAUUGAAAUGAAUAUUAUAAGAUAUGGAAUGGAUUUAAUAUAAAACCAAUAAGUAGUCCUAGCAAGACUUAAGCACUUAAAUGAACUUCGAGUUUGACUAAGAAGAAUUAUAGUGAGUUAUAAGUCUAAAGUUAACACAAUCAAAUUGAACAUUAUGUAUUGAUUAAUAGGAAGAGUUAUAGGACGUAGAGUAAAGUUUACAUUACAACUACUAUGCGUUGCUAUGUGACUAAUAGUUGAUGUGAAUGAUUAUAUAACUGUGUAGGGCACAUCAAGUGCAGAUAUCUGUAAGCUGUUAAACUGUUAUUGGUAAACAACAAUCAAAGCAAGUCUUUCAGUUCCUAUUUGCUAUGUGAACUUGAUGAUUAACUAUUUUAAAUAUUUAUUGCAAACAGCAUGAUGUGUUAUAUAUAUGUUGAAAGUAUAAAAUGUUAAAGUCAAUUUAUGACUAUGUUGAUUGACUAAAGCAUGCUGAUUGAGUAAGGACUCAAUCUUUAUACCUGUUAUAUGAAAUGUAACAUGUAUGUUAUAUGUUGAACACGUUAUUAUAUGCUAUGUGAUGCAUGAAAACUAUUAGAUUUUGAUGGGCUGUCGAGCUCAACCUUGUAAAUAACCACUUUUUCAAGUUAAAAAUUUAAGGUAAAGUAUGUGCUACUUGAAAGAUAUGAAUCAGAUGUGAUACUUGAAGAAUUAUAUACUUUGGCUGAGUUAUGCUUAUUUGAAUCAUGUUUAAGGUUCCAAACAAUGUAUAAAUGUUGAAUUGUAAUAACUUUUUGCGAUGUAAACUAUUAUAGUAUUAAAAAUGAUUCUGAGAUAUUUAGAUGUAAAGGUUGAAGGUUUUGGGAACGAGGAUAGUUUGUAACAGAAAAUUUUAAUUAUUCCGCAAAUUUCAAUUGUUGUAUUAUCGUUUAAUGAUGUAAAAUUAGAGGUUGAAUGUAUUAUUAACGACCGAAGUCGAGAAUUAAAUUAUAAGAAUUUUGGGGUCAUUACAAUUUUUGUACCAUGUAUUUGGCAACUCAAGAUGGGUGAUGUAUACCUGUUUUGGGGGUGUCACAGUGAGGGAUUGUCGAAGUGCAUCAAUAGUGAGAUAUGUGGUCACAUAGUGUGAGAGUUUCGUACUGGUGAAGUACUAAUCAAGUUGUUUAAACUGAUUGUAGGAUGUUGGGAGAAGAUGAAAUGAGUACGAAGAUUGCAGCGGCUGUUGCACCAGUGCAGUAGCUGAGGUGCCAUCACAAAGCGAGUCAGUGGAAGAAAUGGGGAAAGAUGAACCUAUGGUUAGUCUAGGGAGUGAUCAUGAUGAUUAUCCCGAGAUGUAUCUGAGUGGUGAUGAGGAGGCGGAGUCCGAAGGAGCUAAGGUGGAGAAAGGGAAUAAGAACAAAAAUAGAGAGAAAGAUCAAGUAUCUGCAGAAGUCCAGGAACUCCGGAGUAAAGUAUUUCUCUUGGAAGAGUUAUGGAAGAUGGAGAGAGCGUUACACGAAAUGACUGAUGAACGGAACGAGCUGAAGGCGCAUGUGGACAGAAUGAAGGCUGAAGGUGGUGGAUCGUCAGAAGGAACACUCAAGCUGAAGGGAAAGAACAAGAGAAAGAGGGACAACGACAACGAUAAUUCUAAAAAUUCAAACCCGAAGAAGAGGCAAGCCUGUAGUAAGUGUGGAAAGACUCACGUGGGGGAAUGCAUUAUGUGGAAGAAUGUGUGCUUCAAUUGUAAGCAGGAGGGACAUAUUUCUUUACAUUGUCCUAAGCCGAAUAUGAGGAAGUGUUUUUCAUGUGGGCAAACGGGGCACGAAUUCAACAAGUGUCCCAGCAAGAAGAAGAUUGGUGAAGGGAGUGGUUGGUAGAUAACUUAGAUAUAAGUAAUAAUAUCUUUUGGUAGAAGAUUAUGAUAUAUUAAAAGUUAUAAUAUUGAGAACAAUGUGUAAACAUAUGUAAAUACAUAUAUGGUAAGUUCAUGACUCAUAAUUAUAUGAAAUGUUUCUGAACCCCUCAGCGAAUGGACACCAAAGGUCUGACUAGGAUAAGUUUAUACACUCAUAUAAUUGUGGCAAGUUCCUGAACUCAUAAGUGUGGUAAGCUUGACGAAUUGGGAAUAGCUAUGUGUGAAUAGAGAAUUUUAAUUUUUUGAGUAAUGUUCGAGAAUUACAACUUUUUGUGUAAAGUUGUGCAUGUUAAUCCUAAAAUUUAUUUAAAAUGGGAUAGUAAUAUGUGUUAAGUACUAAAUGUACUAUGUGCUAUUUGAAUAAAUAUGCGAUUAUAUGAUAAAUAUGUGUUGAAUUCUUAUUGUGUUAAGAAUUUGUAUAGAGAAAAAGAAUUAAUGUAAGAUUUUUAUUUAAAUCAGAUCAUGCCGCCUAGACGACACACGAUACAUUCUAAGGCUGUAAGCCAUAUGUAUUGGACUUGUAGGAUUUGUUAGGAGUUAUACAAGCCCAAGUGUAGGAAUGGUUAAGUCCAAUUGGAAUUAUGAUAAAGCCCAAUGCUUAUUAAUCUUACAGCCCAAGUGUUUGUUAAAUGCAAGCCCAAAGUAUGAGUUAAGCUAAUUAAUCCUAAAGCCCAAAAUAAGAACCAGAUCCGUGGAUCCAUCCAAUGGGUAAAGAUGACCCAUGGGGCAACCCACGUGGGCCCCAUGAUCACAUGGGUGAUCUUGGUGAGCAAGCAAAAGAUGAGUGUUGUGAACUCCAAGUAAUGAAUAGUAAGGAGGUUUAUUAAGGAGGUGGAUGGCUUAAUGACUAAACUACCAUCACUUUGUGAUUUCUAUAAAUAGAAGGAGGGCUAGUUCAUUUUUUGAUUGUUUUAUUUCAUCCAACAUUAUAAGUGCUUAUUGGUUAGAGAGAAAAAGCUAGAAAAGAUAGAAAAUUUAGACUUUGUUAGUUCAAGAAGCAAGAAGUAAGAACAAGAAAGAAUCAAGUGAUCAUCAAAGGUAAUGAUCCUAAACCAUGAUUCUCCCUCUCUUCAAUUGUUAGAGAAGUGAGUAGUGGUAGAACUUGUAUGCUAGGAAGUAAUAAGAAUGGCUAAUCAAUGAACUUAAGCCUUAAUAAGUUAUAAAUAAGUAACUCGUACUUAUAUAAGUUAUAAACUUAUGAAGAACAUGUAAGAACUUAUCAUGUAUAAGUUAUUGAAAUAUGUUUGGUUAGGAUGUUAGUAUGAUGGAAUGAAUCCAUUUGAAACGGUUUAAAAAUCUCAAGUAACGAAGUUAUGGCGAAAUUCAUGAGUUUAGACGAUAAUCGUCGAAAUCGGGAAAUUCUUGGAAUGGAAGUCAAAUUUUGACAUUAAGCUCAGAAAUGUGGGUUUUUGAUGGAGAAUAGUUUCAUUUGGCAUUCUAGAGUUGCGAACUCAAAAAUGACCAAAUUCUGACUUAGAACAAAGAAACGAGCGUUAAACGUUCAUGAACGUUUAUCGUUUUUGUUAAAAUGAACUAAAAGGUGAAUUUUGAGUUAACAGAUUCAAAAACUUAAAAUUCUUGCAUGAACAAUUAGAGUAUAUGAUUUGUGAGCUAAUGGCUUUUGAAUGAGCCAAUUCGGACUUAAAAUGAACAAUUUAGGAGUCCGGGAAGUUCAUUAAACUAAGAAAUCUAUCAAAAUUGUCUGGUACUAAGGUCUGGCGCCAACCAAAGCAGAGUAAGUGGAACCGCAGCGCCAAGCUUGUCCAUUAGCCAUUGAAGAGUGGCGCCACAACGCGACUGAUAGAGAAGGAGAUUGUGACAGCCCCAAAUUCGGGUCCCAAAUCACCACGAAUCUGGUACAAUCAUUCUAUAACUAUUGCGAAAGAUAUAAACAUAAAUUGUUUAUACAAUACACUUUACACACUAUUCUCCAAAAUCGAGUAACCUUAACUUAUACACAAUUCAUAAACUAUCUAACACAUAACAUUAUUAUCAAACUAUACUAUUACAAAUUAGCUGCACAUUUUAUCCCAAGCUGAACUUGGCAUUAUCCUUUUCCUGUAUCCGAACGCAUUCUCCUUAUCUGCAAUGUUUAUCAUGAUAUAACAAAGUUGAGCAUGAAAGUUGCCCAACAAGUUUAAAUAUAAUUUAAGGAUAUAUCAUGAUUGAAAGAGUCUGAAUAAUAAGCUGGCUGUAAUUCAUUAAUAUAGUUGUGAAUUAGCGCAAAAAAACUUUUGACUAAACAAGUAUUAAACAUGAACAAAUAUAUCUAGACCAAACGGUAAUGAAGCUGAUCAGCCUUUCAUACCUGACUUAUAUAUGCAAUAUGUAUAGAGUACAAUUCUACAUGGCAAUCAACAAUGAUUAACCACAAGCAUAUCUGAAUGAAAUAACUCUUAGUAGAGUUAAGUAAAACUUGCUUGAACCGUUGAUUACCUUUACGUAAUUUAUAUCGCUUUAUCCGAAGACCUAAUAUUAGUAAUAUAGAUCUCCAAUAUUAGAAUAAUAUCAUCACAGUAUAAUACUAUUAUAAUUAUACACAUAGAAUAACCUAAACACAUAACACAUAACCCUAUCAGUCUAUACGUCACAUAAGACUUAACAUCAAGUCAGACUAUUUAAGUCCGAGUUGAAUCCGACAAAAUUCUAACAUCCCGACGGUCUAGUCGGACAAUAUCGAGUUUAAGUUCAAUUAAACUCUGGCUAAACGCUUAACAAUAUCUUAGACAAUUUUCUUAUCAGUCAAAACAAUUUUCAUAGACUUGUAAUAAUUUUUAGAUAAUUAAUAUCAUUUAUGAUAAUUUUUCAAUCACUUAUAUCGUAUUUAUAUAAUAUAAAUACCAUAAUAUUCUAUUGUUAUUAAUAUUUAUUUAUUAUUAAAAAUUAAUGAAAAUCAUAACAUAAUAUUAUAAUAUAUUUAUAAUAUAUCAAAAUAUUUUUAAUACUUUAAUUUCUCAUUUAUAUGAUUUAUAAACCUUUAAAUUCCAUUAUCCGAUAAUUUCUAUUAAUAUUAAAAUAUUAAUAUUUUCAUGACAAAAUAUCAAAAGUUAUAUUUUAUAACUUAAAAUAUUUUUCUAAUUCUUAAAUCAUUUUUAUAUGAUUUUUAAAGCAUUAUUUCUAAUUUUUCAUAAUUUAUUUAAUAUAUUUAUUAAAUAAAUUACUUACCAUUAAUAAUAAAUUAUUAAUGAAAUUCAUCACAAAAUAUUAAAAGUCAUCAAAAAUAACUUAAAAUAUUUUCUAAUAUCAUAAUAUAAUUUUUUAUAAUUUUUCAUGAAUUAAAAUCAUUUUUAACUAAUUUAUUUAAUAUUAUAAUUAAAUAAAUAAAUACCUUUUAUAUUCCAAAAAUAUUAAAUAUUUUUGAAAUAUAUUUAAAAUAAUUAAAAACUAUUUUUCAGGCUUUAAAAUAAUUUUUCAUAUUUUAUUAUGUAUUUUUAAUAAUGAAAAACUAUUUUUAUCUAUUUAAUAAUUAAAAAUAAACUAUCGCUAUAGGGACUUUAGGCGACAAAUCCGUCGCUAAUGGUGUUCUUGGGCUAUUCUUCAACAAGCCCAAAACAUCAUGUUAGACACCAUGGUGCACUUAGACCAUUGAUAGAUCGUUGAUCACAAGGCUUCUGGACUAGUUUAGGUGUUAUAAUUAUAGUAUAAUUGUAAUACUACAACUAUAAACCACGAUUUUAGCCAAAACACAACAUAUCAAAAAGAUCUAAGUUGCAGAAGUCGUUGUCAGACCUGUUCUUGAGUUUUUGGGCUACCUAGAAACUCAAGCAGGAUCGAGGUACCUACUUUGGGUCAUUCUAGAUUGAGUUCUGUGUUAUAUUUGUAUGAUCUACAAGUUCACACAUGUAGUAUACAUAUCCGUCUACCAUUCUAUAUCAUCAUAGCAUAACAACAACAUCAAGAACGCAAGAUCUGGACCGGUCAAACUAAGGGUCAAGAACUGUUCUUGAACUUUCUAGGUUUUCUAGAAAAGUUCAUCCGGCUGAUGGUCAACGGUUGUUUGACCAGCCAUAACUUUGCUUCUAUGUAAGAUAUAAGUGAUAUGGUGACUUUAAUAUGUAUUCUACAUACCAGACUACAACAACCAAACAACAACUUGGCUAAACUGCUAACACACUGCAAGAUCCAUGGCCUUGAAAACCUAGUCAAACUUUUCUGGGAAUCUGGAAAUUUUUCUGGGUUGCCCAGAAACAUAAAUUGUGCUCGGUCAACGUACUUUGACCGAUCAUAUCUUGUAAUCUAAAUAUGAUCUAAGCUUGAUUCAAGACUCAGAUCAAAGACGAAACAACAAAGAACAGAUCUAUAACAUGACAUACACCAAACAUUAAACACACACAGAUCUAAGGCCUCUGACAUUUGACUGUUAGACCAUAUUUUCCAAUUUUCCACAUUUUUAUAAACUUUAAUUUCGAGCAUCUAAAUGAUAUGGAUUUGAGUUUUGGCAACCCAGAUCAUCAAAUGACACUUGAUAAGUGGUGUUUUUACCUACUUAUUGAAUACCAAUUCAUGCGAAUUGUGCCCAUCUCAAGUACAUUUUAUUGUGUUUUAGUUGCAUUUCAUGUUAUUUUGCAUUGCAUUUACUUAAAACUCCUUUUGGUGAAUAAGUGCAGGAAUCGGCUUAAUUUUGGUGGUAUUAGAGGACAUGAGGCGAAUGGACGCGUGAAAGCAAGGCACAUGCGGGGGAAUGCAUGGCAUGAAGGUGCAAUAGAGCAAGAAGAUCAAGCAUGGAAGAACAUUAAGCAUUAAACAUGAAUGAACAAGUAGCAGCAGCAGCAGCAUGACAGAACCAGAACCAGAAUUUGCAGAUUGUAAGCCGCGCGGCCGCGCGGCCGCGCGACAAGAUGAGCAUGGAAACGCGCGCCCGCGCGAAUACCUAGCCAGACACUGGUGACCUACUACAAGUUGAGCGGCCGCGAGCAAGUCAAGCGUAGGAAACGCGCGCCCGCAUGAGGACUCUGCUGGACAAGGCAAGACAUUUUGCAAGUCUCGCUCCCGCGUGAGAGAUAUACUGGAGUGGCAUACGGCUGCGCGCGAUGCUGAUGCUGUGAUUUUGUUUUAUUCUAAUUUUAAUUAAAUGAUGUGUAAUUGGUUUUUAAAAAUGAUUCUGACGUGUGUCAGAGGGAGGAUCGAGACUUUUGACGUAUUUUUCAUAUUGUAACUAGGGUUUACACCUUGGGAGAAAUUCCAACGGAGAACGAAGCCAAAACGUCUACUUCUCCAAUUCUUCUUGGGAUUCUCUAUCAUUGUGGAUUUUCAUUAUUAUCUACUGGAUUUCUAUGAGGAUUUAAGAGUUUGUCAUUGGUUUUUAUUCAGCGAUUGGGUUUGAUCGUUCUAUCUUUCUUAUUUCAAUCGUUUGCUUAUUGAUCAUGUUUAGCGUUGAUCCCAUAAUGGCUUCUAGUUCAGCUAUGAACUAAACUCCAUUAUGGGAUUCUAACGGAUUUUAAUAUGUAGUUUGGUUGCACGCGUAAAUGCUAGGGUUGUUUUGCAUAUCAUAUGGGAUAUUUAUCAUGAUUGUUUUACAUGUAUGAAUGCUUGAUCACCAUUCGUCUCGGUAUUUGUAUGGAAUUGACAAUGAACAUGCAAGUAUGGAUUGUAAUCAUGAUAACAUGCGAAUAUGGGGCUGUUGUAUAUGGCUUGCGUAUUUUGUGAACCAAAUAGACAUAUACUAUUUCACCGUAUGAGCUAGAGUAAGGGCUUGUGCUUAAAAUCAAUAUAAUUGUAAUUUCACAUAGACAUAUAGUGAUUUUGUUUAUAUUGGUGAUUACAUGGAGUCUAACAUCUGUAGAUGCUGUGUAAGUAGGUUAUAGUGCAUUGAAAAAUGGUUAUAACUCUAUUUGUGCUCUUGGCUAUUUUCCUGUGAUAUGUGAACACUUCUUGCAUGAUAGUGGCGAUUAGAUGAAAUAUUAAAUGAAGUUAGGGUCUCAUUAUUUCCAGAUUAUAUUUAUUCCAUUUGUAUUCUUAUUUUUAGUUUGUAUUCACAAUUAGUUUAAUUCAACACUUUUAGUCAUUAGUCUAAGCAUAUAAAUACGGUGAGUUAAUUGAUGCAUGAUAGUUUAAGUUUAACAAUUUUCUCUGUGUGAUCGAUACUCUACUUACUCUGUAUUACUUGUUGACACAUGUAUGCUUGCAUGAGUUAGAGCUCUUUUAUUAGAACUAUAAAAGAGGCAACAACACUCUAUAACACGACUUUAACCAUCAAACCACAACAUUCAACAUCAAAUCAAAAGAUUUCUAGGUUUAGGAUUUUAUACCUUUUGAGCUUUGAUUUUUGAUUCUGAUCUUGAUGAUCUGAUCUUGUUAAGCUAAGAGGUGAACUUGGAUUUGUUUUACACUCCCUCUCACUCUAUAAUUUCGGAUUUAGAGAGAGAAGAGCUUAGGAGAAAAAUGAAAUGAAAGUGGGCCUUUUCUCUCUCUUAAAUCUCUUAUAAUAGAUAUGAUACAAUGUAUGUGACUGAUCCAAGGGGCAAGAUGGCUGGUAUUUGUCACAUGGCUAAGACUAAGGUUGGUGAACAACCAAAGCUAUAGCAAGACUUGCAAGUUACCUUAUAAAAAUAUAAAAAGGGUACUUUAGUCAUUUAGAUUUUAGUUUUAAUGGUACAUUUGUCAAUUGUUCAAACCCUUAGGUUUUAGGGUUUAACCCUUAGAGUUUAGGGUUUAACCCUUUAGGUUUUAAAAAAAUAAAUUCUAGGAUUUCCAAAUUAGGUUUUCAAAAAUGGAAAAAUUAAGAUUUUCAAAUUACAAUUAGAAUUCACUAAUUAUACUUAGAUUUCCUAAUCAUAAUUCAAGUUUGCUAAUUAGGAUUAUCAUUUCCUAAUUAAAUUUGCUAAUUUAGCAAUUUGGGUUAAAAUUGUACAUUAGGGUUUUUGAUGGAACAAUUAGGGUUCCAAAGAUUUGAAAUUAGGGUUUGCUAAUUAAUUAAGCUUUACCCUAAUUAAUAUUAUAAUUAUUAGAACUUAAGCAUUAUAAUUCUCCGUUAAGUUCCCAGAUUAGGGUUUCAAAUUCCCAGAAUCUAAAAUUAGGGUUUUUAGAUCUGGUAUGAGGGUUUUCUAAAAAUCAAUUAGGGUUUCCAAUGAAUUAUUAGGGUUUCCCCUAAUUAAGUUAUAAUUAAUAACGUUUAACCUUAUACCAACAUUUGCAUUCCCAAUCUAGGGUUUUAAAUUUUCAAAUUAGGGUUUCGAACUUCUAGAACUGAAAUUAGGGUUUCAGAACCGGUUUCUAGGGUUUCUUAUCAGACGUUAGGGUUUUCUAACUGAAAGUUGACGUUCGUAAUAUAAUAUUAGGGUUUGACACUGAUAAAAGUUUAUCUGGUAAACCCUUGACCCUUAACCACAUUCUGAACACAUAAAUGACCAUAUACACAAAACAUAUUCACAUAUACACUUAAUCCUGUAUAAUUCACCAAAAUCUUUCACAGAAUUUUGAAAUCCUCAAAAUUCCAUCCCAAAAACAUCAAACGCAUACACUCAUUUUCUGUCUAGGUUCUAAUUUUGAACCUUAAAUCAAUCGUUUAAGAUUUUAAAAUUUUUUCAAAAUUCUCGGGUUGUCACAGAGAUGGCGCCGCAGCACCAUAUUUGGGUCUUAGGCACUGAAGACUCACGCCGCAGCGCGAGUCCAAGAAGAAAAGUUGGCGCUGCAGCUCCAACGCUAAAUGAAACAUAGAGAAAAAUGUUUGUGAAUGUAAAGAGAAAGCUAGUGAAGUAUGGAAGCAUUGAUUAAGACAUUGUUAAACCUUAAGUUAUAUAACUAGAGGUUGAAGAUAACUUACUCGAACGUGAACGUAAGAACGAUGUAAAACAUAACGGCAAGCCGGAACCAAUGAUAAACAAUCUAAGGAAUGAUUAGAUUGAGAAGAAGGGUAAGAUACGUUAGGAACCAUACAUGUUUAUUCAUAACCUAAUGUGUUAUGUAUGUGGUUAUGUAUUGUAGAGACCUUAAAGACUCAAAGGAAAAGAAUAAUAACAGUAGCAGACGCUGAAGGCAAGUUUUCCUAACGUUUGUCUAACCUUCGUGUUAGCCAGGUUUUCAGUCAUUCGUGUUAUGAGAUGCAUGAAUGGUUUUAAAGAAAAGGUCGAUGCCAGUUUUAACUCGGCUAAACUAAUCUUAAAAGAUUGAUGGAUUUAUUUACAAGUCUUUCAAUAUAGAAUUGAUAACGCUAUCCUACGUCAAUUGUUUGGUUCGGAUUCAAGGUAAGACUGAGUAUGAAUAAACAAAUGUAUUUUACAUCGAUUAUUCGAUGGGCACGUGAGGUUGCCAAAACUUAAACGUAAAUACGUUUAACGGAUGAAUGUUGAUCAACAUAGAGUACUAUAGGCUGAUCACCUAGAAGUGCUCGUAAGAAAUAUCGGACUUACGAUCUUAGUACCGGGUUGUCCUUUUCAUGAAUAAAAACUAAAGAGAAUGUUCAUGGUCUAUGGACCUACUCAGAAUUUCUAAGCUAAUAUAUGUACUUCGAAAUUGUUUUAUGAGAUGAAAAGUGUUAUUCAAUAUUUCAUAGUACUUCGUAACUACUUGUUCAGUUAUUGAAGAAUAAUCAUAUGAUUCUCGAAGUGGUAUUUAUAUAAUAUUUUGUUAGACUUGCUGAGCUAGUUAUGCUCACUUCUUGCUUGAAUCAUAUGAUUGCAGCUAAGGUCAAGCGAACCGAGGGUUCUAGUAAAGAUAAAGGCAAGUCGAAGAUGAAUGAUUAGUUUAUUCUGUAAUAGACUAGUAUAUUUGUAUGAAUUAUAUUAUGAUGAACAAAGAAUGUAACGGUUUCAGAACCUGGGAACGAGAUUUAUUAUUAUUAAUGUAAUAAGAAUGUCGUUGAUGCAUACAUUUUGAUAUUGUUUCAAUAAAAUGAAUGUACAGUUAGGAGUACUGUGUAGCACCAUCUGUCGGGUUGGAAGAUACCCGAAUUUGGGAGCAUCACAGGUUGGUAUCAAAGCAUUAGGUUAUAAAACUUAAGGCGGGAAGAACCUUAGGCUAAUAACUUCGUUAAGGAAGGAAAAGUCCGAAGGAAGUAAACUCGAGUCGAAUGAGUUAAUAAGGUAUUGAGGAAACUCAGUACCGAAAGAUUUAAAAGAUGGAAAUUAACCUUAAAUAAAUUAAAUGUGAUUUGUGCUUAUAUUAUUGUGUAUUAUGUACUAAUCAACAUGUUAUGUGUUAUUGUAGAUGUCAAUCGAUAGCUUGAUGUAUAGAGAUAUACAUGUGGUGAGCGAAGGGUCUGUGAACAAAGUAGAGCCUGUACCCAUGCCAGUGGUGGAGGUACCAUUAGUGAUUCUAGAAGAGUCGGAGCUAGAGGAGUACUUUUCUGAGAAGGGCUACUCCGGGGAAGAUAUGGAUGUAGCAUCAUACCUUAAUAUGAUGAUCGACGUGGAGGAAGAUAUGGAGGUAACAUCGGUUAAUACAGUGGUACCUACACAAGAGUCAACACGUCCAGAUGCAAUGAGAGCUUUGUAUCUGGCAGUACUUGACCAAAAUGUGCAACUACACACAGUUGUGCGGAACCAGAGGAAGUAGAUUAGUGAUCUCCAUGAAGCUAAGGUGUCUACAAAAGCAGAUUUUGAGAUUGAGAAUGACGAGAAGGUGCUCAUGAAGGAUAAGGUGAUGGAGUGUAAGAAUGAGGCCGAUGAGCUUCGUAAGAAACUGGUUGAGAAAGACCAGAAGAUAGCACGGAUGUCUUACAUCCAUGAGAGUGCUUAUGAGGAUUUCAAGCUGAAAAUUGCUUGUUAUUCCAUUGAGAACGGGCAGACUCGACAUACUAUUAGUCGAGAUAUUUUUUCGAUUAUAGUGAAUCAGAAACAUGAGAAUCCCGUGAGGCAGUAUUAGUAGAUCGGUAGAUCUUUUUGUAUAUGUGUAGUGACGUAAAACCCUCUUUUGUAUAAUUAAAGGGUAUUCUUUUUGUAAAUCCCAAUUUUUGUAGAAGUCAAUCGUGGGAUAGUAAUGUAAUAGCUUUUGGUUAUGGAAACAAAUUGUAAAUAGUUUCAAACUGUGAAGAAGCAUAUGAAUAUAACGAAGUUUUCAUUUAAUAUGCUUUGUUAUGGUAUGAGUUGUUGUUUGGUGAAUAAUAACUAAGUAAGUAAAUAGAUAAUAAUGAAAUUUUAUUUAUUUAAUCAGAAAAUGCCGCCAAGAAGAAGAUAACGUAAUCAGGAAGUGGAAUCAUAUAAUGAUAACCAAGGGGGUCAAAAUAACCCUAUGCAAGAAUUUGUUAAUUUAUUAACGGCUGCGUUUAAUCAAACCGGGGGUAGAGCACCCGCAGGACCUAGGGUAGCCAGAACGACUACCUUUAAAGAGUUUAAAAGCGUAGGUCCGCAGGAGUUCAAAGGAACGACGGACCCAAUAGAGGCCUAGACAUGGGUGAAAGAAAUAGAGAAGGCGUUUGUUAUUACAAACGUAGCUGAGGCGCAAAAGACUUCUUUUGCGACUUACAUGAUGAAAGGGGAAGCCAUCUUUUGGUGGGAGGCUCACCAGGGUGGGGUAGAACUGAUGCGGUUACGUGAGAACAGUUCAAGAAGGUAUUCUUCGAGAACUACUUUCCUACUAGCAUGCAGGGGAGGAUGGAGAUUAAGUUCCUAGAACUUAAACAAGGGGACAUGACAGUUCCCCAGUAUCUGGUCAAAUUUAAUGAAUUGGCAAGAUUUACUCCACAUCAAGUGGACACUGAGGAGAGGAAGGCUCGUAGGUUUGAGCAGGGCCUGAAACCCUGGCUCUAUAGUAGGGUUUCUGUGUUCUAGAGUGCUUCUUAUGGGACCAUUCUGGAAAAGGUGAUUAUAGUAGGUGGUAGUGAGGCGUUGACCCAAUACCACAAAGAAAGAAAAAAUAAGAGCAUGGGAGAGGGAGGAACCAAAGUAGAGAGUCCUAGUAGUAGUGGUAGUAUGCCAAAAAGGAAGAAUUUUAACUCCAAAAAUACUGGAGUGGGACAAGAGGAUCCUAAGCGUAGGAUCGAAGCAUGUAAGACAUGUGGAAAGACUCAUUUGGGAAUUUAUCUGAAGGGGAAAUCAGUUUGUUAUAAUUGUGGACAGGAGGGUCAUAUAUCACCCAAUUGUCCUAAUCUUAAGAAAAACAAUGGUUUUUUUGUUUGUGGGUCGAUGGACCACAUGGCAAGAACUUGCCCAAAGAAGGGGUCGGAGGAAAGUAAGGGUGCUAGUAGUGGUAGGUUAGCCAUUACUGGACCACCAUCGUCGGGUAGACCUAUGGCCCGUACUUUUAAUAUGACGGUACAAGAUGCGGUUGCAUCAGCGGAUGUAGUAACAUGUAUCAUUCCAGUUAAUACAAUGAAGUCUUAUGUGCUGUUUGAUUGGAGUUCUACUUGUUCUUUUAUAGCAUGUGAAUUUGCUAAGUGAUUAAGUUCAUUCUUGAAAGGAUUAUAAAUACCUUUAAACGUUAAGGUAGAGAAUGAGGAAAUAACUCUCGUUGAAUAUAUUCAUGGGAAUUAUUUCAUGGAUAAGAGAGGUAAGCAAGUAUCGGUAGAUAAGUACUGAUAAGGUUGAAAGAAUUUGAAGUAAUUCUUGGUAUGAAUGGGUUAAUUAACCAUAGAACUUUAAUAGAUUGUCAUAAGAAAAGUGUGAGCCUUCGAAUUUCUAAGGAACUCAAGGUAGUAUUUUACAGUAAUAAAUCAGUGGGACGCUCUUGUUAUCUAACCAUGACGCAAGCUAAGAGGAUGUUGAGGAAGAGGUGUAUAGAAUAACUAUAAAAAGAUGUGGAAACCCAGAGAGUAGGAACACUGAUGUUAUCAGUAAAUAAGAAGGAUGAGUUGUUACAUUUGCGUAUCGACUAUCAUGAGUGAAGUAAGUUAGCGGUUGAGAAUAAAUACCCAUUGCCCAGGAUCGAUGAUCUAUUUGAUCAGUUGGAAGGGGCAAAGUGUUUUUUUUAGGUAGAGUUGUGUACGGGGUAUUGUCAAUUGAAAGUAAGGAAGAAGGAUGUACCUAAGACAAUGUUCAGAACUCGUUAGGGUUAUUAUGAGUUUCUGGUUAUGUCUUUUGGGGUUGACUAAUGUACUGAAGCCAGACUUUUCGUAGGGGACGCCGAGCAAAUCAGUGGAAAAUUGAUAGGUAAUCUUGUGAGGUGUUAUGGUUAAAAGUACCAUUAGCGUGACAGAAUGUUCAAAUAAUAUUUGGGUAAGUUUGUCGUAAUGGUCAUUGGUGAUAUUCUAAUCUAUUCUAAAACGCUAAAAGAUCACGCUGAACAUUUGAAGAUAGCGUGGGAAACACUACAGAGGGAGAAGUUGGAUACGGAAUUCACUAAGUGUGAAUUUUAGCUUAAAAGAUAUGCAGAUUUUAGGACAUGUUAUUGAUAAGUAUGUUGGAAAUGAGAAGUGAGAAAAAGAGUUUUCAUGAAUUAAAAAGGAAGGUUAAGUGAGUCCCCUGUAUUAUCUUUACAAGAUAAUAUGAGGAACUUUGUAAUUUAUAGCAAUGCUACACAUAGAGGACGAGGUUGCAUGCUUAUGUAGCAUGGCAAGGUCAUUGCGUAUGCGUUACACCAGUUAAAGGAUUAUGAGAAGGCCUAUCUUAUUCAUGAUCUAGAAUUGGAAGCUAUAAUUUUUGAAUUAAAAAUCUAAAGAUAGUAUUUAUACGGGGAGAAGUGUGAGAUAUACACAGACUGUGAUAUGAGGUAGAGAAGGUGAUUAGAAUUGAUAAAGGAUCACGACUGUGAUAUCUUAUAUUAUUCAGGGAAGGUAAACAUAGUAGCCGACGCGUUAAGUAGGAAGGGUAGGGAAAAGCUAUCAAUGUUAACGACUCAGAAUGAGUUAAUAACGGAGAUGGAAAGAAUGGAGUUAGAAGUUAAUUUACGGAAUGAAGCGGUAGAAAUGUUAUUCACAAUGUAGACUCAAUCCAUGAAAAUGGAGUGAGUUAAGAAAGUGCAACUAAGUAAUGAGGAGUGCAAGCGAAUGAAGAAGUGAAUGGAGGAUGAAGAGAAGACUGAGUAUAAUUUUGUUUUGAAGGAGAAAUUUGAGUUCUAAAUAAUUCUAAAGUUAAAAGAAAAAUAGUGAGUGAGGCCGUAGUUCGAGGUGCUCGAUACAUCCAGGUAGUACUGAGAUGUAUUAAGACCUUCGACGGAUCUUUGGUUGGCCAAUAUGAAAAGAGAGAUAGCGUAAUGUGUUAGUAAGUGCUUAACUUCCAAUUCAGAUUAAUGAUAGGAAGGAAUAAGUCUUGAGAAAUAAGAUAUUACCUUCGGUGAAGGUGAGUUGGAGGAACCACAAUGCUGAAGAAGUAACGUGGGAACUCGAGAUUAAAAUGAAGAAAAAUUUUCCACAUUUGUUUUUUUAUUGUAGCGAGAUUCUGGGAAUAUAAUCCUUAUAAGGGGGGAAGAAUGUAACGCCCGAGAAAAUCGGAUUUUUAUGAGAAUUAAAUUUCUAUUUGAUUAUGUAGAUUAAAUGAAUUUAAUUGAUUAUUUAUGUGAGUAAGUUAUUUGAAGGUCGUUCUAUGAUCUAGAAUGUGCGGAUGUGGUUAGGAUUUUGGCUAUGUGGUAGAAUUAAAGUGUUUGAAUUUCCAAGACAAAAAUAAAAGUUUUUUGAGAAAUUUCCCUAAAAACACUAUUCACUGAUUUCUGCUCGGGAAUUAUUUUUGAACUUUCGAGAAAUAUGUAACGAUAGAAUAUCAAGGGAAGAUGGAUUAUGUAAUAAUAAUUCAUGUAUAGCAAACACAUUUUUUUGCCUGCGGACUAAAUUUGAGAACGUUAAGGAAAGUAAAGUGUAAAUGAGUUAAACAAUGAUAUCGUAUGAUACGUAAGUAUUGUACGAAUAUGAUACGAGGUAUUAUACGAGUAUGUAUGAAUGAUGGUAUGUUGUAUAAGAUGAAUAACUAUAUGAGUUAGAAUACGAGAUUAAUACAUAGACGAUAUGUUCUAAGGCUUUAAGCCAUAUGUAUUGGACUUGUAGGAUUUGUUAGGAAUUAUACAAGCCCAAGUGUAGGAAUGGUUAAGUCCAAUUGGAAUUAUGAUAAAGCCCAAUGCUUAUUAAUGUUAAAUCCGAAGUGUUUGUUAAAUGCAAGCCCAAAGUAUAAGUUAAGCUAAUUAAACCUAAUGCCCAAAGUAAGAACUGGAUCAGUGGAUCGAUCCAAUGGGUAAAGAUGACCCAUGUGGCAACCCAUGUGGACCCCAUGAUCAUAUGGGUGAUCUUGGUGAGCAAGCAAAAGAUGAGUGUUGUGAACUCCAAGUAAUGAAUAGUAAUGAGGUUUAUUAAGGAGGUGGAUGGCUUAAUGACUAAACUACCCUCACUUUGUGAUUUCUAUAAAUAGAUGGAGGGAUAGUUCAUUUUUUGAUUGUUUUAUUUCAUCCAACAUUAUAAGUGCUUAUUGGUUAAAGAGAAAAAGCUAGAAAAGCUAGAAAAGUUAGACUUUGUUAGUUCAAGAAGCAAGAAGUAAGAACAAGAAAGAAUCAAGUGAUCAUCAAAAGUAAUGAUCCUAACCCAUGAUUCUCCUUCUCUUCAAUUGUUAGAUAAGUGAGCAGUGGAAGAACUUGCAUGCUAGGAAGUAAUAAGAAUGGCUAAUAAAUGAACUUAAGCCUUAAUAAGUCAUAAACAAGUAAUUCGUACUUAUAUAAGUUAUAAACUUAUGAAGAACAUGUAAGAACUUAUCAUGUAUAAGUUAUUGAAAUAUGUUUAGUUAGGAUCUUAGUAUGAUGGAAUGAAUCCAUUUGAAACGUUUUAAAAAAAUCUCAAGUAACAAAGUUAUGGCAAAAUUCACGAGUUUAGACGAUAAUCGUCGAAAUCGUGAAAUUCUCGGAAUGGAAGUCAAAUUUUAACAUUGAGCUCAAAAAUGUUGGUUUUCGAUGGAGAAUAGUUUCAUUUGGCAUUCUAGAGUUGGGGACUCAAAAAUGACCGAAUUUUGACUUAGAACAAAGAAACGAGCGUUAAACGUUCACGAACGUUUAUCAUUUUCGUUAAAAUGAACUAAAAGGUGAAUUUUAAGUUAACGAAUUCAAAAACAUAAAAUUCUUCCAUGAACACUUGGAGUAUAUGAUUUGUGAGCUAAUGGCUUUUGAAUGAGCCAAUUCGGACUUAAAAUGAACAAUUUAAGAGUCUGGGAAGUUCAUUAAACUAAGAAAUCUGUCAAAAUUGUCUGGUACUAAGGUCUGGCGCCAGCCAAAGCAGAGUAAGUGGAACCGCAGUGCCAAGCUUGUCCAUUAGACACUGAAGAGUGGCGCCGCAUCACGGCUGAUAGAGAAGGAGAUGGCGCCCCAACGCCAUGUCCGGGUCCUAGGCACUGAAGACUCACGCCACAGCGCGAGUCCAAGAAGAAAAGCUGGCUCGGCAGCGCCAUCACUAAAUGAAACAUAGAGAAAAAUGUUUGUGAAUAUAAAGAGAAAGCUGGUGAAUUAUAUCCAUACUAAACCUAAAGUAGCAAUUAUUAAGACAUUGUUAAACCUUAAGUUAUAUAACUAGAGGUUGAAGAUAACUUACUCGAACGUGAACGUAAGAACAAUGUAAAACAUAACGGCAAGCCGGAACCAAUGAUAAACAAUCUAAGGCAUGAUUAGAUUGAGAAGAAGGGUAAGAUACGUUAGGAACCAUACAUGUUUGUUCAUAACCUAAUGUGGUAUGUAUGUGGUUAUGUAUUGUAGAGACCUUACAGACUCAAAGGAAAAGAAUAAUAACAGUAGCAGACGCUGAAGGUAAGUUUCCUAAUGCUUGUCUAACCUUCGUGUUAGCCAGGUUUUCAGUGAUUCAUGUUAUGAGAUGCAUGAAUGGUUUUAAAGAAAAGGUCGAUGCCAGUUUUAACUCGGCAAGACUAAUCUUAAAAGAUUGAUGGAUUUAUUUAUAAGUCUUUUAAUAUAGAAUUGAAAAUGCUAUCCUACGCCAUUUGUUUGGUACGGAUUCAAGGUAUGCCUGAGUAUGAAUAAACAAAUGUAUUUUACAUCGAUUAUUCGAUGGGCACGUGAGGUUGCCAAAACUUAAACGUAAAUACAUUUAACGGAUGAAUGUUUAUCAACAUAGAUUACUAUAGGCUGAUCACCUAGAAGUGCUCAUAAGAAAUAUCAGACUUACUGUCUUAGUACCGGGUUGUCCUUUUCAUGAACAAAAACUAAAGAGAAUGUUCAUGGUCUAUGGACCUACUCAGAAUAUCUAAGCUACUAUAUGUACUUUGGAAUUAUUUUAUGAGAUGAAAAGUGUUAUUCAAUGUUUCAUAGUACUUCGUAACUACUUGUUUAAUUAUUGAAGAAUAAUCAUAUGAUUCUCAAAGUGGUAUUUAUAUAAUAUUUUGUUAGACUUGCUGAGCUAGUUAUGCUCACUUCUUUCUUGAAUCAUAUGAUUGCAGCUAAGGUCGAGCGAACCGAGGGUUCUAGUAAAGAUAAAGAUAAGGCGAAGAUGAAUGAUUAGUUUAUUCUAUAAUAAACUAGUAUGUUUGUAUGAAUUAUAUUAUAAUGAACAAAGAAUGUAACAGUUUCAGAACCUGGGAACGAGAUUUAUUAUUAUUAAUGUAAUAAGAAUGUCGUUGAUGCACACAUUUUGAUGUUGUUUCAAUAGAAUGAAUAUACAAUUAGGAGUACCGUGUAGCACCAUCUGUCGGGUUGGAAGAUACCCGAAUUUGGGGGUGUCACAGAUUGGUAUCAAAGCAUUAGGUUAUAAAACUUAAGGGGGGAAGAACCUUAGGCUAAUAACCUCGUUAAGGAAGGAAAAGUCCGAAGGAAGUAAACUCGAGUCAAAUGAGUUAAUAAGGUAUUGAGGAAACUCAGUACCGAAAGAUUUAAAAGAUGGAAAUUAACCCUAAAUAAAUUAAAUGUAAUUUGUGCUUAUAUUAUUGUGUAUUAUGUACUAAUCAACAUAUUAUGUGUUAUUGUAGAUGUCAAUCGAUAACUUGAUGUAUAGAGAUAUACACAUGGUGAGCGAAGGGUCUAUGAAUAGAGUAGAGCCUGUACCCAUGCCAGCGGCAGAGGUACCAUUAGUGAUUCUAGAAGAGUCGGAGCCAGAGGAGUACUUUUCUAAGUAGAAUUACUCCGAGAGGAAGAUAUGGAUGCAACACCAUACCUUAAUAUGAUGAUCGACGUGGAGGAAGAUAUGGGGGUAACAUCGGUUAAUACGGUGGUACCUACACAAGAGUCAACACCUCCAGAUCCAAUGAGAGCAUUGUAUCUGGCAGUACUUGACCGGAAUGUGUAACUACACACAGUUGUGCAAAACCAGAGGAAGGAGAUAAUAUGCAAUGUUAACUGUGGUAUAUCUAUAAUUCUGAUUCAAUAAUUUAUUAAAAAAUCCUUUUACUCCAAUCCAACAAGGAGAUCAAUCAUAUUUUUAUUUUGUCAUUGGGCAAGUUUCUACUACUCUGUCAGGCCAAAGUAGUAGCCCAACUAGAAAUAGGGAUAGAAACAGAUAUAAACAGAAUAGAUAGAAACUGGAAGGAAGAAGGAGAAGAAUUUAGUUUCAUCAAUGAAUUCGUGAGAGAAGAAAGAGAAAAAGAAGAAUAAUAAGAAAGCUUAAAAAAUUCUCUUCAUUUUAUUAAUUCACUGAAUUCAUCAUAAUGCUUGGAGGAUAGUCCUCAAAUUACAACUUUUAUAGAAAGAAAAUACUGAAAAAGUAAAGCUACUAUCUUUCACCAAUUUCUUAUCUACACUCAAAAUAACUAACUCAAACAUGUGCUCACAUUUAUGAGUGCUACUAGAAUCUACUAUAAAGUCAUCUCUUCCUAGUUUACCCUUGGACAUACUCAGACUGAAAGAAGGUUUGGUAGGGUAAUAUAUAGCAUCCAUGUUGCUGUAAAAGUUACUUAUCCAUGUAAUGUUGAUUUACUCUGCAACAUCCCAUAUUACCAAUUUAAGUUUAUUUUUCUUGCGUGUUUCAGCUCAGAAAAAGAUUUAAGAAUUGACUCAAUGUAACGCUCCCAAAUCUGGGUUUACCUUCAAACUCAGAAUCUGGUGUUACUCAAUCAAUACAUCUCAUUAUAUCAUAAAGAUAAUUACAUUAUCCUUACAAAACUUUUGCAGAAACUUACUUUCUACUCCCAGGUACGUAGGCCUUAACUAAUGACUACCAAUUUAAGUUUAUUUUUCUUACGUGGUUUAGCUCAGAAAAAGAUUUAGAAUUUUGACUCAAUUGUAUCGCCCCCAAAUCCAGGUCCACCUUCAUACCCAAAAUAUGGUGUUAAUCGAUACAUAUCAUUAUAUCAUAAAGAUAAUUACAUUAUCCUUACAAAACUUCUACGGAAACUUACUUUCUACUCCCAGGUACGAAUACCUUUACUAAUACAUCAUCUAAUAUUCUUUACAAUAUUACAUCAGUACUAAUUAUUACAAUUAAUACACAAAUCUUCUAACUUUAUCUUUUUCUUCUCUUAGACGCUACCAGAUUCUUUGGUCGGCUCUGGCUUAGCUGUAAUUAUUUAGUUUAAACAAAAGUGAGCAUUCAAUUGCUUAACAAGUAAUAGGCAAUUGAAUAAACAAAAAUCUCAAGAUUAUAAUAAUAUUCUUCUGAAAACUUCAACAAUUGAACAAUAAUUGUGAAGUUGCUCGAAUAAAUAGGAAUUAACUAGAUUCUUAUCAUUUAACAUUUCUAUCACUCUAUUAAGCGAAAAUAUUCUAUAACUUUAUUACUUUUUUACUGAAAGGUCAUUAGCACCUUAAACUCUUUCUUCUUCUCAUAAGGUUAAACAGUGUCCUCUAACUGUAAACCUACAAAAAACUUUACAAGUCUACAGAUAUACAUAUAUGAAAAACAUCACCUUAUCAAUAUAUAUAUAUAUAUAUAUAUAUAUAUAUAUAUAUAUAAGAACAGCACAUCACGAGUUUUUAACCAAAUUAACAAUAUAUUAAACUGAGUAGUUUCCCUAACUAGGAACUUAUGAAUUAGUUCCCCAUCUUAUCAACACUGCCACCAAUCUAUCCAGUGUUACACUGCAACACGGUCUCUUUAGUGAGCUAAAUUGGUUUCCUAACUCAUGUAAAACCUCUUCCCAUACAAAGGAUUGUUCAACUCAAUUACUAACAUGUUAACAACUAAAAAGCAUUUUAUUACACUAAUAAAUUUCCGCCCCAAAACAAUUUGAUUUAGAUUAGCUCUACUUAGCACCAAUGACUAUUUCAUCACUAUUACACAAUCUGUGUCUAUUUCAAAUCUUAAUUCUUAACUCCUCUAUAUUAGGGUUUCUCCUUUCUUUGUUACACCAGAAUUCGCACCAAUUUAAUCUAGUUUGGAUUAACUUUUCUUAACUUCAAUGAAUUCUCCACAAUUCAAUUUAACACAUCUACUGUGUCUAGCCGAAACAAUUAGCAUAGACAUAUUUCUUAACAUAGUUCGCUAAUAGACGAAACUUAAAAUCUUGAACAGUUCCAUUUUUAGAACUUUUCUUCUGUUUGCACGAAAGUGCAGAUAGUGGCCUAACACAUUACACAGAACAGUUAGCUACCAUUUCAUUGUAUGGUGUGCAAUCUUAACCAUAUUGAAUCACAUAGCACCCAUUCUUGCACAGAGUGCAAGAUAACACCAAUACAUGCCCAAAUUAUUUGAUUUAGCACAAUUAACUUAUCACAAUUCAAGAAUUAGUACAACACAUAUCUCAAUAAUAAAUAUUCCGACUGGAAUAGCUCAACAAAUUGAGUUAGGCAAAAUCAAAUGGCAAUAACUCCUUUUCAUAGCUUAUAUCACAUGAUACGAUAAAUUUCAUAGAGCAAAUGAAAUUCCACAGUCUAAACACAUGUCUUGCACAUAGUAAUAACAUGUACAAGGUCAUACAAUACUUGCAUUCAAUACAAUAAAUUGAAUGAAAGUUAAGAUAUUGGCUAAAUAUCACAAAUUUGAGUAAGUUUAGGAAACCUGCCUUCUACGCGAUAUACUGGCAUGUUACCAAUUCCUCUUCGAAUGGCCUAUAUAUAUCAUUAAGGUCAAACAUACCAAUUAGCCACAUAAAUGACUCCAAAUAUUGGUUUACAUUAACUUAUUUAUAUACCACGAUGCUCGUGUUUUACAACUCGAAACAACGUAACCCAACUCCAAGAACAUCGCACGAUGGCACUGCGUUCAAAAGUCAGCGCCUUUGGUCUUCUUUGCUUAUUUUAACUUCAUUCAUAGUUUAGACUUCAAUUUCAAAGUCCCCCGUUGUUCGAAUUUUAUAACCCGACAUAUAUUAAAUAAUACUCUUAUUAAUCUCCGAUGUUCUCCAUAUAUAUCUUGGAACAACGUAACAUAACGUUUCACGACUACUCAAUGUUUGAGAGUCGACACACAUUGGUUUACUUCCCCAUUUAGCCCAAGUCAUAACUUUCUUACAUUUCAAAGUGCCUCCAUGACCUUAUUAUUAAACUUCAUUUCAUAUCCUAUAUAAUGUUUCUUUUUAUUAGAAUCGAAACAUUAAACAAUGUUAUAAACACGCGGCACGGCGUCGCGUCGUUCGCAUACUCGACUUACCUUCACCAAUGCCGACACCCCCAGCUGUUCCAGCAGCACACCUACUUCCUUCUUGGCGCUGCCGCGUCCAAAAUAAGGUUGGGAAUGGCACGACAAGGCCCAACCAGCAUAACCAAAUUCCAGCUUUCCCAAAAUUUUCAGCUUUUGUCGAUGAAUCAUAACUUCAUAACUUGCUCAUUCGAUGUCAGAAUGAGUCCAUUCUUGAGCUAUUUUUUUACACGUAACAUCCUCUACAAAACCCCUCGAAAAGAAAAAUUUUAGAUUUAUUAACAAGCCAAACCAGUGGCUUAAAAAUCCUUCAUGGGCUAGUUUUUGCUAUAUGACGAUUCUAAAGUUCAUUUUUCAAAUCUUCGUAACUUGCUCAUCCGAAAUCGGAUUAAGCUCGUUCUUUAUCCUACAACUCACUUUUUCUAUGUUCUAUCAAACCCCCAUAAAAUCUCAAUUUCCCAGAUGAGUUAACUAGCCACAAUUGUGGCCCAAAAGUCACCCAAGACCUAGGUUUUCAACUUUUAACAUACUUUACUAAAAAUUUUUCCAUCACUACAUUAUAGCUUAUUUUUACUCUGUUCCACUUGGGUUAUUUCUGUUACUCAUAAGAGCAUGAAACCCUCUUCCUGGAAUUCAAAAAAAACUUACGAACAACAAAUUACGCUAGUCCGAUUUACUGUCCAUUACAAGUUCUUUAUCAUCCUUUACAGUUAGGCUUACGUUUUUAUUUUUGUUUGCUUUUCAUGCAUAUUAUCGGUGAUUUAAACGUAUAUACAUCAUCACAACCACCUUAUUCCUCUGGAUCUUUCAUGAUUCUCACAACCACAACCACCACCACCACCACCACCACCAAGCUAAUAAAAACCUUAGAGAUGGAUGAAUAGAAAUUAGGGUUUUAAUAUUACCUUCUUCUUGCUAGGGCUUGCUAACUUGGUAGCUGCUUGCUCUCUCCUCUUCUUCCGGGCUCUCUCUAUCUCUUUCUCUACUAGCUCUCAACUCUUUUUCUUGCUCUUAGAUGAAAUGAAUCAAGAUUGGGAAAGAGAUGAGAACUUUGGCCUAUAUAAUACAACUUUUCCAUGCUUGCAAGUUGAUCAUCCAACUCAAGUCUUCAUAAGUCAAUCCCCUUGACUAACAUAACUUUCUAAUCACCCCCUAGUUUAACCUAAACAUCUAUCAAGUUAACCUAACCAAGGUUUAUCAUUAUGGUUAUUUGGUGGGGGGAAUGAUAACUUGUAAAGUGCAACUUACUACAUAUAGUAAGUUUCCCUUCGGCUCCCCCAAAGGUCAAUGGACGGGUCCCCCUCCCUUUCUCUUAACUCAUCCGAUUAGCUUUCUAGUUACCUUUCGUAACUCGUCCGAUUAGCAAAAUGUCAAUUUUUCCCUUUUGUAUUUUUGAAUGGAGAAUGUCUCUAACCCUCGAAUAAACGCCAUGACGUAAUUCGAAAAGUCGAAAAAACGUAAAAGCAUUUUCUGCUUGAAUAAUGUUCUUGCAUUUUUUUCCUCGGCAAAAUUUUAUUUCCUUGUACAAAAUAACACCUAAAUUCAAUAACCUAGGUCUUUAAUUCAACCUUUGAACACAUACGAUCUCAUUACGCUCAUUGUUUAGUACAAUUUAGAUUGAACGUCAACCAACAUACUCUUAACUUCUCGCAUCCUCUCUUGAUUCUCCUUAUUGGCUUAACACUAGGGUUUGCCACCUAGGUUAAUUCAUACUCGAUUAAUACUCGCAUAACUUACAUACUAUCAAAUAAAUAUAUAAUACACAUUUAUUCAUUCAUCACAUUUACACAGAAUAAUAUCCAUAAAACCUUAUUUUAUUUUAUUAGACAUAUAUUCAUAAACCUAAUUACAAGGUUAUACGACUUUCUCGGUUGUCACACUCAACCUUAUCAAGAAGGAUAUGAAGUAUUGGAUCAACAAAAAUUUUGACUUGCAUUAACUUAAGAUAUAUCUUGGCUUCAAUGAAUUCCUUCCAAAUAAAUAACAAUCGUCUCCACAAUUUCACGUCAACAAUGAUUCAAAGUAGAUGUGGAGAGAUGCUAAGUAAACUAGUUACAAUCUGCAACUGUUGACUCAAAGCAGAUGAAGAGACAUGCUAAGUAAACCAGUUACAAUCUGCAAAUUAGUCCACCUCUUGAUGCAGGACUAUCCCAUGAGACUUGGUUGGAUAAAGCUUUGGAAGCCAAUGGAAAACUAAAAAUAAAAAAAAUAUUACAAGUUGUAUUUAGUUUAUUUAUAUUUAUUUACUUUGUAUCUAAUUUUAGUAAUUACCUAAUUAAAAUCCAUUUGGGUUUGGAAAGUUGUUUAAGAGUAUUACAUAUAGGGAUGUAUUCUUACUUUUGAUACGUUAAAUUAUAAGAAGUAAAUGAGAAUUUAGAAAAUUAUUUGAGAAUUAAAUGAAUUCUACGACAGCUUGACACCUAUCGUAUUUCUCUAACCUAUAUGUCCCUCUUUCACUUGUCUCUAUCCUUAAUGCUUUACUCUCCUAUAUUUUGGUUAACAACGGUGACGAGCAAUAACUCCAUCUCUUUUUUUCUAGUUCUUUCAUUUAGCAACGACUCGAUUCAUGGUUGAGUUCUUCAUAUUUCUCAAUUAAAGAUGAUUCAAUUCACGUCGAUCUCUUCAAACCAUAUUGUCAAGAUUUUUGUUUGUUCUUUCAACUCUUACAGAUUUCUUCAAGGCUUAUACCUUGACAAGAAAUCAUCUAAGGGAAUUAUUACACAGCUAAGGUUCUCGCCUUUCUGAAAUGCCAUUCACUAGACUUGCUCCUUUUGCAUUGUCCUUGAGGUCACAAGUCAGUUAUAAGAGACUACAUAAUUCGAAGGAGGAAGGUCGGAUUAAUAAAUACUAUCUCCAUUCCACAAUGUUCUAAAAGGCGGGAGGCGGACGGUUGAGGGGGGCCUAGCGCCUAGGGGGCCUAGGCGGGAUUUUUUAUUUUAAGCCAAUUUUAAUAUUUUAUCUUAUAUUUAUCCAAAUAAAACAAUAAUAUAAAGCAAAACAAUCUAUAACAAAGAUAAUAAAGGCCUUUGCUUAAUGUUCAAACACAUAUCCAUAUUGCUAAUGUCAAAGUUCAAACACAUACAUGCAAUUGUUCAAAGUUCAAACAUAUUUUUAACGUAUUAGUUUUAUUCAUAAACAAGAUUGCUAUUAAAUAAUAAAAUUUAAAAUUUCAAGAAUUUAAUUCAAUAUUAAAACUUAAGAAACUAAACAUAAAUUUAAGAAUUAUAUUGAAUUAAACUAAAUAUUACAAAUGUAUCAUCAUUUAUAUAAUUUGAAGUUGGUACAAGUUUAAAAAAGUAGAACUAUAAUAAAAGUAUCCUUUUUGACUUGAUAUUGUUAACUUUUUGUUGUGAUUUGAUAUGCUACAAUAUGUAUUAUGAAUAUGGUAAAUCAUUAGAAAAAUAAAUAUAUUAAAAUUUGGUUUGUGUAGUUAUUAAAAUUAAAUAAAAACUUCUUUGCCUAGACCCCAUCUAGGCCCCGCCUAAUUUUCUGGAGGAAUUUUUUACCGACGUGGGCCUAGGUGAGGCGUCAAGGGGGCCUAGUGCCAAGGCGAGGCGCCAAGGGGGUGCCUAGCGCCUAGGCGGGGCACCAAGGAAGGGCCUAGCGCCUAGGCGGGGAUUUUUAGAACACUGCCAUUCCAUAAUAAUAGUCGUUUUAGCUUCAUGCACAUGAAUUAAGAAAGUAAUUUAAUACUAUCAUUUAAGAACUAAAAUUUGUACAAAAUUCCAUCACUACCCCUUUAUGGGGAAGUUAAAAACUAUUAAUACAAGGGAUAAAAUUUCUUGGGACAAUGAGAGAAAUUAAGGGUGAUAUAGGAAGAUAAAUAAUUUAUUAUCGUAGAAAGUUAUAAACAACAAAUUGAAACAAAUUUUUUCUUCUAAAAAGUUAAUUAUUAUUGAAGAGGUAACCUUUAGGGGUAUCAAAUGGCCUUACGAGUAAAAAGUAUAGUCCUUGGACUCAUGGACUAAUUAAUCCAAGGACAAACAAGUGCUUUAUAAUUUUAAAGUAUUAUGAAUAAGUAUAUGUAGUCUAAUCGUAUCAUUAUUAUAAACAAACAUAGCCCUAAUGGAAAGAUGCAACAUAAAAUUCCCAAUUAGCAUGGGAUCAAUAUAAAAUUUCGUUACAACUUUUCAUAAUAUCUAAAUGCAUUCCACAAUUUGUCAAAUCUCAAAGAGGCAGUUACCUUAAUUUUUUUGUUCCUUUGGAGCAGAGACAAUGGCAAAAUUCCUCGAUAACUGAAACAGAGGGGAAAAAAGAUAAUGAAAUUCUAAGUUCCACGAUUGCUUGAACGCUUCAAUAAAAAUAAAAAUAAAAAUAACUUCAUAUGUGUGCUUAAAGCAUAAUGGGAUUUAGUCAAAACCCAGCAAAACAACUUAUCAAGAAAAAACCAGUAAAGCAACUUAUCAAAAGAAAACCCAGUAAGACAACUUAUCAAAAGAAAACCAAGCAAGACAACGUAUCAAAAUAAAACCAAGCAAAACAACUAAUCAAAAGAAAUCCCACGAGAACAUUGAGUUUUUUCUUUCAUUUUACAUCAAAAGAACAAGUUAAAGGUAAACAAUAUCAUUUUGAAAUUCACAAUAAUGUCUUGUCAAAAUUCAGUAUCCCUUCACCAGUCCAUCCCAAAAUGAGUCACAUUUUAAUGAGACACAUUCUCAUAUUCUCAGGAAAAAAACAUAUUACAAGUGACAUGAAGCCCAAAGUUUUCUUUAAUCGACAAUGAUUUAAUUAGCUUUCAUUUUGUUAAUUAAAAUGAGUUAGGAGAUUAAGUGAAAAUUUGACAAAUUCUCCUAAAACUUGGCUUGCUAUUUUUUAAAAUUGGAGCUGAUAUUUCAAGAGAGUGUAUUAAAUAUUUAAGAACACUUGGCAUUUAAAAUAACAAUCUCAUUUCUAAUCUUAGACUCAUGAAGAUUAUAUAUAUAUGUGUGUGUGUGUGUGUGUGUGUGUGUGUGUGUGUGUGUGUUUGUGGAUAUCCUACAAAGAAUACCGAAAACUUGAUAAAAUAAAAACAACUAACAUUAGAUAAAUGAAUCUCAUUUCUCACAGUUUCUCAUCAAACAAGUAUCACAUUAAUAGACGAAAAACAAAGAUUAGACAAAUGAAUGUCAGACCAAAUCAUUUACACAUCAAAAUCAAAAUUAGCAAAAGAAAAGGAAAAGACUAGAACUUAAGAUUAGUUUAUACCUCAGGAUUGGUAAAAGUAAGGCACAGAAAGGUUCGUUGAAGGGAUGAUCUCUGAAAAGAGAUCGAAUCGGAUGUCAGAGCUUUACUGAUUAGGGGUAGAGAUGAUCUCAGACGCCCAGCCAUUGACAUUCCAAAAACCCUAGUUUUCCUUCUUUAUUUGUGUUUGUUUUUGUGUUUGUGUGAUUGAAAGAAGAGCAAUAAACGAUAGACUCC
rnacentral:lncRNA from 1 species